rnacentral:lncRNA from 1 species
ACUAAAAAUUUCACCAACUGGACACUGUCAAGUCUCUCCGUUAUCAACCUCACAAAGUUAAUAACUUAAAAAAUAAAAAUUUUCAUCACUUACGUAUAAACACGUAAUGUAUAAUCCGUGUUAGGUGAUAAAUAAAAAUUUCACCAACUAACACUGUCAAGUCUCUCCGUUAUCAACCUCACGCUGCCAUCUCCUUCCCCAAACUGCCGCAAUUCAAACCCAGAAAAGAAAAGCCACACUCCCAUCCCACCACCACAAUCUCCAAAUUCCGGCGAACAGAUAACUCUGCACUAAAAAAGGACUGUUCUACUAAAUCCUCUCCCAAAUUCCAAUGAAACCGAUGGCGAACGCGAGCGCGACUUCAAAGCCUUCAGCUCCCUUUAAUUCUUCGCCUUCUCCAUGAUUUCUUCUUUGAACGCUCGAAUGUCUGCAACCGCAAGCGAUUUAUCCAAGGAUUUGCAGCAAUCCGUUCAUCAUUUUCAGGUGGGUCACCGCCGCGAUGCCUGAUUCAAGAGAUGUUCAGGUUCGAAAACGGUGCUCUCGCUGUAUCAAUUUCAUCGAUUUUGUCCCCAAUCUAGUUAAUUUGUUUAAUUUGUGAUUGAAUGAUUGAGUUCGGAAUCAUUACCCUCUGCAAAUUUGUAAAUUUAUUUUAUAUAUUACAUUCGCACUCUUGUAAACCACGGAGAAGCCACUCGGAGGUGGUUCAACAGGUGAAUUAUGCAGAUCGAUCGAGAAAGCUCCCGUUUGGAUUUUCAUAUAAUUGUUUAAUCAAUCUUUAUUUUUGUUUUUGUGUUUUUUGAUCAUCUAAAAAAUGUUGCUGAUGUUUGUUUGGAUUGUUGGUUUGUGAAUUUUUGAAGGAAAAUUGGCUGAUGUUGUUCUUAGAUUUGUCUUUGUGGAGCCCUAUGUCGUAAAGAUCUUUGAUUUUUGGAUCUUUACUCUUUAUUAAACCCUGGUUUUUUUCUCAAAUAACACUAAAAUAUGAUAAAAGCUUGAUCCAUCUCACCCGCAGCUCAGCCAUUUAUCCCAACUUCACACACAAAAUGCAGCUCCUUAUGCUUUGUAGUGAGUCAUAACUCACUCUCUCACGCUACCUUCUUAUCUGCCUCUCUCUACACCACUUCCGCCAACUCAGCUCUCGUUUCUUAUUUCUCCCUUUCUUCUCCCAGCUGACCACCACUAUGGCGGACAAUGAAAAUCAAAACCCUCCUUCAAAUUCACCUCCAAAUCCGCAAACACACCUGACCAUCCUCUUGGCCUUAGCUACCAUUCUGUUUCCCCUUGGAGUGGAUCCAACCUACUUUGUCAAACCUCCCUCCGUCGAUCUGUCUAGUUGUCGAUCUGUCUACAUUUUCUCUGUCGUGACCACGGCAGCGCUGUUUGUUGUUUGGUUCGGACUUUUUGUUCUCUCCGCCCAACUUCUACACCGCUUUGUUAUCUGGGUAGGGCUUGGCCUAGUGUGGGCUACCUACUAGCUUGCGUUGCAUGGCAUCCUCGCACCCCAAUUUUAUAAUCCAAUGCUUUAUUCCUUCAAUCCUCUUAUGGUGGUCCUAUUGUCGCUUAACCUAAGAUUUCGAAACGUCCGAGACCGCGCUAUCCAUGUCCUAUCUUACAACUGGAUCCGCAUGAUCCACGUCAUAUCUCACAACUGGGACCGCACGACUCAUGUCAUAGCUAACAUCUGUGUUUUGUUUUGGAACCAUGUCACAAAAACUAUUAAAAUUUGGGUAUUUAAAGUCUCUUCAUACUUUUUUGCUUUUUUCUUAUAAUUUUUUUUUCUCAGAAUUACCAUUUCUUGAUUUAUGUGUGUUGGGACAUAUUAAGCUUUUUAGGCUUUAACUCAAUAGUUAGUUUAAAACCCAAGUGAUUGGUGCUUUCUUCUUAUAGUUACUUUAUAGAAAAAUCGUUUUAAUUAAUUCAUGUUUAUAUUUUUUGAGAGUAUAUUUCUGGCCUCAAAAUUAUUAAUACAGAUAUUUUACGUGUAUACACAUUUAAAAAAAAAAAAACUCUCAAAUAACACCUAUACACCACACGUGUUCCAUAUUUUACUAAACUAUGAUUUGCGUAUAUAUAAUAUUUGAGUUGUUGAUGUUGCUCAAAUACAAAAUACACUAAAAAAUUACAAAUGUGACAAUUGGCAACAAAAAAUUAGGCAAACUACAACUAAACCAAUGUUUGUUAAGUUGCUUAUAUCUUUUGUUUUUUGUCUGAGUAUCUUAUUAAUAAUUAUUUUUAAUUAUUUUCACUUCCAUUGUUAUUUUCAGAUCAGUAGAACGAUGGGGAGAGAGAGAGCUAGUUAUCAGCAAAAUGCAUGGUCCAUUCCUCUUCUUUUGAAUGUAUUAGAGCAAUAGUCGUCUUUUCCUACUAGUUACGUUUUUAUAUUCGUAUCUCUCCAUGCAACACUUGUCAUAUUUAUUCAGGGCGUGUAAUUUUAAUAAUUUGGAUCUCUCCAUGUAAGACUUGUUAUAUUUAUUCAAUGGCAUGUAAUUGUAAUAUUUUUGAACUCUAUGUAUGAAUUGCUAUGCUUAUUUGGUCAAGUGUGAAAUUUGAUUUUAAUAUUUGUGUAAGUGUAAUGUUUAUUGAAUAUUUGUGUUGAUUAAAUUAUCCCCUCUCGUUAAAUAUAUAUCGUUAUAUAAAAAAAAAUCAUCAUAUAUCAUGAUCCGUUAAUACUUAAACGGGCCUUAUGUCUUGUUAAAGAAUAAUGUGCUACAUAUUUGUACUAUAAUUUGUACCAAUUUUUAAUAAAAAUAAAGUCGACCAACGCAAGUAAAUCUAUCUCUCCUAGGGCGCGUUUACAUAAGGGUAAUGGGAAUAAAAAAGGGGAAUUGAAUUCCGAUUAUGGAUUACUCCAACGUUUACUAAAUACGAGGGAAUCAAUGGUGUGGUGGACCCCACCCGAAACAAGAAAUGCAAUUCAUGAAAUUGGAGGAGUGAGAUUCCUUGGAAAACUAGUGUGUAUCAACAACCAGGAGAAGUUAGACCUAGUGAAGUGGAAGUAUCAAUUCCACGAUCACAACUAAGGAGGUCAACAAGAAUACUGAAGCCAAAUCCCAAAUACGCCAACGCAGCCAUAGUAGAAGAAGCAGUUGAAGUUGAGAUGCGUAAAGAAGCAUCACAAAAUUCUUAGUGGCGUAAAGCUAGGAGAAGAGGUCGAUGUGUUAAAGAAACAUCAAACCUGGGAUCCAGUGGCAAGGCCAAGAUAUGUGAAACCCAUAUCAUGCAAAUGGGUGUUCAAGAUAAAGCGUUGACUCUGCGAGAAGAAAAGAAUGAGCUGGUGUUGAGGGGGAGUGUUAAAGAUCAACACCAGCCCAUUAAGAUCAGUCGGUACAAAUGAACUAGAUUGUUCUAGUUCAAACAUGCAUGGAAUUAUUCUAGAAGAUUCUAGCAUGCAAAGUAGGAUGGCUAGUCUAGAAUUAUCUAAGCUAGAGGUUUGUAGAAUAUACUAGAAACUAGUUCUAGUUUGUAGAAAGAACUAGAAACUAGUAGAAUGCCAAGCCCUCACCUAUAAAUAUGGGUGUGAUGUUGAAUCAACAAAUCAAGAAAGUAGCUAAGAAGAUAGCUAAAUAAGAGAGUGAGAAGCCUUGUAAGUGAGUAGUCUUGUGAAGAAUGUGAGUGGUCUACAGUGUGUCUCUAGAAAGAGUGAGUGUCAUAACUUCUAAAGAGCGUCCUUGAGAGUUUUUGUGUUGUAAUCUUUUGUAAGUGUAAUACAAGUAAUUUGUUUACUUGUAUUGUCUCUUCAACACUUGUGUUAGAGUUGUGUACUCUAAGUUUUUCCCCAACAGUAGCUUACUCGCCUUUUGCUAUUUUCUGCAUGAUUUUAGAUAGCUGUUUCCUUACAUCCUCGACAAACUUCAUCCCUCUCACCUACAAUCAAUGAGUUCCAGAAACAUAACAAACAAAUUCUAGAAUCAUGUCACCAAUGCCCUGAAUAUAUCAGGUUUUUCUUAUACAGAAUAUUAAAAAGGUACCUACAGCGAUAAUCCUUGCACCAAUCAAUGUCAUGGUCAGUUUGAUGCCAACACUCAUAUAUCUGAAGCAACUGGAUAUGAUCACCCCAGCCAGAACCAUCAGGAAGGUCCAAAUAUUCAUGCUUCCUCUUCUUCUCCUUGCUCUUGCUGCAAAAGGAGGCAUACUCAACAAUAAUCAUCUCAAACGAAAUAUUCAUACCUCAAGUGCCUCGUGGAAAGUGCAGAGGUCCACAAAUAUCUUUCUAAUGUUUAGAGGUACGCAACUUUAACCAUAUGUGUGGUAACGUUUGUGUGCAGAUGCGUGUGCAUUUAGUUCGACGUAUGAUAUUUGAGUAUUUUUCAGAUUCUUAGAACACAACGCAUGCUAUUAACUUUCACAACAUACAUAAGGGCAGGGCACCAACUUCUGGGAAAAAUUUAACAAGCUUACCUUCGACCAGGAAGCAAUGUGGUUUCUGCAGAUAACAUAGCAGCAACAGUCAAAGCCUGGGAUAAUCAGCCAUACUCAUUUGCCUCCACUUAGGUCUUUGACAGUGAAGGUUCUAGCGGAAGCUCCGAUAAAAAUCAAGGAAAUACUUGGCAGACUCAUCAAAGAUUUAAAAGGAAGAUGAUCAAUGUGUACAAAACCAAUGGGGAAUCACUUCUAACACUAAUAACAUAUAGUACAGGAACAAAAAGCCCAAGUAGGAAUGAGUUGCAAAACUUUUGUAAAUACAUAUCUGACACUUCAAUUACGGUCCAGCUAAGGUUAUGAAUGAUCUAUAAAAUUUUAAGACUCAAAGUAGCAUGCAAUAUUAAGAUUCAAGCAAUUGGCAAAAGAAUAACAGUGUAGGAAUUGCGUUACUAAAACCAAACUCUAGAAGGGUAUAUUUAUACCAGUCGAGAAGAGGACCUUUUAGAAUAGAAUCCUUAUUAAACUUGGAGAUUCAAAAGGAUAUCUAGCUAGGAAGUAGAUAUUGCAUAGUGUGAUUACUUGCGAGGCACACCAAUCCUUAGAUGGUAAGGACUCCAAGAUUGGGAAACAUGAUUCCUUGCAAGAUUAAGUUUUCGUAUCUUGCGGAACAAGCAUGAUCAAUCUUAGUGAAAUCGUUGGACUUUGCCCGCUGAUUCCAGAAUAGGAUGAUGGUGGCAUCGUUGAUUUAUUUAUUCAACUCCGUACUGGAGGCUGUUAAGUCCAUGACUAGACUUUUGAGGUAUGCGUAUUCUGAGCCACCUUACUCUGCUAUGGAAAAUCAUGGUCCCACAACCUCUCAAUUAGAUUGAGGCGUUCACUCUAUGAUUGAAGCAAUUAUGACGAAUGUGAAAUAACCAUCUGAGUGAGUAUUUGAUAAAGGUUAUGUGAACAACUAAUUAUGUCCAUGCGUGUUCAUUAAGAAGUCACAUUCUGGUUUUGACAAUCAUCAUCUUAGCUAAUAGUUAAUAGGUAUGUAAAUUUUUUAAUUUUGGGAUGAAAGAAUUCAAUUUUUAAGAAUUUUGGGAACAAAAGAAUCGCUUUUAAUUCUUUUGAAAUGUAAAUUUUGAUUUUUGUGUUACAAAUUUAGUUUUUUUAGGAAAACCUCAUUUUGAAAGUAUAUUAAUUCUUUCAUAUUAACUUUUUGUUAUAAUUAUUAGAAGUUUAUACCUAUUGCUAUAAUUUUAUGUGGGAUCUAAAUUUUCAUUAUUUUUUCAAAUUUCCCCUUCUUUAUUACCAUCGGUAUCAGGACUACUUGUACAAAAUUAUUAAAACACGUGACAGCAAAUUUCAUAUGAGAACAAGAGAAAAAAAAAAAUCAAAUAUCUCCGUAAAUAUAAAUAUUAUUCACAUAAUAAUGUCAACAAUGAGUGUUGUCCUGUAUCCUAAAACCCUCGGGCAUAAUGUUACAGUAUGCAAGUUAAAGAGGAAAAAAAAAAACCAAAUAAGCUGAUAAAUUAAAUAGGAUAAAUCUCAGUUUACUACCUUCAAGUUUCGUGUUUUUUAACAUUUAGUCCAUGAAGUUUUUUUCGUCCAGCGUCAUACGUAAAGUGUUAAUUUUGGGACAGUCUCAUACAUCUGUUAGUUUAAUUGUUAAGUCUCCAAUUAACUGAGGAUGCUCAUGUAGAUAAUAACUGAACGACACCUGUCAUUAAGGAUUCACUUGGAAAUUAAAAAUUCAAAAAAAAAAUUCUCUCUAAAAAAUAUUAAAAUAAAUAAAUAAAUAAAUAAAAAACCCGAACCCCAACGUCUUCCCCGCCCGACACAACUCCAUCCCCUCCACACCUCCAUGUCUCCACCCCUCCAUCCCCUCCACCCACCGACACCCUUCCCUUUCCCUGAUACCCACCCCUAACACCAAGCUUUUUCUCCUUCCCCAAAAACUCAGCCCCUUCCCUUCCUCCAAAAAUAAGUCUCACUAAUCAAACAGCCAACCUGUCGAGCUCAUACUAAAAAAACACUAACUAAUCAACACAAAACAAACCCCACAAUUAAUCUAUAUACUAAGCAACAUAGAAGAGCCAAAAGAUUCAACAUUUAGCAGAAAUUACAUAAACCCAGAAAGCAAACAACCAAAAGAACAAACAAAACACAAACUUUAGCAAAUUGAGCAAAAUCCAUGAAUACCCAGAAACCCCAAAAACUCAAAAGUGAAACUAAACGAUUACAUAGAGAGAAAGAGAGAGAUACCAGAUAGGGACAUGACUACGAGCUGCUCGGGCUUAGGAAUACAUUCGUUGUGCACUUUGAUUGUGAUGCUGCUGCAGGUCCCUGAGACCUAUCCGAGAUUGUAGAACUGGCGGCAGAGGUCGGAUAUCAGAACCUUGGUGUCGCUCACUGCUUUGCCUUCCAAGUAGGCCUGCGACGUCAUACCGAGUUUCAGUUCGUUCACUGCCACUGGUGCCAUUGCUGGUCUAGAGAAAGAAACUGUGAACCUGUGAUUGGUGUACUUCAAUACUAGGCUAAAAUAAACUGUGAACCUCCGCUUUUGUAUCCGAAUACACUUUCGGACCGAUUCGAGCGCGAGGUUGACAUUGCGGGAUCUGUUUUAGGCUUCAACGAAGGCGUCGAGGGAGGAUAGAAGAGGGAGGUCGACAGACUGGAGCUUGGUGUUGGAAUCGGACAGAGAAGACUUGAGAGAAUCGACGUCGGAGAGAACAGAUCGGAGUCCGUCGACGGCGAGGAUAAAAUCUUGGUAGUGGACCUUGCAGACCUCCUCGAUUUUGGACUUCUUGGAUCCGGCGAAGUGGUAGAGGUGCUGGAGCGGCGUCUCGGGCUUCCCGGAAGUGAAAGCCUUGCGAACAUUUGUGGUUUUUUUGCUGUUUGUCGCAGAGGAGAAAACGGAAGGAUGGAAUUUUGGGGUUUUGGGGGAAGGGAAGGGGCUGGGUUUUUGGGGAAGGAGAAAAGGCUUGGUGGUAGGGGUGGGUAUCAGGGAAGGGGAAGGGUGUUGGUGGGUGGGAGGAGUGUCGGCUGGGGGAAGACGAAGGGGGUUUUGGGUUUUUUUUUAAUUUUUUUAAUUUUUUUAAUAUUUUAAAUUUGGGAGAGAAAUUUUUUUUUAUUUUUAAAUUUUCACGUGGACCUCUUAAUGACACCGGCGCCUAGUUAUUGUCCACAUGAGCGCCACAUCAUCAGUUAACGGAAGAUUUAAUAGCCAGAUUAAUGAAUGUAUAAGACUGUUCCAAAAUUAACAAUUUCGGUAUGACUCUGAAACAAAAAGUACUUAUGUAUUAAAUGUUGAAAACUACUAAACUAAGGGUAGUAAACUGAAAUUUACCCAAUUAAAUAUUUUAGGCUUUUUAGCCAAAAUGAUCCAUGAAAUUUGCAUGACACAUAACUUUGGUCUCUGAGAUUGAAAAUCAAUAGAAAUGGUCCCUGAGAUUGUCCACCAUCUAUUAUUUUUGUCAUUUCAUUAAAAAACUCCGUUAAGUGGUCUCGAAGCUCGUAUCAGAAACUGAAAUUUUUUGCCAGAUGUUUGGGCAAUUUUCAAAGCUUCGUAACUCAAUCGUUUUUUAACCAAAUUCGACUCAUAAUAUAUCAUAAUGAAGAUAAGAAAGUGUAGAACAAGAUUAUACAUAUUUGGAAGGCCAAUGGUUGCUGCAGAUGGUCGGAAAAUAGCCUGAAAUGUGACUAGUCCGAGGGAAAACUGGGAAAUUCGCCGGAAACUGGGUAAAUUUUAAACAUUCAUAACUUAUUCAAUACUCAAUGAAAUCGAGUGAUUCAACUAAAAAUCAUACUUCUCAACGAGACGAAGAAAAUAAUACAUUUUUCAACGGCUAAAACAUUUCUUUUUUACGCUUUCUUAUCUUAAGAUAUUUCUAGUUAAAGAGAAACAUCCUUCCUAAAUGCAAAUCUAACCUUUCUCUUAUCUACGAUAGCACCAGACACGACCCAUGUCAUUGUGCCUGCUCUGAUCUUGACUUAUUAUAGUAAAAAAUUACUAGUAAAAAAGAAAGUAUGAACUUGUGACUGUUUGCCGUGGUUUGGCAAGAAAACGGCUCGAAAGUGGCUAACUCAACGAGACAAAGAUAACCACUUUCGAACAAUUUUUUGGAAAAACCACUGUGAUUUAGCGUCGAGAAAGCUACCAUUUUCUUCGUCUCAUUGAGAAGUAUGAUUUUCAUCUUUGAAUCACUUGAUUUCAUUGAGUAUUAAAGAAGUUAUGAACGUUUAAAGUUUACCCAGUUUCAGACGAGUUUUCCAGUUUUUUCUCAGAUCAGUCACAUUUCAGGCUAUUUUCAGGCCAUCUCCUACAACUAUUAGGCUUCUAAAUAGGUAUAAUCUUGUUCAGGCCAUAUCUUCAUUUUGAUAUAUUAUGGGUCGAAUUUGGUUAAGAAACGAUUGAGUUAUGAAUCUUUGAAAAUUGCCUAAACUUUCGGUCAAAAAUCUCUGUUUCCGGUAUGAGCUCCGGGACCACUUAACGGAGUUUUUAACGGAAUGACCAAAAUAAUGGAUGGUGGAUAAUCUCAGGGACCAUUUAUAUUGAUUUUCAAUCUCAAUGACCAAAUUUAUGUGUUAUGUAAAUUUCAUACAUGUGACAAUAAACAUACAUGUGACCAACGUAGCGUUGCGUGUGGACAAUAAACAUACAUGUGACCAACGUGUCGAUGCAUCAACUAACACCAUAAAGUAUCUAAAUGGUCCGCAUGUUGGUCAGAUAGGUCCACAAAUAUCCUAUUGAAUCCUCUGAAGAAACUUAGGAGGGCUGUGAAUAAUCUUUGUAAUUGAGGGUUAAGUAUUCAACUUCCCCAAAGAACAAGCCUAGCAAGGUAGAAAUCCAACGUAGGGAGGUAAAUGAUGCCCAUGUGAUAAUUUGAAGAUACGACGCAUCAUGUCACGUCUAGGAUGUCCCAUAUAGUCAUGCCAAAGCAGCAAAGUGUUCUAGAACACAUGCAUAGGGUCGGUCACAGAGUGGGCUUCUAUGUCGCAAAUGGUUGUAAUGUACAACCCACUCGUGAGACGUUCCAACUUUUCAUGAAUACGUUUUUUGCCAUACUCAUAAGAAAUGAUACAAAGAAAUUCAAAACCAUUAUCUUCAGUAGUUUCAACAUGAUAUUGAUUAUCUCGAAUAUCUCUAAAGCUCAGCAACAUUCUUCCGGAACGUGGAGAAUAGAGAGCCUCUUUAAUAGUUAAGACAAUACCAAUGGACAACAUUAUACAAGCCUUUCCGUAUCCUUCCAUCAGGUUGGAUAAGCUUGAGAGGGUUGUCAAAUGUGCAUUUUUAGGUACGAAAUUAGUAAAAUAGUGUCGUUCACGCAAUAUAGUGUGUGUGGUAGCACUAUUAUCCAGACAACUAACUUCCCCACUAGUCAUACCUAGGAAUAAAUUAAUUGAAUUGGUCACAUGCAUAAAUAUAAUUCCAUUCAUUCAAUUAAUCAAUCGAGAAAUGAUAUCCAUAAUUCAAAACAAACCAAACCAAACAAAUGAUUCCAAAGACCUAGAAAAAUUGUCCAAUAAAAAAAUUGGGGGGUUCGGCCACUCCUAGUGGUUCAGCCACUAGGGGUAAAAACACCUUAAAGACAUGUCUAGAAAAAUAAAACUUUAUUCUUCCAUAGGAGCGGAUGCCUCAUGAAAAUCUGAUAUCUCUAUGGAUGUAGUAGUAUCUUCGGGAUGUUCCACAUGGGCAAAGUUAGACUCACAACAGGAAUGAUACUUGGCAAUGUCUUUGGGCGUAGCUCGACAUAUGGGUGACCAAUGAUCAUUUGAUCCACAGUAGUAGCACAUGUCUAGUUCAGUGGAAGCCGAUUGAACGGUAGAUUUUCCCUUGUUCUUGAAGUUUGGGGCCUUAAGGGUAAGGGUUUGGCAUUUAUGGGUCAAAUUGCUUCUUUUGGGUGGGCCAUGGCAUAGUGGACCUUGGACCCGUGGGUGGGCUUUCCGCCUAUUACCACGGCCACGAUGGUGUUUUCGUCGUUUAUGGCUGCUAGAAUUAGUCGCAUGCACUUCAAGCGAAAUGUUCGAGCUAGUAGGUCAGGCUUGAUGAUUCUUCAUGAAAAGUUGGUUAUGCUUUUCAGCGAUAAGUAAAACAAAGAUCAAAUCUGAAAUUUUGGUGAACUUCUAUGCCCUAUAUUAUUACUGCAAGAGAAUAUUGGUAGCAUUGAAGGUCGAAUAGGUAUUCUCUAGGAGAACCUCAUCUGUUAAGUCCACUUUACAGAGCUUAAGUAGUGAUCGGAUUCUACAAACUUCAGAGUUGUAUUCAUUCACGGACUUAAAGUCUUGGAAACGUAAAUGAUGACAGUUGUGUCUUGCUUCAGGUAAGUAAAUAUAUUUCUGGUGAUCGAAAUGAUAGGCCAGAGCAAGCCAGAUGGUGCGUGGAUCCUCUUCAGCAAGGUACUCGGUCUGUCGUGCAUUAUGGAUGUGUCUUCAAAUGAAGAUCAUAGCAGUAGCUUUGUCAGCUUCAUUAACGAGUUCCUUAAUGGUGGCUCUAAUACCAUUUGCGGUGAGAUGGAGCUUUAAGUUCAACAUCAGUGAAAUCAAGCUUGUUUAAGUUCGAUAUGUCCCUAAAACAGAGGGUACAAAAAUGUGGUUAGUCAUAUGGAAAAUCAUAGACAUACAUCAUAGAACAUUCGGGUUCUAUAGACAUGUAUAUGUUUAAUUUAAGCAUGAAAGCUACAGGUUUUAUGUGGUCAGUUUUGAAUGAAAACUUCGGAUUUCAAAGGCACUAUAUAUGAAACAACAGGUUUGAUUUAGUUUUAUGAAUGAUUAGUUCAUAAAGGAGAGGUUUCUGCAAGAACACAUAAUGCAUUAUGCUGAUUGAAGUGUAGUAGAUUUGGGUUGCUUCGGGAACUCAUGUGUGAGAGUUUUGAGACAACGAAAUGAUGCUAAUGGUUCAAAGUAUAAUAAAAAUUAUUGAAUCGUUAAUAUCCAAAAGUGAUCUUCAGGUUAAUAAUUGGAUUAAUUAUCAGAUUAAUGGACUGUUGGUCACUUUUAAUUAAUUCAAUAGGUCAGGACCAAAAGGGGUCGAUUGUGGAAGUAAAAUAAUGACAGACGGGUCAUAUUAGCUUCAGUUGGCGAUAAAUCAAGUGAUAAUUAAAUUAGAAUUAAUUAACGUAAAUCAAAGUACCCCAAACAAAUAUUGGGUAUGAUUUAUAAUGCAGGGAUGCCAAAACUUGGCAUUUGGUUGAAAAAAAAAUAAUGCGGCCUAACUAAAAGUGGAUUGGCUGCGAUGUGGGGACGGACCUUGCAUCAUGACUGCAGGUCAUUAGGCCGUGGAAAAGCUGCAUGCUUCUGGCCGUGUGGUCUGGGUGAGCCCAGCAGCAAAAGUUACUGGUUUGGGCCAAAAACAAGGCACGGGGCAAGCCCAUCCUAAAGUUGGCUUGAGGGUUAGUGCGAGGAAGGCCCAGCCGAGGCUGGUUCCUGAGUUUUUGGGUCAGGGUAAGUCAAGCCUAGUAGUAUAAGCUACGGGCAAGUGGGUCGAGACUUGGGCAAAGCUUAGCAAACGAUACGGGCCUGCUGCAGGCGAGCCUGGGGCACAGGGUCGACCUAGCAAGCUACGGGCUUGCUGCAGGUUUGGGCCAUGGACUUAGGACAAAGCCCAUCAACUCAAAAGUUGUUGGUUUUGGGCUUGGAUGGGUUGCAGGCCCAUGGUAACCCAUACCAGGCCGAAUCCUGGUGUCUGUGUAGGCGCAGCAAAGCCCAAAGGGCUGCUGCCAUAGUCCAGAUGUCAUUCUAAUAGUGUGCUCCAUGCGGCUGGGCUGCAGGCCAGCUACGGUGAUGUCGGCAGCAAUGUGACAGCGAGCCGCAGCCAUGCCGCAUAUUUGCCAAUUUUUUUUUUUUCAACAUCACUAGGGUUUGAAAAACCCUAAAUUGCUUCUAAUUUAUUUAUAUGCUUUGACUCACAAAUUCCACAUGGCAAAAUAAUAAUUGUGUAAUACAUGAAGCAUGUGUGUGUGUAUAUAUAUAUAUAUCAGAAGGAAAAUAUAAAUAUAGGGGAUUCAUACUUCAUGGACGUUUCAAAUAUCUUACUUUAUUUUAAGCGUACCUGAUUGAUAUAAAACAAAUAAAAGUCUUUGAAUUUUGUACAAGAAGGCCUCCUCUUACAAUUCUUCAAUUUUUUAACUUUUGGCAAGAGUUUGCUGACAACGUGUUGUAGGCCUAAUUGACUAAACUAUUUUAAAGGAAUAGACAUGGGAGGCCGGCGGCAAAAGGGGAAGAAGAGAGAUUUAAUUGUGAGGUGUGUUGUAUUUUACCCCAUUGUGCCUUUAUUUAUAGUAGUAUGAUAGGUUAAAUCCUUAACAUAAUAGAAUUAUAACUCUAAUAGGAUGAUAUCUACUAAAGAGAAUAUUUCAAGAUAUCCCUAGAUACAGUAAGAUUUACACAAUCACAUUCAUAUUCUAAGUAUUAUUGCAACAAUAUUCUGUUUAUUAGUAUUUCUUUAGUGGGUAAGUUAUAACUAUGGUUUCCGCCACUAACACAACAAAAGAAAUUAAGAAUUUCGGGAUAUUUUCUCUCUCUAACAACUUAAUAUUCUAGAUUUGUCUUCAUAGCAUUUUGUUUCCCUUGACGCUAUUACAAAUUUGUCCCCUAGCAUUUUCCUUGUGUCAAUUUUUUUAAAGGAAGAGAUGGGACCUUUAUAGUCGUUACCAAAAGAAAAAAGCUCUUGUGUCAGUGAUAAUAAAAAAUAAAAGUAAUGAUAUGGAGAUUAAAUUAGUAGAUAAAAUUUACAAACUAAAUGAUAUGUCACAAUAGGCAUGAACACAUUUAUGAACGUUUAAGUCGUACUCGUAAUACAAUCAUUAACUUUCAUGUUAUUAAUUUAUAAAAUUUUGUCUACAAAUUUAUUCUCCUUAACAUUACCAAAAAAAAUUGUUGCAUCAUUUGGGUUGGAUGCUACUUGGCCGCUAACACCAUACUGCUAAGACCAUACCGCUAAGACCAUCUCUAAAUGAGAUGUCAAAUCCUAAGUAAAAUGCUAUGUAAUCAAAUUUGAAAGCAUGAAUAAAAUUCAACUGAUAUGUUAAUCUCAUGUGGAUUGUCAUAUGAAUUUUCAUAUGUCAAAUUUGAUAUAGGAGAAAAUGUGAUGACAAAUAAAUUUUUAAUUAUUUUAUUGUGUAUGUCCUAUUAAUGCACCAAUUAUAAUUCUAAAGAGUUUAUUUUAAUCGAAAAAUGGAUCCUACAAAUAUCAUGUAUAACAAAAAAAACAUAUAGGUCAGAGGAAGAGAAAAUUUGCAUGUAGCUUUUCCACCGGGCAAGAUGCCUAAUAUUUACAACGCUCUGGUAGAUGCUAUUUUAUUGGUAAACAAAUUAGUGUGACUUGUGAAGUACAGAGGAAAGAUCGAUCAUCCGAAUCUGACAGUCCAAGUUUUUGAUUGGAAGAAAAAAUCGACCAAACAUUUCUUAUGUACCAUGACAUUCCAAGUUUUUGAUUGGAAGAAGAAAUCGACCAACCAUGACAUUCCAAGUUUUUGAUUGAAGAAAUCGGCCAAACAUUUCUUAUGUACCAUAAACGCUUUUACUCUUUAUCUUUUGUUAUGAAAGAGAGUACAAGAUUCGAUGCUUUCUUGUAAAAGUUUUGAGGGCAAUUUCUCAUAUCCACCUCAGGAACAACUUUCCAAUGGUUCACAUACUACCGGUAUAAAAACGAACGCGAAGUCCAAACCCUACAUACACCACUCAACCGCUCCUAACGGCCACCUCAACUCACAUUUCUCAUUCUCUCCUGCUGCUCCCAGCUGCCUCUUUUGACGAGCAAUAUGGCGAAUGAUGAAAAUCAAAACCCUCCUCCAAAUUCAGCUCCAAAUCCGCAACCACAUCUAACAGAGACUUUGACCAUCCUCUUGGCCUUAGCUGCCAUUCUGUUUGCCCUCGGGUUGAAUCCGAGCUACUUUGUCAAACCUCCCUCCGCCGAUGCAGCUAGUUGUGAAUGCAAACUGAAUAACUGCCUAUGCCUUCCCCCUUUCUACAUUUUCUCUGUCGUGGCCACGACAGCGCUGUCUGUUGUUUGGUUUGGACUUUUUGUCCUCUCCACCCGACUUCAAUACCGCUUCGGUAUCUAGGUAGGGCUUGGCUUAGUGUGGGCUACCUAUUGGCUCGCGCUGCGUGGCAUCCUUGCACCCCAAUUUUAUAAUCCACUGGUUUAUUUCUUCAAUCCUUUUCUGACGGUCAUAUUGUUGUUUAAGCUAAGAUUUCGAAAUAUCUGGGACCGCAGGAUCCAUGUCAUAGCUGACAACUGCGGCAGGUUUUGGAACUAUAUCACAGGAAACUACUAACAUUUGGGUAUUUGUCUGUUCAUACUUUUUUUUUAUAAUCUUUAUUUUUAUUUUUUUCAAAUGAUAGAUACGUUAGAUUAGAUGUUAGAUUUAUGAGAUUAACGGGAUUCAAACUCAUACAGCCCUCACCGACUAUGUUGCUAAAAAAAAAAUUUCACGAGAAGACUUCAAAUGAGCUCUUUUGCCGCCGGGAUGCCCACAAAAAAAAUCAAUGAGAAAAUUGUCUUUAAUGGCCUUUCAUCCAAGUUGAUUACACUAUUAUCCACAGAUUUCAUACCAUAUUGAAAGAAAGAAGCAUCAUCAUUGUCUAUUUCACAUAAUCUAUGUGAUGUAAUUCUUAACUUUUUUUUUUCAAAAAUUAUUUUAAGCAGAAAAGAAACCAUAUAUAAAACCAGUUAGUAUCAUACCUAUUUAAUAUCUCAUCUUCACUAAACGUUUGAGUAUCUUAUUAAUAAUUAUUUUCUCUUCCAAUGUUAUUUUUAGAUCAGUAGAAAGAUGGAGAGAGAGAGAGAGAAGAGAGAGAGAGAGAGAGAGCUAGUUAUCAGCAAAAUGCCUGGUCCAUUCCUCUUCUUUUGAAUGUAUUAGAAUUAAAAUAGUCUUCUUUUCCUACUAGCUACUUUUUUAUAUUCUCCAUGCAAGACUUGUUAUAUUUAUUCGGUGGUGUGUAAUUUUAAUAUUAUAGAUCUCUCGAUGUAGGACUUGUUAUAUUUAUUUGGUGGUGUGUAAUUUUAAUAUUUUUGAACUCUAUAUAUGAGCUGCUAUGUUUAUUUGGUCAAGAAUGUAAUUUUAUUUUUAAUACUUGUGUAAGUGUAAUAUUUAUCUCUCGUUAAAUAUACAUAAUAUUGUUGUGUAAAAAUAAUCAUCAUAUAUCAUAAUCCGAUCAUGCUUAAACGUUCUUAUUUCUUAUUAAAGAAUAAUGACACAUUUUUAUCCAAUGAUUUGAACCCCCCUCUAAUAAAAUAAGGCCCACAACAUGGACUGUUCUACUAAACUGCCGCAAUUCAAACCCAGAAAAGAAAAGUUAGGCUCCCAUCCCACCACCACCAUCUCCAAAUUCCGGCGAACAGAUAACUCAGCAAAAUUCUCUGCACUAAAAAUGGACUGUUCUACUAAAUCCUCUCCCAAAUACCCAUGAAACCGAUGGUUAACGCGAGCGCGAGUUCGAAGCCUUGACCUCCUUUUUAUUCUUCGCGUUCUCCAUGGUUUCUUCUCUGAACGCUCGAAGGUCUGCAACUGCAAGCGAUUUUUACAAGGAUUUGCACAGUAAUCCCUUCAUCAUUUUCAGGUGGGUCGCCGCCGCCGAUGCCUGAUUCAAGAAGUUCAGGUUCGAAAACGGUGCUCUCCUGAAUUAAUUUCAUCGAUUUUGUUCCCAAUCUUGUAAAUUUGUUUAAUUUGUGAUUGAAUGAUUGGGUUCGGAAUCAUUACCCUCUGCAAAUUUGUAAAUUUAUUCUAUCUAUUUCAUUCGCACUGCUGUAAACCACGGGGAGGCCACUCGGAGGUGGUUCAACAGCCAGGUAACCGCAAAGUGAAGGCUCAGCCCCAGGAUGAGGUGCUUUGAAUUAUGCAAUUCAAUGGAGAAAGCUCCCGUUUGGAUUUUCAAUUAAUUAUUUAAUCAAUCAUUUUUUCUUUGUUUUGUGUUUUUUGUUUGGAUUGUUGGUUUGUGAAUUUUUGAAGGGAAAUUGGCUGAUGUUGUUCUUAGAUUUGUCUUUGUGGAGCCCUAUGUGGUAAAUAUAUUUGUUUUUUGGUUCGCAUCCGCCAUCUUGUCGUUGGUGUUCCUGAUCCAAGGAGAGAGAGUGAUGCUCGAGGAGCGCUCACGUUUUGUACGAUUGGUUUUUUAAUUUUUAAUUUUUAAUUUUUUUAACAAAGUGAAGGAGAUAACAACAGUUCAACACUGUUAAAAUGGUGGACAGAUGUCACAAAACUAUUAAAGCCACAGUGAGGCCACACCUAUUUGGGUGCAGAAAAUUUGAACUCAGAUAAUACAAAUACGUGUAAGAGUAGUAUUUUUGCUUGUUAAACGGUUGCUUGUUUAUCCUACUUUUCCUUACGAUUUCUUGUGUAUCCUACUUUUCCUUGCAAGCAAGAGUGCUGUCUCAUGUCUAGCAUUCGCAAUGUCGCAUUUUGCUCCUAAAGAAAUCAAAGGAGUGCAUCCAUCGGCAUCAGAAGCACAUCAGAGACCCUGCUUAUCAAUGUAUGAACAAAAUCUGCGGGGCCGUGUUGUGCUGCCUGAUGUAGAGUCCCAUAAAACUCAACAGGACUAUCAAGUACCUUUUGAGGUGCAGCAUUCUUAAGCAACAACUUUCAAAUUCUCACAGUUUUGAUUUGUAUCGAGUAUUUCCAUUACCGUCUGACCAAGUUUAUUCUACACGUUUAUGUCAAUGAAGGCUCAUUGGGGGCAGAUGCCCCCACUCACUCAAGUAAUUCGUUUGUCUAGUUGUAGACUACAAUUAUAUAAUAUACACAGGGUUAUCUUUGAAGAAAAUAUAUCUAUCUAAUAUCCAACAUAUAUUCAUUCUACUUGUACUCCAUAUAUGAGCAAUAGUGCUCUUGUUCUGUCAUUCAAACAAAAAAACCCUCUCCCGCUUAUCAUGUACGUAUAUUUUUCUCAUCACUUUGCCACUUUCCACUACUAUAUUGAAAUUUUUGUAACAUUGGAAUUAUGAUACAUCAUUAUUUGAAACCAUCCUUAAUAUCAUAUUGCAUAUAACCAUACUAUAAUAAGGUUUUCUUAAUUGUUUUCGGUUGCCCCCACUAGAAGAAAUUUCUGGCUCCGUCCCUGAAUGACCUCAGUGUUAACCUAAGUGAUAAAGAAGAAGGCAUAAGCACAUUUUAUCAAUUUCCUAGAAAUUUUCUUCCAGAACGACCUGUUGUAAUGUGAGAUCAUAUUUAUCCCAAUGAUCAUAUUUAAGCCAUUCAUAACAUCUGGAUUGCCUGACUUUCCAAGGGCAAAAAUGCUACCCUCUUUGAUACCAAUAUCUGCCGUAUAUAUCCCACUAUAAUCAAAGAUCACAGCAUUAGUUAUAACCGUAUCCAAUCAGCUGGGAGUUCCCAGAUGACUGGCCCAUUCCUUCUCUAAUAACUUUACCACCUCCAAAUACCGAUUCAUCCCAUAAGCAGUAAAAUCCUUUUCAAUUUCAGCAAACAAGUUGGUAUCACCAAGCCCAAUUUUAUCCCACCUUCACUGCAAAAUUAGUACUGAGGUAAGGCAUCUCCAAUUUUUCCUUAAUCAUCUUAGUGAACUAGCUAAAAAUCAUGCAACUUUAUUGACCUAACAAAACUGAAGCUAAGAGACAAAUAAACAUUUCUCAGGAGGAAAGCCUCGACCUAACUUUUGGUUCUUCCUCACGUCCAAAUUCUCUCGCUUGUAUAGUUUCCAUGACUUCCUUUAGUUUGCCAUCAUCUACUGAACCAUCCACAAUGUCACUUCCUCCUCUGAUUACUCUUUUACCUCUUACAAGUGGGACAUGUUUGCUUUUCCCCCGGCUGGCACAAGAAAACAAGCACCCAAAUUAUUGAUUUAAAAGAUGAAGGCCAAAUUAUUGACAUCCUUGCUAGACUUUGAUCAGAAUAAUAUAUGAUAGGCUAACAUAAGUACUAAAGUGUCAGAAAAUUUUAAGUUUAGGUAGGAAACUAUGAUUAAAUAAAUAAGACUAGUAGGGUAUGAAUGUCACAAUGCGUGAAAGUAAAAGUAUCCCCUCAUAGACACAAAAUGUAUCACCCUCAUAGACAAAAAGUGUAUCAGAACCAAAAAAAAAAGUGCAUCACCCAAAACCAAAAAAAAGUGCAUCACCCAUGACAAAAUAUAUCCCUCAUAGACUAAAAGUAUCCCCCACAUAAUAAGUAUCCCGAGUAUCCCCCUUAUAGACAAAAUGAACCCCUUAUAGACUAAAAGUAUCCCCCCCCCCCCAAUUCUUAUUUAAUCCCUUCCUCUCCCACCCCACCCCCCAACACACCGCCAACUCAGCUCCCGUUUCUUACUUCUCCCCUUCUUCUCCCAGCUGACCACCAUUAUGGCGGACGAUGAAAAUCAAAACCCUCCUCCAAAUUCACCUCCGAAUCCGCAAACACACCUAACCCUGACCAUCCUCUUGGCCUUAGCUACCAUUAUGUUUCCCCUCGGGGUGGAUCCGACCUACUUUGUCAUACCUCCCUCCGUCGAUCCGGCUAGUUGCGAGUGCAAACUGAAUAACUGCCCAUGCCUUCCCCCUUUCUACAUUUUCUCUGUCAUGACCACGGCAGCGCUGUCUGUUGUUUGGUUUGGACUUUUGUUCUCUCCGCCCAACUUCUACACCGCUUCGUUAUCUGGGUAGGGCUUGGCUUAGUGUGGGCUACCUACUGGCUCGCAUUGCGUGGCAUCCUCGCACCCCAAUUUUAUAAUCCAAUGCUUUAUUCCUUCAAUCCUCUUCUGGUGGUCCUAUUGUUGCUUAACCUAAGAUUUCGAAAUGUCCGAGAUCACGCUAUCCAUGUCCUAUCUUACAACUGGGUUCGUGUGAUCUACGUCAUAUCUCACAAUUGGGACCACGCGACCCAUGUCAUAGCUGACAUCUGUGUUCUAUUUUGGAACUAUAUCACAGAAAACUAUUAAAAUUUGGGUAUUUAAAGUCUCUUCAUACUUUUUUGCUUUUUUCUUAUAAUUUUUUUUUUCUCAGAAUUACCAUUUCUUGAUUUAUGUGUGUUGGGACAUAUUAAGCUUUUGAGGUUUUAACUCAAUAGUUAGUUUAAAACCCAAGCGAUUGGUGUUUUCUUCUAAUAGUUACUUUAUAGAAAAAUCGUUUUAAUUAAUUCAUGUUUAUAUUUUAGGGUAUAUUUCUGGCCUCAAAAUUAUUAAUACAGAUAUUUUACGUGUAUACACAUUAAAAAAAAAAAAACUCUCAAACAACACCUAUACACCACACGUGUUCUAUAUUUUACUAAAUUAUGAUUUGCGUAUAUAUAAUAUACGAGUUGUUGAUGUUACUCAACAAAAUACACUGAAAAAUUACAAUUGCGACAACUGGCAACAAAAAAUUAGGCAAACUACAACUAAACCAAUGUUUGUUAAGUUGCUUAUUUCUUUUGUUUUUUGUCUGAGUAUCUUAUUAAUAAUUAUUUUCACUUCCAUUGUUAUUUUCAGAUCAGUAGAACGAUGGAGAGAGAGAGAGAGCUAGUUAUCAGCAAAAUGCAUGGUCCAUUCUUCUUCUACAAUAGUCGUCUUUUCCUACUAGUUACGUUUUUAUAUUCGUAUCUCUCCAUGCAAGACUUGUCAUAUUUAUUCAGGGCAUGUAAUUUUAAUAAUUUGGAUCUCUCCAUGUAAGACUUGUUAUAUUUAUUCAAUGGCAUGUAAUUUUAAUAUUUUUGAACUCUAUGUAUGAAUUGCUAUGCUUAUUUGGUCAAGUGUGAAAUUUGAUUUUAAUAUUUGUGUAAGUGUAAUGUUUAUUGAAUAUUUGUGUUCAUUAAAUUAUCCUCUCUCGUUAAAUAUAUAUCGUCAUAUAAAAAAUCAUCAUAUAUCAUAAUCCGCUAAUACUUAAACGGGCCUUAUGUCUUGUUAAAGAAUAAUGUAUUACAUAUUUGUACUAUAAUUUGUACCGAUUUUUAAUAAAAAUAAAGUCCACCAACGCAAGUAAAUCUAUCUCUCUUAGGGCGUGUUUACAUAAGGGUAAUGGGAAUAAAAAAGGGGAAUUGAAUUCCGAUUACAGAUUACUCCGACGUUUACUAAAUACUAGGGAAUCAAUAGUGUGGUGGACCCCACUCGAAACAAGAAAUGCAAUUCAUGAAAUUGGAGGAGUGGGAUUCCUUGGAUAGAUGAGGUAUUUGAAUUCCAUGAGGGUGAAAGAAUUAGGAAUGCAUUUUUUUCUUUCUAUUAUGCCCUCAUUCACAUUAUGCACAACUUCAUGCUCAUUCAUAUUAUGCACAACUCCAUACACAUGCCGAAGAGAAUAAACUACAAUUUAAGCAAGAAAAUUUAAAUAUUAAAGUAAAUACUUAUAUUUAUAAAAAAAUAAACAAAAACAUUUUAGUGUGUCUAUGAAAUAGAAAAGCAAUUUAAUUUUUUUUUCCUCUUACUAUUAUAUAUUAUAUCAAAUUUUAUGAAAAAAAAGUAUAUAAAAUAUUUGAUUUGGGACAAGGACAUUUUAGUAAUCAUAUUGGUUUAUAUUCCGAUUCUGUUGAAUUAGUAAACAACUUUAUGGAAUUAGUGUCAUUUCUAUUCCGAUUCCAGAAUAUUUAAGCAAACAGUUUCAAUAGGAAUCUGAUUCUGACUUUUCCUCAUUCCAACUCCUUCUCAAUUCAAUUUCUCAUAUUUUCAUUACAGUUACGUAAACGUGUCAUUUAAGUAAUUCUAAUCUUAUGCGCCUAAAAAAGAAUGUGCCCUCUCCAAUCUUGUGACACUUGUCUACUCACUUAACCCAACUUAACGAGAGAUUUUUCAAUGUGACCGUCACACGAGAUGGUACACCACUUGUUCUUAUAUAAAUAAUGGGACAUAUAUAUUAAAAGUUUAAUAACUUAAAAAUUAAAAAAUUUCACCACUUACAUAAAAACCGUGUUGAACCACCCGAGUUUCCAUCACACCUGAGAAUUUCUCCAACUUAACACUGUCAAGUCUCUCUGUUAUCACCUCGACGCUGCCAUCUCCAUCUCCAAACUGCCGCAAUUCAAACCCAGAAAAGAAAAGCCACGCUCCCAUCCCACCACCACCAUCUCCAAAUUCCGGCGAAAAGAUAACUCUGCAAAAGCCUCUGCACUAACAGAGGACUGUUCUACUAAAUCCUCUCCCAAAUUCCCAUGAAACAGAUGGCGAAGGCGAAGGCGAGUUCGAAGCCUUCACCUCCCUUUUAUUCUUCGCAUUCUCCAUGGUUUCUUCUUUGAACGCUCGAAUGUCUGCAAUGCAAGCGGUUUCUACAAGGAUUUGCAGCAAUCCCAUCAUCAUUUUCAGGUUGGCACCGCCGCGAUGCCUGAUUCAAGAAGUUGAGGUUCGAAAACGGUGCACUCGCUGAAUCAAUUUCAUCGAUUUUGUCUCCAAUCUUGUAAAUUUGUUUAUUUGUGAUUGAAUGAUUGGGUUGGGAAUCAUUAUCCUCUGCAAAUUUGUAAAUUUAUUUUAUCUAUUACAUUCGCACUCUUGUAAACCACGGAGAGGGCACUGGGAGUUGUUUCAACAGCCAGGUAACCGCCAUUGUUGUUGUUGGUGUUCCUGAUCCAAGGAGAGAGAGUGACGCUCGCUCGGGGAGCAUUCAUGUUUUGGACGCUUGGGAAAUUUUUUAUCUUUCUAAUUUAUUUACAAGGUGAAGGAGAUAACAACAAUUUAACACUGUUAAAUGGGUGCACAGAUUUCACAAAACUAUUAAAGCCAUGGAGAGGCUAGGGUGCAGAAAAUUUGAACUCAAAUGGUACAAAUACGUGGUAAGAGUAGCAUUUUUGCUUAUUAAACGAUUUCUUGUGUAUCCUACUUUUCCUUGCAAACGAGUGCUGUCUCGUGUCUGGCAUUCGCAAUGUCGCAUUUUGCCCCUAAGGAAAUCAAAAGCUCGCACAGCGUUGUGUGGCCUUCUCUUCCUGCUAACAUCAACGGAGUGUAUCCAUUGGCAUCAGAAGCACAUCAGAGCCCCUGCUUCUCAAUGUAUGAACAAAAUCUGUGGCGCUGUGUUGUACUGCCUGAUGGAGAGUCCCAUAAAACUCAACAGGACUAUCAAGUACCUUUUGAGGUGCAGCAUUCUAAAGUAACAACUUUUCAAAUUCUGCACUGUUUUGAUUUGUAUCGAACAGUUCCAUUACCGUCUGACCACGUUUAUUCUGCAGGUUUAUGUCAGCCCCAGCGUUGAUAAGCAAUUUGAAACUUUCCAGGUAACCGCCCUCUGCAGAUAUCAUGGCAGCUGAGUAUCCCUUUUCAUCUUGCUCAUUGAGAUCAACGUCUGCCCCCUCAAUCAGUUUCUUCGAAGCCUCAACAUCAUUUGCUUGAGUCACAAGCACUAGAGGAGAAAAUAUUGAUGUAUGGCUGGAGUCACUAUUUUCUCUUUUAAGACAAGCGUGCAUAUGUUAUAUUGUCAUGAUCAAAUAGCUCAACAGAGUCAAGUUAUAUGAAUUUAUGGUAUCUACUCCCUCCUGGGUUCAAAGAUCUUUCGUUAUCCACUGGCCGACAACAUACAAGUUCAGAAAACUCCAGAAAGGGGUAAUGGAUGGUGGAAUCGUGAUGAUCUGUGCACUCUUGGCAAGGAGAGGACUUAAUAGAUCCUUGCGGCUUGAACCCAGGAGCAUGAGAUCAUUGCGGCUAUGCUAAAGUGUUGUUCCUUUUUAUUACAAGCGAGAGUUUGGAUCCGAGACACUGUUUGAAAAUUAAUUGGAAAGAGAGAGGGAUUGCUCUGUGGGUAAGCUUUGAGUGUUGAAUGCCAUUACCUUAUAUUUUUGUAAAUAUACAAAUAUUCUCCCCUUCUCCAUGCCACAAUACUACUCCCUUAAAUAAAAGUAAAAGAUACGGUAGAUUGAUGAGAUUAGUGACACACAUUCUUUUUUCUUCUCUCUCUCUCAUUGGUCCUCAAUUGAGGAUUUUUGGUAUUGUUAUAUAUAAAAGUACUGAAUAAGCUCAUUUCUUUUCUUUACGAGCACGAAGUCGUUUCCUAGCUGCCUGUAUUAUACUCUCACGAUCAUCAGGAACUGCUGCAACAUCCACUUUCUUUGGCAAAUCAGAAAGAUUUCCCUCCAGCUGCUCUUCAAUAUGACCGAUCCUGCCACUGCAUAAAAGGUUAAAGGUUCAAUCUCUGCAAUGUUCAUAUACUACCUUGAAUUAGAAACAAAUCAUUUUCUACUUAUAAUGGUAGUUCUAUGCAAACUGGCUUCACCUCAGCUUCUUGAUAUCUAGAUUAUUUACUUUGUCCAAAAUGGGUGUGACCCAAGCAAUAUUUACAGCACAUACAAUGCGCAGGAAUGGGCGGGUUGUUGAAUGAGUUCAGGUACACAACAUAGUCACUUCAUCAUCUGGUUUAUGCAAAGAGGAUGGAUGCACCGGAAAUAAAAGUAUUUGUGAGUGUCAAUUCUAGACUUGCAAAAGACUCACUACUCAAACCUUUGCCUAAUUCUAGUGAGAUAUGCCUAGCCACGAUCAAUUUCCAGCUCAAAGUUUCUCGUUUUCCUUUCCCAGUUUAAGUAACUUAAGUGGUCGAUCGGUGCUUUGAUAAACCAGAAAUGCAUAAUGAUAAUCUCAAUCCAAUUUUGUUCCAUAAAUCACGUACUUUGAGCAUGUUACUUAUUCAGCACUUAUCAGUAUCAGUAGGCUGCAGUAGACCAUUAUAUAUAAGAGCUUCAUGUUAUCAAGUAACAUUCAGGAGAAUAGUCAUUUAGUCAGUUCAUAGCGGUGUUUCGUGAACAUGAUAUAAUUGCAAGCUCUUUAAUAAUGUAGCUUACUCGCCUUUUGCUAUUUUCUGCAUGAUUUUAGAUAGCUGUUUUCUCACAUAACAAGCAAAUACUAGAAUCAUGUCGCCAAUGCCCUGAAUAUAUCAGGUUUUUCUUAUACAGAAUAUAAAAAAGGUGCCUACAACUGAUAAUCCUUGCACCAAUCAAUGUCAUAGUCAGUUUGAUGCCAGCACUCAUAUAUCUGUAGCAACUGGAUAUGAUCACCCCAGCCAGAACCAUCAGGAAGGUCCAAAUAUUCAUGCUUCCUCCUCUUCUCCCUACUUUUUCUACAGAAGGAGGCAUGCUCAACGAUAAUCAUCUCAAACUAAAUAUUCAUACUUCAAGGGCCUCGUGGAAAGUGCAGAGGUCCACAAAUAUCUUUCUAAUGUUUAGAGGUACGCAACUUAAACCAUAUAUAUGUGUGGUAAUGUAUGUGUGCAGAUGCGUGCGCAUUUAGUUCGACCUAUGAUAUUUGAGUACUUUUCAGAUUCUCAGAACACAACGCAUGCUAUUAACUUUCACAACAUACAUAUAGGAACCUUCUUCUGGGAAAAAUUUAACGAGCUUACCUUCGACCAGGAAGCAAUGUGGUUUCUGUUAGGAUAUAGCUAUGCCAUGUGUCAUAAUUGUAUUGGAGGUUGUGAAUGUUAGUCAUAAGGUGUGUUGUAUUUAUAAGAGAUUAGUUUUGUCAUAAACAUAAGGAAAUAUAACAAGAUUAUUUUUCCCUCUCUACUUUCUCUCUCUAUCUCUCUGUUCGAUAUCUUCUUCUCUAAGUUUCUUCCAUAUAAUUGGUUUGUUAACAUGGUAUCAUCGCCGGCAAUGGCUAACGCCGUCGCCUGACGAUCCCGGUGCUUCCGCGUCUCUUCGUUUUUGCUCCGGUGGUUUUCACUUGUUCGCCGGAAGUUGAUUGGUCGUUUUUUGGGCCUGUUCGUGGACUCUGGUGAAUCUUGGUUACUGAAACCCUAGAAUUUUGGUGUUUUCUUAACUGGGUUAGUAGAAGUCGGUUGUUCUUCUUGCAGUCGUUGUUGUUGUUGAUCGUUGUCUUGGCUGGAGGUAUUGGUCGAAUUUCUUACCUUCUUGUUCAGAUUCGUGUGGUGAUUUUGUUGAACUUCUUGUUGCUAUUCUGUUGAAUUGUGUGGUAUUCUCUUCAAAAUUGAAUUGGGUUGGAGAUUUCUGUUAAUUGUUGGUUCUUGAUUACUUCUGAUUGACGCACGAAUCGUUGUGUGGUGAUUAAGCAGUUUUUGAUUACGUGAUUAACCAGUUCUUGAUUACUUUUAUUUUCUAUAAAGAUUGUUGUUUCUUGAUUAAGCAUGGUGACCACAGCCCAAUUAGCUCUUACACAGUCUCCUAUUUCUUCCCUAAUACCAAGUGUUGGUAAUACUGUCACAGUCAAGUUAAAUGAUUCUAACUAUAUCACAUGAAAUUUUCAACUUGAAUUACUGUUAAAAGGUAAUGGUAUUAUGGGAUUUCUUGAUGGCUAUAUCUCCUGUCCUGAGAAAUAUACUGCUACUGAAGAUGGCAUUGUGAUUAAUUGCUCUAUCAUAAAUGAUGCCUAUAAAGUUUGGAAGAUUCAUGAUAAAGCUUUGAUGACUCUUAUCACUACUACCUUGUCUCCUGCUGCCCUAUCGAGUGUCAUUAGGUGUCAAAGCUCCAAGGAAAUGUGGAUUAACUUGAAAGAGAGGUUCUCGAGUAUGACUAGAACAAGUAUUGUCCAGAUGAAAAUUGAUCUGCAGACUAUUAAGAAAAGGGCUGAAUCUAUUAAUCUUAAUCUUCAACGCAUCACAGACUGUAGAGACCAGUUAGCUGCAGUGGGUGUUGUUAUGCCUGAUGAAGAUAUUGUCAUAGUUGCUCUCAAAGGCUUACCAACUGAAUACAACACUAUUAAGGCUGUUAUUCGAGGAAGAGAAAAUCUUGUGUCACUGAAAGAGCUGAGGUCUCAGUUGAAGGCAGAAGAAGCAACCCUUGAAGAAAGUCUUAAACAACCUCUAAUGGCCGCAAUGUAUGCUAAUAGUUCCGGUUCCAUACAUGAGUUUGGAGGGUCAUCUGGUACCAAUCUAGUUCGGGCAACUAUGAUACUGGCUCAUCAUUAUAUCAUGUACCUCAAAUGACCUCAUUUCCUUAAAUGCCACAACUAGCUCAAAUGCCUACCAUGAGUUAUAUGUCUAACAUGGCUCCGGUGAAUCAACUACCUUAACUUCCACAGUUUCAGCCAUUCUCUCUUCAAGCUCCACAUGGUCCUUAUGCAUUUGUGUCUCAAGCAGGAUCUGGCACUUAUAAUAAUUUCAGGGGGCAAAAUUUCAAGUACAAAGGAAAAGGGAAGAAAUUUCACUCAGGUUAUCAGGGGUAUGUUCAAACUAAUGUUCAGUCUCAACCACAAUCUAGUUUUCAAACUACACAACCUUAUAAUCCUAUGUUGAUCUGUCAAAUUUGUGAUAAAAAGGGACACUCUGCACUCCAUUGUUUUCAGCGUGGAUGCCAAACCUGCAAUAGGGUUGGUCACACUGCAGCUAUAUGUUUCGACAUGGGUACUUCUUUUAUGCCCAUGUCUCAGCCUAUGUAUUAGUCUCAACAGUUUCAAGCUUCUGCUUCUGUUCAACAAUAUCAAUCUCCACAGUUUCAGGCUCCUGCUCCAGUUCAACAAAUGCAUCCAUCGUAUGUGCAGCAUCAGAACAUGUCACAACAAGCUACAUCUCCUGUUGCUUUCACUGCAAGAACCAACUUCUCACCUUUUGCACCUCCGCAAGAGUAUUGGCUGCUUGAUUCUGGUGCUACCAAUCACAUGACCUCUGAUCUGUCCUGUCUACAAGCUCUUACCCCAUAUCCAUCCACUGAAACUGUAACUGGGGCUAAUGGUGAAGGUUUACACAUUUCGCAUAUUGGACAGUAUUCUCUUAUUACUCAUUCUUAUAAACUUCAGUUAAAAACAAUGCUUCAUGUUCCACAAUUAUCUCAACAUUUACUUUCCAUGGAUCAAUUAUGUAAGGACAAUAAUUGUCGAUGCAUUGUUGAUGAGUUUUUUGUGUGCAUACAGGACAAGGUCACCAACAAGGUUCUCUUUCAAGGACUGAGUAACAAUGCUGUUUACCUAUUUCCUUUGCUCAAACAACCACAGAUCAAACCUGCUGCUUAUCUUGGCCAGAAAGUUAAUACUACACUGUGGCAUUGUAGAUUGGGUCAUCCAACCAAUUAUGUAGUUAGUAAGGCCGAUAUUUCUUUUCAUUGUCAUUCUGUUCCUCAAACAUGUACCUCUUGCUUACAAGGCAAGUUUACCAAAUUACCAUUCCCAUUAGCAUCAUCUAAGUCCAAUGUACCAUUUGAAGUCAUUCACACAGAUGUGUGAGGACCUGCACCUAUCAUGUCUAUAGAGGGUUAUAUGUACUAUGUGUCUUUUAUCGAUGAAUGUACAAGAUAUACAUGGAUUUUUCCAAUGAUGAAUAAAGCUGCAGUUUGUGAAAUCUUUAUUCAGUUUCAUGCCUUCUUUCAAAAUUCAUUUUCUGUCAAUAUCAAAGUCUUACAAAGUGAUGGUGGUGGAGAGUUUGUUGGAUCUGUGUUUCAAAAGUUUCUUAGAACCAAAGGUAUAUUGCAUCAAAAGUCUUGUCCCUAUACCCCUGAACAAAAUGGGUUGGUUGAGAGAAAAAAUCGUCACAUAGUUGAAAUUGCUCUUACUUUACUACAAAAAGCCUUUCUUCCUUCACAGUUUUGGUUUCAUGCUUGUGCCACAGCCACGUUUAUUAUCAAUAGAAUGCCUACACCUGUUUUACAUAUGCAAUCCCUAUUUGAAAUGUUAUAUCACUCUCCACCUAGGCUUGAUCAUUUAAGGGUAUUUGGGUGUGCAUGUUACCUUACUUUAAAACCCUAUAGACAUAACAAGUUGGAACCAAAAACUACACAGUGCAUAAUUCUGGGUUAUGCAGCUCAGUACAAAGGAUAUAUUUGCUAUGCUAUCCGAGACCAUAAACUCAUUGUCUCUAGGCAUGUUGUGUUUGAUGAAGAUACAUUUCCUAGCUUACCAGAUUCUGUCUAUAGUUCACUAUCAUUGGCACCGCCUAUUAUACCUCAUCCAAAUAACUUUGAGCAUCCAUCCUUUAUUCACAUUCCUUUUCGCCAUAUUCCAUUUCCUUAUUCUUCUUCCCAUACCACUGAUCCUUAUUCUGUUACUCAGUCCUCUUCUUCCAUACCUGGUGAUCUUGUCUCUUCUCAAUGCUUACCUACUGAGGCCACAGUUGCAUAGUAUGUGGAGCAUGUUGAUAUUCAUCCUGAUGUUACUACUUCUCAAGUUCAAGCCCUGCAUCAUGUUCCAGUGUCUCAACUCAAUACACAUCCAAUGCAAACAAGGUUGAAAUCUGGCAUAUUAAAAAAGAAGGCUAUUCUUGCUCAGGUACAAUCUUCAUCUAUCAUUGAGUCACAGUCUUUCAAGGUUGCUGUUAAGUCCUUUGAGUGGAGGCAAGCUAUGGAAGAUGAAAUGGCAGCUCUUGUGAAGCAGAAAACCUGGAGAUUAGUUCAUCUUCCACCUAACAAGAACUUGGUUGGUUGUAAAUGGAUCUAUAAGAUCAAAAGUAAUCCUGAUGGUUCAGUUGCUCGAUACAAGGCCAGGUUGGUAACCAAGGGUUUUUCCCAAGAAGUCGGUCUUAACUAUCAUGAAACUUUCAGUCCCGUCGUCAAGCCAACCACAGUGAGACUUCUGUUGUCCCUAGCUGCUACAAAGCGUUGGAAAUUAAAACAGUUAGAUGUCAAGAACGCAUUUCUUCUUGGUUUUCUUGAUGAAGAGGUGUAUAUGUCUCAGCCACAAGGCUUAAUUGAUCCCGAUCAUCCUGAGUUUGUGUGUAAGUUAGACCGGUCUCUCUAUGGAUUUAAACAAACUCCUCGAGCUUGGAAUGACAGAUUUUCCAGGUUUCUUCUUACCUUGGGCUUUAAAUCCUUAUAUGUUGAUCCAUCUUUAUAUGUGAAACAUAAUGGUCAGUCUAUUGUUGUACUGUUAUUAUAUGUUGAUGAUAUAAUCCUCAGUGGUGAUUGUGAUACUCAAGUUCAAGCUGUCAUACAUCAGUUAACAGCUGAAUUUGAUAUGAAUGACCUAGGGAUUUUACACUAUUUCCUUGGUCUUCAAAUUCAUUAUUGCCAUACCGGUUUCCUUGUGCAUUAAACCAAGUAUAUUACUAAUCUUCUUACUAAGACAAACAUGCUGGAUAGCAAACCGUGUUCAACUCCUCGUCAUCCAAAUCAGAAGCUGCUGAAUCAUGGUAGUCCUCCUUUCCAUGAUCCGGGUAUCUAUCGCAGCAUUGUUGGUGCUCUCCAAUAUUUGACAUUUACAAGACCGGAUAUUGCGUACUCGGUCAAUCAAGUUUGUCAAUUCAUGCACCCACCUCUGGAUAGUCGUUUCAUUGUUGUUAAACGGAUCUUGCGGUACCUACGAGGGUCCAUGAAUCUUGGCUUGUGUUUUCAACCUAGAAAUCUGGAUAUUAAAGCAUAUACGAAUGCCGAUUGGGCUGAGGAUCCUAAUGACAGGAGAUCCACCACGGGUUUUGUGGUAUUCCUGGGCACUAAUCUUGUCUCUUAGAGUUCUAAGAAGCAGCACACGGUUAGUCGAUCAUCUACCGAGGCUGACUAUCGUGCUAUGGCGACAACAACUGCUGAGGUGGUUUGGUUACAACAAAUACUCAAGGACUUGCAUCUUCCCUGUUCAGAAGUUCCUCUUCUACACUGUGACAACAUUUCUGCUAUGGCACUGGCAACAAAUCCGGUUUUACAUUCUAAAGCUAAACAUAUUGAAAUCGAUUGUCAUUUUGUUCGAGAACGUGUUCAACAAGGUUCCAUUAUCUUGCAAUUUGUUGCAUCCUCAGAGCAGCAUGCUGACAUCUUUACCAAGGGCUUAUGUUAUCCUAUGUUUAGCUCACAUUGUAACAAUCUUAUGCUUGGUUCUUCCCUGCAUAAGCUUGAGGGGGAAUGUUAGGAUAUAGCUAUGCCAUGUGUCAUAAUUGUAUUGGAGGUUGUGAAUGUUAGUCAUAAGGUGUGUUGUAUUUAUAAGAGAUUAGUUUUGUCAUAAACAUAAGGAAAUAUAACAAGAUAUAUUUUUCCCUCUCUACUUUCUCUCUCUAUCUCUCUGUUCGAUAUCUUCUUCUCUAAGUUUCUUCCAUAUAAUUGGUUUGUUAACAGUUUCUACAGAUAACAUAGCAGCAACAGUCAAAGCCUGGGAUAAUCAGCCAUACUCAUUUGCCUCCACUUAGGUCUUUGACAAUGAAGGUUCUAGCGGAAGCUCCACAAAAAAUCAAGGAAAUACUUGGCAGACUCAUCAAAGAUUUAAAAGGAAAAUGAUCAAUGUGCUCAAAACCAAUGGGGAAUCGCUUCUAACAGAUGGUACAGGAACAAAAAGCCCAAGUAGGAAUGAGUUGCAAAACUUUUGUGAAUACAUAUCUGACACUUCUAUUACAGUGCAGCCAAGGUUAUGAUGGAUGUAUAAUAUUUUAAGACUUAAGUUGGUACGCAAUAUUAAGACUCAAGCAAUUUGCAAAAGAAUAAGUGUCUAGGAAUUGCGUUAUAAAAAAUAAACUGUAGAAGGGUAUAUUUAUAUGAGUCAAGGAGAAGACCUUUUAUAAUAGAAUCCUCAUUAGACCUGGAAAUCCCAAAGGAUAUCUAGGAAGUAGAUAUUGCAGAAUGUGAUUACUUGCAAGGCACGUCAAUUCUUAUCAUUGUCAAUAAUGUUAAAUGUAUCUCCAACAAAUUAGCGAGUUAAGUCAUUUUCUACUCAAUAAUUCCCCACAAACUAUUGAUCCAUGAGUCAAAUUAAGUUUUAUGAACAGUGGCUAGUAAUUUAGAAAGAAAAAAAAAUGACUUUAGUCAAAUCUUUAUUAUCUCUACCAUCUCUUGUGAGGGAAAGUGAUCAUCUCCGGAUUCUUUCUUUCUAAUCCACUAAGUCCGAGUACCCAGACUGUUGAAAUUUGAUCAUAAAUUUAAAAAAUGGAACUCAAAUAGAAUAUCAAUUCUUGGGAGCAGCCUCUCCAUAAAUGGGGGUAAGGCUAGCCGACAUUCAUCUCUCCCAGACCCUGCGUAAAGCGGGAGCCUUCUGCACUGGGUACGACCUUUUUAAAUAGAAUAUCAAUUGGAUCCUAAAUUGUAUGGGUUUGAAAAUUUUAAAUUUUAACCCAAUAAUUAAAGAUGGUCUAAUACAAAAUCUAAAACUUUAGCUUUUGUGUUAAUUUUGUAAAUAGAGAGACGGAAACUAAUUACACUUGAGUCUGGGCUUCCAAAAAUAAAACAUAAAGAAAAAUAAAAAUUCUUUUGCUUUGUCACAAUCACAUUCCACUCGUUUCAAUUGUAUCGGACGUCCACGAAUUAAUAUUCACUUUGGGUGUGGAAUAUAGCUUCUAUGCCAUUAAUUACACUUUUGGAUUUCUAUGCCAUUAGUUUACUCUUGGAGUCCGAAAAUUCUUAUUUCUCCAGAUUAUUAUUAUUAUUAGUUUUUGGAAGCUUCUAUGCCAUCAGUUACUCUUGGAGUCUGAAAUGUUGCUUCUAUGCCAUUAGUUUACUCUUGCAGUGUGAAAUAUUGCUUCUAUGCCAUUACUCUUGCAGUCUGAAAUUUCUCCCGAUUAUUAUUAUUAUUAUUAUUAUUUUGGAAGCUUCUAUGCUAUUAAUUACUCUUUUUCCAGAUUUAUCAUGGAAUAACCAGCCACUGACCUAUAAAAGUAAAAGGAUGUGCUAUCCACACAUCCAAUUUUACUUAUUACAUAUAUUUUUAAUUUUCGACCGUCGGAUCAGAUGAAUUGAAGAAGAUCAACGAACAUAAAUUAUUAAGGGGUGUGUGAGAAGUAAAAUGGGAUGUGUGGAUAGCACACCUUAAAAGCAAAACACCAAUCAACCUUUACACCACUUAACGCUUCCUCCUCAGCGCUUAUUUCUCAUUCUCUCCUUCUGCUCCCAUCUGCCUCUUUUGAGCACCACUAUGGCAGACAUUGAGAAUCAAAACCCUCCUUCAAAUGUUAAAGGAAGCUAUAAAUAAUAAAUUAAAAAAAAAUAGAAAACUUCAUUUUAAUCUUUAAAAAAGAUAAGUUUUAGACUAUAACCUUGUUUAAGAUUAAAAUCUAAUUUUAGUCCCUAGUACGUUUAAUCAUCUCAUUUAUUAGUUCUAUUUUGAUGUUUUAUUUAUCUUUUUAUUCUUAUUUUAAUGUAUUAAUUACAUUUAAAUUUAAUUUUCAAGGACUAAUGUCCAAAUGGACCAAAAAACAAAAAUAGUAGCUUCUCUAUAUCCCUAGUUACGCCACACACAAGUGACGAAAUGUUUAAACCCAAACCAAAAGGACAAAAAAUCUACCCCAAACUCCCCAACACCACUCAACACAUCCUAACCGCUACCACCACCUCAACUCUCAUUUCUUAUUUCUCCCCUUCUGCUCCUAGCUACCUCGUUCGACCACCACUAUGGCGGGUGAUGAAAAUCAAAACCCUCCUCCAAAUCCACCUCCAAAUCAGCAUACACAACUCACUCUAAACAUCCUCUUGGUAUUUAAUCAUAUGAUAAUUUUUUUGCUUGGGUAAAGUUGUAUAAUAAUCUACAUAAAAAUAAGAACAGGCAAGUGCUAAUCCAAACAAGUCUAUUAAUUACUUUCCAACUAGUUUUAACACAAAUAAAACAUGCAUACAAAAAGACAAUAGAAGGAGAACAAAUAUUAUCAUUUUUGUUGAUAACAGGUUACCCAAAAGAAAAAUAGGUUAGGGGAUACCUGUCCUUUAGAUCCUUAAUGGAAGUGAAAUCUUUUGUUAUUAUCAGAAUCAAUAUUGUCGUCAAGCUCUUUUUAUUAAUUACAAAUACAAGAACCAUGAAACAUGGAUUAUUCCCCCAAAUCUUUAACCCUAAUAGACAAAUUCAGGUACCAAAGAAAUAAUUAACCUAACAAUUGAAUCAAGAAAUAAAAUAAAUGACGAGAUGAGGAACUUACCCGAUGUUGAAAUUUCAUUAGAAAAUAAUUUGACAAUGAUUCAUAGUUUUUUUUUUUUUUGGAGAGCAGCACAGCUUUCUCGAAUAAGACAGAGGUUUUUUUUUUUUUUUUGAAUGAAUAUGGUAAAAAACAUGGGAAGUAGAAGAAAUCUAAUUAUGUAUUAAUUUACCAUUGAUACUUUUAGCCUAAAAAAAAUAAAAUAAUAUAUAAAGUAAAUUUUAUUAUUUUUUUUAAAAGAAAAAAAAGUAGUAUUUAUGAAUUAAGAAACAUAUUUAAUAAUACUUUAGCAUGAGUUGGGUGGACUAUUAUACCUACAAUAAGCAAAAAUAAACUCAUAUAUAGACAUUGUAGAUGCAGUCUGCAAAAAUCCUGAUAGUGGCGACUUUUACAUUCGGUUGUUUGGUUGGUUCUGAUUGUAUUUGGGUCCUGCAGCUGAUAUUUUUUUUUUUUUUUGGUCAAUAAUCCUACAGAUAAUCCCUACAGACAACUUUUACAUGGUUGAUUGGUUAUAACUUUUUUUCUUUUUUUUUUUGUUUUUUGUUUUUGGUCAAUAAUCCUACAGAUAAUCCUACAGACAACUUUUACAUGGUUGAUUGGUUAUAACUUAUUUGGUUCCUGAUAGUAUUUGGGUCCUACAGGCGACUUUUGCAUUUGGUUAUUUGGCCCGUUUGAUACCAAAAUGCCACUUCACAUUACGUUGCUGAUGUCAUUUUGGCACGAAAAUGGCACUUUAUUGGGUUGCUGACGUCCUUUUGGUCAUUUGAUCCGUUUGCUACCAAAAUGCCAAUUUACAUUACGUUGCUGAUGUCAUUUUGGCAUUACCAAAAGGCAACUUUAUAUUACGUUGCUGAUGUCAUUUUGGCACCAAAAUGCCACUUUAUUUACGUUGCUGAUGUCAUUUUUGUCAUCAUUUGGUGGUUCCUGAUAAUAUAUGGGUCCUACACGCACCGGGAACACGCAUGAGUAUAAGACUACUACUACCCCAACUCCCCGACACCAUUCAACACAUCCUCACCUCCACCGCCACCUCAACUCUCAUUUUUUACUCCCCUUCCGCUCCAAGCUGCCUCUUUCGACCACCAUUAUGGCGGACGAUGAAAAUUAAAACCCUCCUCUUAAUCCACCUCCAAAUCCGCAAACACAGUUGACUCUGACCAUCCUCGGUCUUAGCUACCAUUAUGUUUCCCCUCGGGGUUGAUCCCAGCUACUUUGUCAAACCUCCCUCCACCGAUGCGGCUAGUUGUUAUUGCAAACUGAAUAACUGCUCAUGCCUUCCCCCUUUCUACAUUUUCUCUGUCGUGGCCACGGCAACGCUGUCUCUUGUUUGGUUUGGACUUUUUGUCCUUUCCGCCCGACUUUUAUACCGCUUCGUUAUAUGGGUAGGGCUUGGCUUAGUGUGGGCUACCUACUGGCUCGCGUUGCGUGGCAUCCUUCCAUCCCAAUUUUAUAAUCCAAUGCUUUAUUCCUUCAAUCCUCUUAUGGCGGUCCUAUUGUUGCUUAACCUAAAAUUUCAAAAUGUCCGGGACCGGGCGAUCCAUGUCAUAUCUGAUAACUGGGAUUAGGUUAUCCAUGUCAUAUCUGAUAAUUGGGAUCGGGCGAUACAUGACAUAGCUGACAUCUGCGUUCUGUUUUGGAACUAUAUCACUGGAAACUACUAAAAUUUGAGUAUUUAAAGUCUGUUCAUACUUUUUUUGCUUUUUUUCUUAUAAUUUUUUUUUUCGAAAUUACCAUUUCUUGAUUAAUAUGUGUGGGACAUAUUAACAUUUUUUAUGAAAGAAUCAUUCUAAGACCAUCUCCGACUUUUAGUUAAAACUUAAAAUUUCUAACUCAGAAAAUGUAGAUUUAACUUAGAAACAGUUUUUGUGCUCCAGUUGUUCUGGGUUAAAUUUUUAGCCCAGAUUAUUAAAUAAUGAAUUCAAACUAAUUUUUUUUGGGUAAUUUUUUCAAAAUAAAAUUUAUGUAGAUUAUCAUAUUUAUUUUUAUAAAAAUUUCAAUAUUCAAAUAUUUAGAUUGUGAGAAAAGUUAAAAAUUCACUAAAUGGAUCGUAUGAAACAUGUAUUAUAGAGAUUUUAAGUGAAUUUUGAUUUAAAUAUUUUUUUUCCAAUUGUUUUAGCAGUUGAAUUUAAUUUUUAGCCAUUGGAUCUUUUUUUUUACCAUUAGAUUUGAUCUUAUUCGAUCUUAGCCGUUAGAUUUAUUGUAUUUAAAAUUUUAAAAUUACCCAAAUUUUAGGUUUUAACUCAAAACUUAUUUUAAAUCCAACUAUUGAAAAAGGAUUGGGUUAAUCUAAAACCUAAUUUUAUAUUUUAACCCAAAGGUUAAUUUAAAAUCUAAGUGAUUUAUGCUUUCUUCUUAUAAUUAUUUUAUAAAAAAAAAUCUUUUUUUUUGUCAAAAUUAUAAAAUCAUUUUAAUUAAUUCAUGUUUAUCAUUUUUGACACACCCUGAUCCGGAUGAUCCAGGUGUGCUGGCCGUCACGUGGGCGUGACGUAACCAUAAGCACGACACGGAAGCGUAACAACAACAUAAAUCAACAGAAAUUCAAACCAAACUCAACAUAACCACCUACGGACAUAACCGGACGAGUUACAAGUAAACACAUAAGUUCAGAGCAUAGGUUAACUGCAGUCAAGUAGGACUAAAAUAAGAAUACAUCACCCUCAGGUGAGUCCUACAUGUCCCAAAUCUGUCAGAAAGCCGGAAAGGACCUCGUGAGCCAACCACCGCUAAACUAGAACCUGGAGGGGCGCAAAACAAAAUGAGUGGGUCAGUAAAACAAAUUAGUUUUGCAAAAACAUUUCAUUAAAACAGUUAUAUCCCUCGCCGUAAAAACCUGUAUAAACCUGUAUACUUUCCCAGAAAUAUAUAACCAUAUAAAAUCUCAACAUUUAAAUCUCAAAAUCUUUAACAUUUUCAAGAAAAACAUGCCAUGCCAUAAAUCAAAAUAUAAAUCAGGUGAAAUAAGGAAUCAAUCGGAGACCCCUGCAGUUGGUCCUAUACGAUUAAUUCAAUAGCUCAAAUCCCACUAAGCCGGAGUCACCACAGUGACCUAUACGGCCCUACUCUGCACAUCACUCGGAACUACGUAAGGUAGUCUAUACGAUGAAAGGUGUAAAAAUACGCUCUAGUGCUUCUCUCAUCAUAUCAUCAGCGCGCAUAUCUAAGGUCACCCACCAGUCGGAACCCCUCUAAUGGUCUGUACGACUGGCAUGUCGGAACCCUCACAUGGUCUGUACGACAUCCACCUACUUGGAUCCAAGGCGAGCGUGCGGUGUGGUGAAUAAAAUAAGCACUAACACCUAGGGUGCAGGUUAUGAGCUCAAAACAUCUCAACAACAAUUCAAUGAAUAAAUGAACUCACCUGACUUACCUGUGCCUCCACAACACCAUGCAACAUGUAUGCAUCAUAUAUCAAUCAUAUAACUCGUAUGAAAUUCACAUUUUCCAAAUAAUUCUAUGCAUGGCAUUUUCAAAACAUAAUUUCUCAUAAAAGCAUUUUUUCUGGGAAAAACAAUAGUAUAUAGGUAAUACGAAAACAAAACUGCCCACUCACUGAUAAGUCGACGGGUCGUAACCCCCCGUGGCGUCCCUGGAUGCGGUCGUCCUCGGGAUACGUCUCACCUAUAUGCGAAACAACUAUAAAAAACAUUAAUUUUAAGCAUAUCACCAAUAAUUCGAAAUAACUUCUCAUACGAUGCUCAAUUUUGGUAUAUGAAUAUACCACAUCGACCUACUCGACGUCACGAGCGUCGGGAAAUUUUUAGAAAAAAUUUUUGGAAGCCCCACGCGCCCCCACGCGCCACACGUGGCACGGGUCCACGCGCUGGCCACGCGCAGCACGUGCAGCGCACGUGUCAUCUUCCUCGCAGGGUCUCGCCGGACUGGUUCUCCGGUGGCCGGACUCCGGCCGAACUCCGGCCGAUUUUCAAACUCACUGUUCUCCUUCGUUUUUCACCCAUUUUCUUCGUAUUUUAUACCAAAUUGAAGCCCUAAGAGUGUACUAUCACGUUGGACUAGUUUUAGGGCCUAAAAACUACGAAAUCUCACCUUGCAAAAACCAAGGGUUCGGCCAAACUUGAAACCUACGAUCCCGGCGUCCAAAAUUCUCCAACGAACGUCCCCGAGCUUCCUUAGGACCUCCUAAAAGCUCACCACAAGCUUGAAAUCUCCUGAAACACACAACAUUUUACGUUCGCAUGAACAGUACCUCAAAAAUGGAGGUUUGGGAUCUACGUGAAAUCGAAGGUUUCACUUCCUAAAACUAGUACCAAUGAACUCAGGACGUCAAAAACGAUGAAGAUACAUACCUUAUUUGCCCCGAUCCGUCAAGUUUUUGAAGGGUUUUGGUGGUGGUCCGUACGAUAUGGGUGUGUGAGGGUGUGAGUUUGUGAGGGAGAGACAGAGACAGGGAAAGCACGGGGGAAGAGAGGGAGAGAGGAAGAUCAGGUGUGGUCCAAAAUAAUCCACACCCUCCACUUCAUCCUAACCAAACAUACCACAAAUCAAUUUCCAAUAAAAUCCCAUCCAACCAAUGCUAUUUUCAAAAUAACGUUACGUACCUACGUACCUUAAUGUCCAAUAAGGGCAAUUCUGUCAUUUCACAUUCCCGUCAAAAGUACCUCCGGGACGGGCUGUGACAAUCUCCCCUCCUUAUAGAAUUUCGUCCCCGAAAUUCCCAUAACCAAAUCAUAAUUCAAUACUCGUAGAAUAAUCUUGGGUACAUCUCUCUCAUCCGGUCUUCCCGUCUCCCAAGUAGCUUCCUCUGUAGCUUCCUCUGCAGAAUGGUUCCUCCACAACACCUUGACUAAACUCACCGUCUUGUUCCUUAGAACUUUAUCCUUCCAAUCCAAUAUAGUGACCGGUUCCUCAUCAUAAGUCAAAUCCGGAUUAAUCUCUAACGGUUGAGGAGGAAUCACAUGAGAAGGAUCAGAAACAUAAUGUCGAAGCAUAGAGACAUGGAACACAUUAUGGACCUUAGAUAACUCCGGAGGCAGUUCCAACCGGUAGGCAACUUCACCAACUCUUUCAAUGAUCACAUAAGGUCCAAUAUAUCUCGGACUUAGCUUUCCUCUUUUCCCAAAUCGUACCACACCUCUCCAAGGCGACAAUUUCAAGAAUACCCAAUCACCCCACAUCAUACACUCGAUCAGUAGUAUGCCGAUCCGCUAAACUCUUCUGUCGAUCCUGGGCUGCUUUCAGGUUUGACUUAAUUACCUGAACAUUUUUGAGAGUCGUCUCAUCUACGAUCUCAGGGCCUUCUAAUAUCCGUUCGCCAACCUCAGACCAACAUAAUGGCGUUCGACACGCCCUACCAUAAAGUGCCUCGAAUGGGGACAUACCAAUGCUCGAGUGAAAACUAUUAUUAUAAGCAAACUCCAUUAAGUCCAGACGAUCAUGCCAAGAAUCACCAAAUUGCAGUACUGAAGAUCUCAACAUAUCCUCCAACGUCUGAAUGGUCCUCUCUGAUUGCCCAUCAGUUUGAGGAUGAUAAGCUGUGCUAUACAAUAAUUGAGUACCCAGAGCUUCCUGAAAAGCCACCCAAAAUUUAGAAGUAAACCUCGGGUCUCGAUCGGAGAUAAUAUUUACUGGGACUCCAUGAUACUUGACAAUCUUCGAAAUAAACAACUUAGCCAAUUUAUUCAGAGGGUAUUUCUCCCUCACAGGAAUGAAAUGCGCAGACUUGGUGAGUCGAUCCACAAUCACCCAAAUACCAUCAAAUCCACUUCGCGCACGAGGAAGUUUAUACACGAAAUCCAUUGUUAUAUUUUCCCAUUUCCACUGGGGAACGGGAAGUGGUUGCAUUCGCCCAAAGGGCUUCUUCCUUUCUGCUUUCACUUGUUGGCAAAUAAUACACCUACUCACAUAUCUCAUUCUGCAAUUUCUCUUUUCAUACCCGGCCAAUAAUAAAAUGGUCGAAUGGUAUGAUACAUUUUUGUUCCUCCCGGAUGCAUUGCAUAAGCUGAACAAUGUGCUUCGUCCAGAAUUUCCUUCUUCAAUUCCUCAUUAUUCGGAACAUACAUUCUGUCUUCUUGCAUGAGCAUACCAUCUGAUUCUCGAAUUCUGAGGUCUUUCUUUUUCCCUUCACUUCUUAACUGAACCAACUCCUGAACUUCCUCAUUCACCAUCUGAGCUGCAAGUAUACGGUCCACCAAAACUGGCCUGACUUGAAAACUAGCAAGAAAAGCUCCAUCUCGGUCUUCAAUUUCCAACCUUACCCCCGUUGUCCUCAAUUCAGCAAGAAGAGGAACACGACUAGCAUAUAAGGCAUUAAGCCUACCUUGAGGUUUCCUACUCAGUGCAUCCGCUACUACAUUAGCACGACCUGGAUGGUAUUCAAUAGAACAAUCAUAAUCACUUAGCAAUUCCAUCCACCUUCGCUGACGAAGAUUAAGAUCAUGCUGGGUGAAUAAGUACUGAAGACUCUUAUGAUCAGUGAAGAUCUUACACUUCUCACCAUAACAAAUAAUGUCUCCAAAUUUUCAAAGCAAAAACAAUUGCUGCCAAUUCAAGAUCGUGAGUAGGAUAAUUCCUUUCAUGAUUUUUCAACUGCCUAGAAGGAUAGGCAAUCACCUUAUUAUGCUGCAUCAAAACACAUCCCAAACCAUUUAAUGAAGCAUCACUAUAUAUCUCAAAAUUACCGCUAUCGUCAGGAAGUACCAACACCGGUGCAUGAGUGAGGCAAUACUUUAAUUGCUGAAAACUCCGCUCACAAUUCUCAUCCCACUCAAAUUUAACAUCCUUCCUGGUCAACUUUGUCAACGGUAAAGCAAUCAUAGAGAAAUCCUGAACGAACCCGUCGAUAAUAAACCUGCUAAGCCAAGAAAACUUCGUACCUCCGUGACGGUUCGAGGUUGCUCCCAAUUCUCCACUGCUGCAAUCUUUUGAGGAUCAACUUGAAUACCUUGAGCUGAUACAACAUGCCCCAAAAAUGCCACUUCAGUCAACCAAAACUGACAUUUACUGAACUUGGCAUACAACUGAUGCUCCCUUAAUUUCCUUAACACCAAAUUAAGGUGUCGGAUAUGAUCUGCUUGGGACUUAGAGUAUACCAGAAUAUCGUCAAUAAAAACAAUAACGAAUUUAUCAAGAUAUUUCUGGAAUACCUCAUUCAUUAAUCUCAUAAAAGCUGCAGGUGCAUUAGUCAACCCAAAUGGCAUAACCAAAAAUUCAUAAUGCCCGUACCGAGUCCGGAAAGCCGUCUUAGGUACAUUAUCUUCCUUAAUCUUCAAUUGAUAAUACCCAGAUCUCAAAUCAAUCUUAGAAAAUACACACGCACCUUUCAGCUGAUCAAACAAAUCAUCAAUGCGAGGCAAUGGAUAACGGUUUUUAAUCGUUACCCGGUUCAAUUGUCUAUAAUCAAUACACAAUCGAAGAGUUCCAUCCUUCUUCUUCACAAAUAAUACUGGGGCACCCCAAGGUGAAGAACUAGGUUGAAUAAAACCUUUAUCAAGUAAUUCUUGCAAUUGGAUUUUUAAUUCUCUCAACUCAGCAGGAGCCAUUCUAUAAGGAGUCAGAGAUAUAGGGUCCGUACCUGGAAGCAAAUCAAUAGAGAAUUCCACCUCUCUGUCUGGCGGCAAUCCCCGGCAAAUCAUCAGGGAAAACAUCCGGAUAAUGUCUGACACACACCAACUUCUUCUAUACUAGUAGGAGCAACAUCAUUUAAUACCACAUGUGCCAAAUAUCCCUGACAACCCUUCGAUAAUAAUUUCCUCGCCCUCAUGGCAGAAAUAACUCCAUGUCUCACCCCACUUCUCUCGCCCACAAAAGUAACCUCGGGUAAUCCAGGACGAUAAAAAGUAACUGAUUUACCAUAACAAUCAAUAUGGGCACGAUUAUGGUGUAACCAAUCGGCCCCUAAAAUUACAUCAAAAUCCACAAUAUCUAACGGAAUAAGAUCAGUGGACAUAAUCACGCCCUCAACCAUCACUGGACACCCCAGAUACACACUAUCCACAUAACAUUUAUCUCCUCUAGGCAUGGCAAACUCUAAAUCAAAUCCUAGAGGUGAAGGGUGAGGUUGGGUUAUUUGAGCAAACGUAUGAGAAAUCACAGAGUGCGUAGCACCACAAUCAAUCAAAACCUUAGCAAAAUGACCAAGAACAUUUAACGUACCCAUUAUCAAGUCUGGAUGGUUCUGAGCCUCCUGCAGGGACAUAUGAUUAACUCGCCCCUGAGCUUGCUGACGUCCACCUCGGCCUCUAUUGCCCUGAUUACCUCGUCCCUGAGGAUUACGUCCCUGGCCUGGCUGACUAGGCUGCCUGGAUGAUCCUGCACCACCAGUAGCAAUUUCCCCCUGACGGGGCUGACCUCCCUGAUGCCACUGCGAUCCACCAGUUGGCAUAGAGGAAUAAGAAGAAUAACCUCCAAAAUCCUGAGAAUACCCUGCCUGAGGAUAUGGCUCCUGAGAAUACUGAUAAGGUCCGGAAGCAUACGGAGCAGCAUCCCCCUGAUAGUGGUAGGCACCACCACGACUCGACUGGCCAUAACCACCCGGUCCAAAACUCUGCUGAACUGGUGCUGGAGGUGGCAUUUUAGUCUGCUGCGGUCUCUGCUGACCCUGGGGGCACUGAGAAGCCCGAUGUCCCAUCUGCCCACACGUAAAACAAGCACCAGAACCUCUCCUACACUCACCAUGGUGACGGGAGUUACAGCGGCGGCACCAUGGAGCGCCAGAUCCACCAGCGUCCCUCUGACCCUGAAAUCUGGGUCCACCAGAAAAUCUUCCACCACCUCUCCUCGGGCCAGUAAAACUAUAUCCCCCACUAGAAGAACUCGAACUCGCUCCACUCUUCUUAAAACUCUGUGUCUGUCGAGGUCCAGGAAUAGAAAUACCCUUACCCUUAUCACUCUUCUUCUGACCCUCAUUCUUGUCCUCGUCAUCCUCACUGUCAGGAAGAUUAUCAGAGUCCUUCAUCCUAACCAAAAUCUCGAAAUACUCAUGAUAAUCAGCGCAGGGAAGUGCAUUGGCAAAGGUACGCCACUUCUUCUUAGAUCCCAACUUGAAACGUCGAAGCAUCUCUCCCUGAUUACCAGCUGUAUCAGUGUCAUAACGAGACAAAUCAGUAAACUUUCUAUAAUAUUCAUGUGCCGACAUAUUUCUCUGUUUCAACCUGGUGAAUUCCUGCUUCUUACGGUCAAUAUACUCAGGAGGAACGAAUCUCUUCAUAAAAUGCUCUUUGAAUACUUUCCAGUCGGCUGCCGUCUCAGGUGACAUAUACCUAGUCUGAUUUAUCCACCAUGCUGCUGGUUCACGACCCAGAAACCAAGUGGUGGUCUCCACCCACCUAUUAGCAGGGAGAUUCCCCUGACUCUGCAUCACCUGGAAGGUUUUCUCAAUAUGAUCUAGCCAUUUCUCUGCCCCCCUCAUGACUUUCAUUACCCAUAAACCGAUCUAAACUUCAAGUUGUACAUGGUCUCCAGAGGUGUCCUCGGAGGAGGGGAGGACGAAUCACAUUCUGUAAAGCCUGGGCCAUCGCUUCCCCUAACUGAGUAAUAUCCGGGAAAUUAGGUUCAGAAGUACGGCGGGACUCCCUACGCUCUCUACGAGGCGGCAUGAUUCUGACAGAAAACAUCAAAAGAUCGUUAAGACAUUAACAAUUUACAGGACUGCAACCUAAGCUCUGAUACCAAACUGACACACCCUGAUCCGGAUGAUCCAGGUGUGCUGGCCGUCACGUGGGCGUGACGUAACCAUAAGCACGACACGGAAGCGUAACAACAACAUAAAUCAACAGAAAUUCAAACCAAACUCAACAUAACCACCUACGGACAUAACCGGACGAGUUACAAGUAAACACAUAAGUUCAGAGCAUAGGUUAACUGCAGUCAAGUAGGACUAAAAUAAGAAUACAUCACCCUCAGGUGAGUCCUACAUGUCCCAAAUCUGUCAGAAAGCCGGAAAGGACCUCGUGAGCCAACCACCGCUAAACUAGAACCUGGAGGGGCGCAAAACAAAAUGAGUGGGUCAGUAAAACAAAUUAGUUUUGCAAAAACAUUUUCAUUAAAACAGUUAUAUCCCCUCGCCGUAAAAACCUGUAUAAAACCUGUAUACUUUCCCAGAAAUAUAUAACCAUAUAAAAUCUCAACAUUUAAAAUCUCAAAUCUUUAACAUUUUCAAGAAAACAUGCCAUGCCAUAAAUCAAAAUAUAAAUCAGGUGAAAUAAGGAAUCAAUCGGAGACCCUGCAGUUGGUCCUAUACGAUUAAUUCAAUAGCUCAAAUCCCACUAAGCCGGAGUCACCACAGUGACCUAUACGGCCCUACUCUGCACAUCACUCGGAACUACGUAAGGUAGUCUAUACGAUGAAAGGUGUAAAAAUACGCUCUAGUGCUUCUCUCAUCAUAUCAUCAGCGCGCAUAUCUAAGGUCACCCACCAGUCGGAACCCCUCUAAUGGUCUGUACGACUGGCAUGUCGGAACCCUCACAUGGUCUGUACGACAUCCCACCUACUUGGAUCCAAGGCGAGCGUGCGGUGUGGUGAAUAAAAUAAGCACUAACACCUAGGGUGCAGGUUAUGAGCUCAAAACAUCUCAACAACAAUUCAAUGAAUAAAUGAACUCACCUGACUUACCUGUGCCUCCACAACACCAUGCAACAUGUAUGCAUCAUAUAUCAAUCAUAUAACUCGUAUGAAAUUCACAUUUUCCAAAUAAUUCUAUGCAUGGCAUUUUCAAAACAUAAUUUCUCAUAAAAGCAUUUUUCUGGGAAAAAACAAUAGUAUAUAGGUAAUACGAAAACAAAAACUGCCCACUCACUGAUAAGUCGACGGGUCGUAACCCCCGUGGCGUCCCUGGAUGCGGUCGUCCUCGGGAUACGUCUCACCUAUAUGCGAAACAACUAUAAAAACAUUAAUUUUAAGCAUAUCACCAAUAAUUCGAAAUAACUUCUCAUACGAUGCUCAAUUUUGGUAUAUGAAUAUACCACAUCGACCUACUCGACGUCACGAGCGUCGGGAAAUUUUUAGAAAAAAUUUUUGGAAGCCCCACGCGCCCCCACGCGCCACACGUGGCACGGGUCCACGCGCUGGCCACGCGCAGCACGUGCAGCGCACGUGUCAUCUUCCUCGCAGGGGUCUCGCCGGACUGGUUCUCCGGUGGCCGGACUCCGGCCGAACUCCGGCCGAUUUUCAAACUCACUGUUCUCCUUCGUUUUUCACCCAUUUUCUUCGUAUUUUAUACCAAAUUGAAGCCCUAAGAGUGUACUAUCACGUUGGACUAGUUUUAGGGCCUAAAAAACUACGAAAUCUCACCUUGCAAAAACCAAGGGUUCGGCCAAACUUGAAACCUACGAUCCCGGCGUCCAAAAUUCUCCAACGAACGUCCCCGAGCUUCCUUAGGACCUCCUAAAGCUCACCACAAGCUUGAAAUCUCCUGAAACACAACAUUUUACGUUCGCAUGAACAGUACCUCAAAAAUGGAGGUUUGGGAUCUACGUGAAAUCGAAGGUUUCACUUCCUAAAACUAGUACCAAUGAACUCAGGACGUCAAAACGAUGAAGAUACAUACCUUAUUUGCCCCGAUCCGUCAAGUUUUGAAGGGUUUUGGUGGUGGUCCGUACGAUAUGGGUGUGUGAGGGUGUGAGUUUGUGAGGGAGAGACAGAGACAGGGAAAGCACGGGGGAAGAGAGGGAGAGAGGAAGAUCAGGUGUGGUCCAAAAUAAUCCACACCCUCCACUUCAUCCUAACCAAACAUACCACAAAUCAAUUUCCAAUAAAAUCCCAUCCAACCAAUGCUAUUUUCAAAAUAACGUUACGUACCUACGUACCUUAAUGUCCAAUAAGGGCAAUUCUGUCAUUUCACAUUCCCGUCAAAAGUACCUCCGGGACGGGCUGUGACAAUUUUUCUGGUAUAUUUCUGGCCUAAAAAUUAUUGAUACAUAUAUUAUACGCGUAUACACAUUUAAAAAAAUACUCUCGAAUAAUACCUAUGCACCACAAGUGUUCCAUAUUUUACUAACAAUGAUUUGCAUAUAUAUAUAUAUAUAUAUAUAUAUAAUAUCCAAUUUGUUGAUGUUGCUCAAAUAUAAAAUACACUAAAAAAUUACAAAUGCUACAAUUGGCAACAAAAAAUUAGACAAGCUACAGCUAAACAAAUGUUUGUUAUGUUACUUCUUUCUUUUGUUUUUUGUAUGAGUAUAUCUUAUUUAUAUAUAUUUUAAUUAUUUUCUCUUCCAUUGUUAUUUUCAGAGUAGAAAGAUGGAGAUAUAGCUAGUUCUCAGCAAAAUGCCCCGUCCAUUCCACUUGUUUGAAUGUAUUAGAACAAUAGUCGUCUUUUCCUACUAGCUACGUUUUUAUAUUUGGAUCUCUCCAUGUAAGAUACUUGUUAUAUUUAUUUGUUGAAGUGUGUAAUUUUAAUAUUUUGGAUUUGUGUAUUUUUUUGUUUUAAUAUUUUGGAUAUGUGUAUUUUUCUUUUUAAAUAUUAGUGUAAGCGUAAUGUUUAUUGAAUAUUUGUGGUACUGUAGAUUAUCUCUUUUUCGUUAAAUAUAAAAUAUCGUUAUAUAACAAAAAUCAUCAUUUAUCAUAAUCCUCUCAUACUUAAACGGCUUUGUGUCUUAUUGUGGGCUCCUCUCUAUCAAAUCUUGUGCACUAAGGGUGCGUUUGGUACGCAGACGGAACGGAACGGAACGGGACGGGACGGGACGGAACGGGACGGGACGGGACGGAACGAAGGUGUAAUUUUUGAAAAAGACAUGGGGUAUAUUUGUCUUAAAAUGGUAAAACAUUGCGUUCCACAAACGUGGAACAAACCCGUUCCAGGGGGGGAGGUGGAACGCAAAAACACUCAAAAUCUGUCCCGUGGAACAGCCCGUUCCACCCAUUUUUGGCGCACCAAACGCGGGACGGAACGCCUCGUCCUGUUCCGUCCCGUCCCGUCCCACGUACCAAACGCACCCUUAAAAAAAGCCAAUAGAAUCUCUUCGGAUCUUCUUUGUGAGGAUUUCGAAAUUUUUUAAUCGUGUCUGUUUAUUAUACAUUGUGUGUCAAAAAUUAUUUUAUUUAAAAUUAAACAAAAAUAGUACUAACGAAAACGACCGCACUAUUAAAAAAUUCUCAUAAUCUAGAAUAGGAAGAGAUCCUCAUUCCUAAAAAUAAUGUGGCCUCUCUAAUCUUGUGACACUGUCCACACCUAACUCAACAUAACUGUCAACUCAAGUCUCUCUGUUAUCAACCUCGACGCUGCCAUCUCCAUCUCCAAACUGCCGCGAUUCAAACCCAGAAAAGGAAAGCCACGCUCCCAUCCCACCACCACCACCUCCAAAUUCCUGCGACCAGAUAACUCUGCAAAAUCCUCUGCACUAAAAAAGGACUGUUCUACUAAAUCCUCUCCCAAAUUCCGAUGAAACCGACGGCGAACACGAGCGCGAGUUCGAAGCCUUCACCUCCCUUUUAUUCUUCGCGUUCUCCAUGGCUUCGUCUUUGAACGCUCGAAUGUCUACAACUGCAUUUCUACAAGGAUUUGCAGCAAUCCCUUCGUGUAUCCUACUUUUCCUUGCAAGCAAGAGUGCUGUCUCGUAUCUAGCAUUCGCAAUGUCGCAUUUUGCCCCUAAAGAAAUCAAAGGCUCGCACAGUACCUCCUCUUGCUGCUAACAUCAAAUAAGUGUAUCCAUCGGCAUCAGAAGCACAUCAGAGCCCCUGCUUAUCAAUGUAUGAACAAAAUCUGUGGGGCCGUGUUGUGCUGCCCGAUGUAGAGUCCCAUAAAACUCAACAAGACUAUCAAGUACCUUUCGAGGUGCAGCAUUCUUAAGCAACAACUCUUCAAAUUCUUCACCAUUUUGAUUUGUAUCGAAUAGUUACAUUACCGUCUGACCACGUUUAUUCUACAGGUUUAUGUCAGCCCCAACGUCGAUAAGCAAUUUGAAAAUUUCCAGGUAACCGCCCUCUGCAGCUAUCAUGGCAGCUGAGUAUCCCUUUUCAUCUUGCUCAUUGUGAUCAAUGUCUGCCCCCUCAAUCAGUUUCUUCAAAGCCUCAAUACCAUUUGCUUAAGUCACAAGUAUUAGAAGAGAAAAUACUGAUGUAUCGCUUGAUUGAACAAUUUCACCGGAUCGAAUCACGUCUACAACUGCUUGGCGGAAACCAAUAGCCCACCAUGCUGACUCUGCUGUUACGCUUGCAUUCUGACCAGCAGAAUUCACCAGGCCAAAAUCAGCACCGUCUGAAGACAGAAUUUAAGGCAUUCCUGGUGUUUAUAUCUACCACAGAACAUUUGUGCAGUUUGUCAGAUUUUGUCCGAGAUUUGAUAUUGCACCCGGCACCAAUCAAUCAUUGAAGAAUCUUAUUUAAUCCAAGUCGUUACACCAUGUGAACGGGGCAGUCAGUUUCUGAAUUUGUUGUCUUAAUUGGAACUUCUACAUCUGCACCACAAUUUAACAGAACCUCGACCACUCUUUCCUUGUUACAUAAAAUGGCUUGGUGAAUGAGAGUCCUCCCAAAGUGAGGAAUGUUAGGAGAGUGGUGUUGCAAGAGCAUGCGCAAGAUAACACUGGUGGCUUCAAAAUACUCCACAGCACACCAGGUCAAGUUGUAAGCCACGGCUAGUCCUGCACCCACCCGAAACUUCUCCUGUAUUUACAUCCCAGGACCAGCCUUCAAGGCUCAGUUUUAUAUCUGUUCUGGCUCCAGCCUGUCAUUUCGUUCCAGAAAGUAUGUAACAUUAGAUAGGAAGUGUAUAACUAUAAAGGUAUGCAUACUAGCCGAUGAGCUAGGGAUACACCUGCAAGAGGAGUCUUGACAACAGAAAUUUGCUGGCUAACAAUGGCAGAAAUAAGCACAUUACAGUAAACAUUAGUGUGUAGGAAUGGCUUAGACGAUUGAAGCAGCUCCCUGUCAGUUGCAUCGGCAUCACCCCACACUACCACCAAGAAAUAGCAUCACUUUCAUGGAACAAAAGUUAAAUGUUCAAGCAAUUACAACACAUACACAUUUCGGUGAUGGCAACCUUGAUUGUACAUCACACUUAUUUAUGUUGAAGCAUACUUUAAGGCAAUUGUAGGCUUAGUACAAGUCCUCCUAGGUUAGAAAAGCACUUUCAGCAUAAGCGCUUGCUAAAAUUUAAAACCAUAAGGGAAUUUUGAUUAAUUUAUGAUGUUAAAAGACUGUUACCUUGAUGAAUGUGUCAACUACAUCAACGAAGCCGCUGCAGCAAGCAGAGACAAGAGCAUGCACAGCCACCUGAGGGCGGGGAUCAUGUCGGACCCCAUGAGCAUCUCUCCGGACCUAGCCCUGCCCAAGUAGCUUGCCUCCAACAGAGCCUCCUCGCAUGCCAGCUGAGAUGCACCGCCUCUGGUAAGCACCUCCAAUAUCUCCAACUGUCCCUCCAUUACUGCUGCAUUUAUAUCUUACUCAUAAAAAAUGAUUUUAGGCCGCAUGUUAUGUCAGGGUUAUGAGGAAUUUUCAGCAGCAGUGAUUAUGAUUAAGGCUUUUCGAAGCAAAUGCAAAAAACCUUAAUGAGCAUCAUACCUGCACUCCAAAAGAUAUUGAACACCAGGAAGAACUUGUUUCCUGUUUGAAAAAGAAUAUGCAGACCAAUCUCGAGCAACUAAACACAUGAUUCCGAGAGGUACGAAAUUAGGAAUACAAAUUCGUUAAAGUUCCCUAUAUAAAAACAGGGCAAAUUGAUAAGAUUUCACAGUUCACACCACCUUCCCAGCAGCUGUCUCCCAAUGUCCAUCAAUUCCACCACAGAUGUAUCGCCAUUUCGAACGAACUCCAAAUCUACAAACCCAAACACAUUAAACAAAAACGUUUCCUUUACAAAACCCAUUACCGAAAUCCGAUCAAAGUUUGUAAAUUUGAACAAAAGACCAAGUUUUGGAGCAAAAAACACACCUGUGUAGCUAUGAGAGCGGCAGCUUUAGGGCGAUUGAGCCUCAACCCGCGCGCAAGAUGCUUCUGUGCUAAGAACCCAGCAUUGUUUAGGUUCAGUUUCUCAGCUUCUCGUGGAACCACCACCAUUUUUGGGAGUCCUUACUCUCAAGUCAAUGCCUGCAACUUUCAAAGAAAUAGUAUUUUGUUUGUUUUUGUUGUGUGCAAUUUCUUAUCUUUUGGCGGCGAAAUUGAAGAAGGUGGAUAGUGAGUUCAGCAUCGGAAUUGUGGGAACUACUGAAAAUGAUGAAAUAGGUUCUUACUUGUCAAGAGAUACGAAGAUUGGUGUCACUUCGUCAGCCCGAUGAUGCACGGACACAGCUGGGUCACUGGGUUUGCUGAGUGAGGUGUGACUUUCUCUUUCUUUUUCUUUUUCUUUUUUGGUCAGAAAGGUGCGACUUUCUGUUAAGAUGCUCCUCUUUUGAUUGGUAAUUGUUGUAAGAAGUUGGUUAGUUAGAAGGUUAGUAGAGAACCGACUACAAAUAGUCAGCUUGUAUCAGAAUGAAGGCGGUUAUGAAAUAAAUGAAUAUUUGUUAGUAUUCUCUCUAUGUAAACAAGGAAGACGUAGAGUAAGAUCUUAACAUUGGUAUCGAGCCAGCCAUUUUGAUCUCUCAAUCCUUCAUUGUUGCAUGACGCGACAAGCUUUGCGUAAAUCCAUGGAGUCACGAGUUUCCAGCCUCGAAGACAAGUUCGAAGAAUUCCAAAAUUCUCAGGAGGAAUUCCGAUCAAAUCGGUCGGAAUUUCGAGCACUUCAGGCGGAUUUCAAAUCGACCUAGGAUUUGAUAUUGCUUCAGUUGCAAUCCCUAAUGACGUAAUUGAAUGGUGGGUCCGUGGGGGAAUCGUUAGAAGCCACUCGCAGCGAUCCCCAAUUCCAAGAAAUGAUGAAUCUUAAUUCCAAUCACUAAGAAAUUGGGCUGAACUUCAAUCAAUCUACUCGUCCUUCAUUCUUGAAGAUGGAUUUUCCAAGAUUCAACAGUAUCAAAGAUCCAAUGAAGUGGGUUUAUAAGGCAGACCACUACUUCGAUUUCUUUAAUAUCGAAGAGUCCAAGAAAGUGAAAAUGGCAUCCUUCCAUCUGGAAGGGAUGCACUUCAGUGGUUUCAAUGGGCGAGGUGCUUGGAAAACUUUCCGCACUCGAGUGAUUUCACAAGGGUCAUAUGCCAAGAAUUCGGUCAUUUUGAGUUGGAUGAUUCUACAGAGAGUUUGGUCAAUUUGAAGCAGACGAGAACCUUGCGUUAUUAAGUAAUAUAAUUUAGGUGAUUAUCCAAUCGAACUCGGGACACCAGUCCUGCAAUUCUAAAAUCAUGCUUUGUGGGAGGUCUCAAACUAGAGUUGCGACAUGAUGUCAAGAUCUUGAGACCCAGAGAUGUGCUUGAAGCUUCUGCAUUUGCUCAACAAUUGGAUGCCAAGAUUACAAAUCUUAAGGUGAAAUCUUUUCCUAAGACUCAUUAUGUUCAACCGACUUUUAGAUCUCCUUUGCACACUAUUAAUCCUAAUGCAAAUUAUGAGACUCGGGCAAUAACUAGUAAUGUAAGGAGAUUGACACCUGAAGAAGUAGAUCAUUGUCGAAGAAAUCGUCUUUGCUUUCAUUGUAAAGAGAAAUAUUUUCAGGGUCAUGCCUGCGAGAAGAAACAAUUAUUGCUAAUUGAUGUUCAGGAUUCUGUGUGAUGAUGAUAUUGAUGGUUUAGAAAAUGAGGAACCUAAGAUAACUGCCUGUGCAUUGUUUGGUACCCCUGCACGACCUUUCAUUAACACUAUAAAGGUGGGUGGCUCGAUUAAAAAUUGCCCAACUAGUAUAUUGAUUGACUCUGGCAGUUCUCAUAACUUUGUGGAUGUUGGAUUGGUGAAACGGUUAAGAACACAAUUGGAUACUAAGCAUUUGUUUAAUGUUAAGAUUGCUGAUGGGGGAAAAGUAGCUACCAAAGGUACCUUAGCUCAAGUUUCUGUCAGGAUCCAGGAUUUCCAAUUUGUCAUGGGCUUGUAUGCUAUUCCAUUAGGGGGUGUGAUAUUGUACUAGGAAUUCAGUGGUUGAGAACAUUUGGUCCUAUUCUCUAGGACUUUGAUAAAUUGUAUAUGCAGUUUUCCAAAGAUUCUAGGACCUUUUGCAUCACAAGUCCUACAAAUGUUAGUAAUACUUUUGAGGAUAUUUUAGCUUUACAAAUGCAAAAAUUAUUGCAGCAAGAGAUUAUAGUGGGUGCAGUACUCUACCAAUUGGAAACUAAACCCAUGUUCUUGCAUAAUAUGGAGUCAAACACUACAAGUUCCAAUUCUACGAACCUUACAGAUCAUCAACAGUUGGAGUUGAAUUACCUAUUGGCAGCAUUUGAAGAGGUGUUUCUUCCACCAAAUGCACUACCUCCUCAUAGAACUCAAGACCACAGAAUUCCCUUGAUUGAAGGCAGCUCUCCACCAAACAGUAAACCAUACAGAGAUGGACCUGUGCAAAAAACAGAAAUCGAAAAGUGUGUGAAAGAUCUUCUGAAAUCAGGGUUCAUAAGGGUAAGCAACAGUUCUUAUGCGUCUCCUGUUAUUUUGGUUAGGAAAAAGGAUAGUACAUGGAGAAUGUGCAUGGAUUACAGAGGGUUUAAUAGUAUUACAAUUAAGGACAAAUUUCCUAUUCCUCUUAUUGAUGAAUUGUUGGAUGAGUUAUUUGGUGCACAAUUCUUUUCCAAGUUAGAUUUACUGGCAGGUUAUCAUCAGAUAAGGAUGCACCCUCAAGAUGUGGAGAAAACAACCUUUAGAACACAUGAUGGGCACUAUGUGGUUAUGCCCUUUUGACUUACAAAUGCACCGGCCACAUCCCAAUGCCUCAUGAACGAAAUCUUUAGACCAUACUUAAGGAAAUUCAUUACGAAAUCUUUAGACCAUACUUAAGGAAAUUCAUUCUCGUAUUCUUUGAUGAUAUUUUGGUCUAUAGUACUUCUUGGUCUUUACAUUUGCAACACUUGAACGUGGUGUUUGAAACUCUGCAGCAGCAUUCCUUAUUUGUUAAACUAUCCAAAUGUGCAUUUGGUAAGGAUCAGGUGGAAUAUUUGGGUCAUAUAGUGUCUAAACAUGGUGUAUCUGCUGACCUUGCAAAAUUAGAAGUAAUAGCUUUGUGGCCCACGCCUACAUCAGUUAAGGCAUUAAGGGGUUUCCUUGGGUUAACAGGUUAUUAUCGAAAAUGUAUACCUCAAUUUGGGAAGAUAGUAAGUCCUCUCACGGUUCUCACGAAGAAAGAUGGGUUUAAAUGGUCUCCUGAAGCUACGAUAACCUUUAACAGUCUCAAACAAGUAAUGUUUUCACCCCAAGUUUUAGCCCUACCGGAUUUUAAUAAACCUUUUGUCAUUGAAAGUGAUGCUUCCGGGCAUGGGAUUGAAGUUGUGUUACAACAGGAAGGGAGACCAAUAACGUUUACCAGUAAAGCUCUUUGCCCAAGAAACCAAGCUUUAUCAGCCUAUGAGAGAGAUAGAUGUUGGCAAUUAUACAUGCAGUACAAAAGUGGCAGUCUUACUUAGUAGGGAAUCAUUUUAUUAUUCAAACUGAUCACCACAGUUUGAAGUAUUUUUUGGAAGGAGGAACUCAUACCUCUUUCCAACAAAAGUGGGUUACCAAGCUUCUUGGUUUUGACUAUGAGAUACAAUAUAAGAAGGGGUGUGACAAUCAAGCUGCAGACGCAUUAUCUCGGGUGUCCUAUGACAUUGUUAGUUCUCAGACUAUCAGUUCUAUCAGUGCAAUUUCUUACCCCUACUCUUCUUGGUUGGAUGAUUUACGAAGGUAUACUGAGAAAGACUAUUGGAUUAUUGCUAAGUCUCAGCAAUUACUACAAUCUUAGUGUGAUGAUGUUUCCAUUGGUAUCUUGCGUUUUCAUCUGGAUAAUGGGUUCUUGAAAUACAAACACAUAAUUGUAUUAAGCCCAUCAAGCAUUGGAGAGAUAAGGUCUUCACUGAAUUUCAUUCUAGCCGUGUAGCUGGCCAUUAAGGUUUUUUUAAAGAUUUAUAAACGGAUUUCCAAAGCAUUCUAUUGGGAGGGAAUAAAAAAGGACAUUAAAAGGAAAAUGGCGAGUUGUACUAUUUAUCAGCAAAAUAAGUAUGAGACCCUGUCACCUGCUGGACUCUUGCAGCCAUUACUUAUUCCAUCUAAGGUUUGGUUUGACAUAUCAAUGGAUUUCAUCACCAAUCUCCCUCCCGGCAAAGGGAAAACUUUGAUUUGGGUAGUCGUGGAUAGACUAUCUAAAUAUGCACAUUUCACUGCUUUGAAUCACCCUUACUUGACCUCCUUGGUAGCUCAACUCUUUGUGGAUAACAUAUUCAAAUUACAUGGAAUGCACAAUCCAUAGUCGUGACAGGGAUCCAGUGUUUAUGAGCAAGUUCUGGAAGGAAUUUUUUCACUUCCAAGGUUCUGAGCUUUGUUUUAGUUCGGGAUAUCACCCACAAACUGAUGGGCAAACUGAGGUUCUUAAUAGGUGUUUGGAGACUUACUGCAAUGCUUUUGCACCUUGCAGCCCAAGAAAUGGGUUCCUUAGUUAUCUUGGGUAGAGUGAAGUUACAAUACUAGUUUCCAUUCAACCAUUAAGAUGACACCUUUUGAAGCAGUAUAUGGUUAUGUUCCUCCUCUUGUACCUAUUUAUGAAAUUGGUACUACCAAAGUAGACUCAGUGGAGCAAUGCUUGAAGGAGAGGAAUAGCAUUUUAUCUUUACUCAAGAGUAAUUUGGAGGCGGCCAGAUGUCAAAUGAAAGUUCAGGGGGAUAAAAAGAGGAUUGAGAGGGUUUUGGCCGUGGGGGAUUAGGUUUAUCUUCGACUAGUGCCUUACCAACACAAAUCCUUGGCAGCAGAUCAUUUUCACAAGCUUCAACCUCGCUUCUAUGGGCCAUUCCAAGUAUUAGCUAAGAUAGGCAAUGUAGCUUAUAAGAUCAAACUUCCAGAUCACUUUAAGUUGCAUCUGGUGUUCCAUGUGUCCUGUUUAAAAAAACAUUUGGGAGAACAUAUGCAAACCACAGUUCCGUUGCCAGUUAUUAACUUAUUACUGAUGCUGGUAUAUUACAAGAUGUUCCCAUUCGGAUUUGUGAUCAACGAAUGGUAAAGAAAGGCAACUUUGUAGUGAUUGAAGUUCUAGUGCAAUGGUAAAAUCACUCCAAGGAGGAUGCUACUUGGGAGAAUUACAAUGAUUUGAAGAUCAAGUUUCCAGAAAUUGUUGAUCUUUGAAAUUUUAUGUUGUACUUUUCUGUGUGUGCAAAUUGUUUGAGUUUUGUGUUGUAAUUUUUUCUACAGAAUUUUACUAUGUUGAUCUGUAAGACCAGUUUUAAGGGGGGUAUUGUUAGGAUGCUCUGACAGAUGGCAUCUUUUGAUUGGUAAUUGUUGUAAGAAGUUGGUUAGUUAGAAGGUUAGUAGAGAACGACUACAAAUGGUCAGCUUGUAUAAGAAGGAAGACGGUUAUGAAAUAUAUGAAUGUUUGUUAGUGUUCUCUUUGUGUAAACAAGGAAGAUGUAGAGUAGCACUUUCUUUCUGCUUUCUUUGGGUGAAUAUUUUGUUUUUGUUUUUAAGAAUUUUUUUAUGAAUAUCGAAAACAGAAAUUAAAAUUUUAAUUUAUUUUAGAGUUAAUUAGACUUGUAAGACCUAUUAUAUGUCACAUCAACACAUAAUAUAAUUUUUACAAAAUUGUGAUAGAAGAAGAACAUUGAUUUGAGACAACUAUUCUUAGGAUUAGAUUGAUUGAAUUUUUUAUUUCAAAUAUAAGGUGAAUGAAUUUCGAAGACCUUUGUGAUUAAAAAAAAAAACACUACUUAUGCGUCACUGUCACAUCAUGAUGGUGUGGGUGAAUUACUAUUUAUGAUAAAAAUAAACCCAUUUAAAUAUGAAAAAUAGUAUUACCAAGGGGUGCCUCAUGAUUUUGGGCUCAACUUGGGCUGCUGCAACAGAAGCUUUCUCUUGUUCUGAUCCAUUCGCUGCAGCUGCAGCCGUUCCAGGCACCAACACAUGAGUUUGCUUUUCAUCAGCCAUUGCAGUGGGUUGGGUUUUUGUUUCUGGGUUUAUGUUGUUGUUUUUUUCUCUUUUUUUUUUUAAUUUUUUAAUUUUAAUUUUUUAAUUUUCUCUCGUUUGUUUGUCUUGUUUCAGAAUUUCCAGAAGAACUGGAUAUAUCUGAUGCCUCCCUUGCUUCGGAUUGCAAUGGUUCAAUCGGCUCUAGGGUUUUGAGUCGGGAAGAGAGGUAGAACCUGCUCAUGCCAAGUUAGAAUUGUAAUGAUAUGUUAUUUAUUUAUUUAUUUUUUUUGUCUAAAGAUGAACUUUAUUAUAUUCUAAUAGAUACGUUUAUAUCUUUUACAAGAAUAUUAAAUAAAUAUUUUUUUUUUGUCAAAAGGUGAACUUUAUUAGAUUCUAAUAACCAUGUUUACAUCUUUCUUUAUUAGAUUCUAAUAACUAUGUUUACAUCUUUCACAAGAAUAUUAAAUAAUUUUUUUUUGUCAAAAGGUGAACUUUAUUAGAUUUUAAUAGAUACGUUUACAUCUUUCGCAAGAAUAUUAAAUAAAAAUUUCAGAUCAAGAGCAUCCUAACGGAAAGCACCUCCAUGUAAAGUAACAUAUGAAACAACAGCGUGAGCCGCGACAUUUUCAUUAUGCUUGACAAACACAAACCUUAAAGUGUAUUACUUUAUUCUUCUCAUGUAGAGGAUUAUACAUACUGCUGCAAGCUCCUAUGAAAUAGGAAAUAAGAAUCCCAAAUAUAUGAGGACAUCGAUUACAUGAUUUCAUACCCAAAAUAUAUCCAUAUUCCUUAAACCCAAGGUUGACUCACGCCAACAUUCCUUCCAUGAAUAAGCACAACAGUACCAUCCAUAGAUAAUUGCACCGGGAAUUUCACCAUCUUCCAUUUCAGGAAACUUGUCUAGUGAGGGUACUGCAGAAAAUAUUAUUGCAUAAGUGCCCAUAAUAGGUCCCAAAAGAAGUCAUCCGAAACUUCGAAUAUCCGAAAGCCCUUACCAGGAAGAAAAGAAUCCUUCAAAGCUAGUUCCAAAUUUCCGUUAUCCCUAGAAAUUGGAUCGUGAAUGGUGAAUGGCGAUUAACUUGUUCCCAUCAGGAAAAGUCCCUUUGACCUGCAUUUAUAUCUUACUCGAGAAAAAUGAUUUUAGGCAGCAUGUUAUGUCAGGGUUAUGAGAAGUUUUCAGCAGCAAUCGUUAUGUUUAAGGCUUUUCGAAGCAAAUGCAAACAACCUCAAUGAGCAUAAUACCUGCACCAUAUCCAAAAGAUAUUGAACACCGGGAAGAACUUGUUUCCUGUUUGAAAAAGUACUGUGCUGAUCAAUCUUGAGCAACCAGGCGAAAUUAGGGAUACAAGAUUGGUUGAUUGGGUAAAAAGGAAGGCAACCCAGAUACUAUUCAACAAUCAGAAUCCAGAAUUAACAUUCCAUCUACAAAAACAGGGCAAAUGAUAAAAUUUCACAGUUCACACCAUUACCUACCCAACAGUUGCCUCCCAAUGUCCAUCAAUUCCGCCACAGAUUUAUCGCCAUUUAGAACGAACUCCAAAAUCUACAAACACAAACACAUCAAACAAAAACGUUUCCUUUACAAAACCCAUUACCGAAAUCCGUUCCAAGUUUGUAAAUUUGAUAAAAAGGUCAAGUUUUGGAGCAAAAAACACACCUGUGUGGCUAUGAGAGCUCUGCAGCUUCAGGGUGAUUGAGCCUCAAUCCGCGAGCAAGACGCUUCUGUGCCAAAAACCCAGCAUUAUUUACGUUCAGUUUCUCAGCUUCUCGUGGAACCACCUUCAUUUUUUGCAGUACAAGUCUCAUAGUCAAUGCCUGCUGCAACUUUCAAAGAAAUAGUAUCUUGUUUUUAUUUUGUGCAAUUUCUUAUCUACUGGCGGAGAAAUUGAAGAAGAUGGAUGAUGAGUUGAGCAUCGUAAUUGUGGGAACUACUGUAGGUGAUGAGUUCUUAUUUGUCAAGAGGUACAAAGAUUGGUGUCACUUCGUCGGAAAAUUUUUAGUUGGGACGGAAAUAUGGAUGGUACAUCAUGUGUAUUUAUUUAAGUGGUGAAAAAUUUUAAUUUUCAAGUUAUGAACCUUUUAACACACAUAACCCACUAUUUAUAUAAGAAUACAUGAUGUACCACUUCGUAUGACGAGAACACUGAAAAAUCUCUCCACUUUGUCAGUCCGAUGAUGCACGGACACAGCUGGGUACCUGGGACUUUUAAGUGAGAUGGGACUAUCGUUGUGCUUUCUUUGUGUGAAUACUAUUUUCAUGUUUUUAAGAAUUUUUUUUUAUGAAUACCAAAAACAAAAGUCACGUACAUAUGAGAGUUUUAAAGAAACACUUCUGAUACUGUUUAUUUUUAACAAAAAAUCAUAUUUUUACUUUUCUUGAUACUAUUCACUUACACAUUUAUUUAUCAUUUUUCAUUAAAAUUAAAGUUUUUGAGAACUUUUCGUUAGUUUUCUUUAUAAUUAUAAAAGCUAAAAAAAACCUUAUCGUUUAGAGUGUGUCUAUAUACAAUUUGGCAAUUCGAUUCUAACCGAUUUUACUUCUCCUUCUCGCUUUAUUAAAAAAAUAAUAAUAAUCUUGUACUGUGAUUAGUUGGUUAAGUGGCAAGUAACAAAGACAAAGUGUUGGGAAGCCAUCAUCACCAGUCACCUUUUGGUCUCAUGGCUCAAAUCAAACAAUUCUCAACCUUAGCCAGCAUCGAGUCCCUAUUGUGGACAUUUGGGACUCAUUUAAGUCCCUAGUGUGAUUUCCAAUUCCUGAUUGGGUCACCAAGUCCUUUUGGUUGGGGUUAAUGCAGCUCUUGAUGAGCUUUCAUUCCUCUUGGUUGGGGUUGUUAAUGCAGGAUUGGGUGAGUAUCGAUCUAAAUUAGCUUUUUAGCUUUGCUACUCAUAGAAAAGUGUUUUUUUUAUUUUUUUUAUACUAAGCUUUUCGAUCCUUAGCGCAAGUACUAAGCAAGUACAAAAUGAGUAUUGUUGGCGUGAAUCACAAAGUCUUUUGCCCUUCACACACAUAUGUUGAUUGGCCGACAAUGUGCGAAAAGACUCAAAGAAAGAAAAAGGGUUGAAUUAGGGAAAAAAGUUUUUUGCUUUGAUUUCACAUUAUCAAUUAUGUAAAAAAAUAAAAAAAAUCUAACAAACGGAGAAAAGCCGGUGUGGCAUGCUCCGGAGGAGAUUAACCCUUCCCCGAGUCAGUCCAAUCGGAAAGGGAAGGGCCCCGUUGUCUAGACUGUAUUUCUGGAGUUGGUGAUUGGUGGAAUGAUGCUGGACUUACAAAUGAAAAUUUAAUAAGAAUAGGUUUUUGUUUAAUAUGGCUUAGGAGUAAGGGUAAUUUUUUUAUUGAAGAUUUUUUAAAUGCUGGUGUUAUGGUCAAAAGUCAUACAAAAGUUAUUGAGGAUCGAGUGUUGGAUUAGUGUGGGAGACAUUCUGCUUCUACCUAGAUAUGAUGCUGCCAAUAUGAAUUUGAAAUUUAUUUUUUUUAACAAUUUUUAUUUUAUUAUCUUCAAGUAUCGUGACAUUCGCACAUUUCUAUUUUAGUUUUUUUCUCUCUAUUUCAUACCUAAAUUUUAGUUUUUCUAACACUUUAUUACUUCUAUUAGGUUUUCCGUCAAGUUUUUCGUAAGUGGUAACAUGGUAUAACUUUGACCAACCAUGUUUGCCAUGUGUUGGGAUGGGCAAAAUAUCCACGGGUAUAGGUAACUAUGGUUACCCGACCAUUUAAAAUUAAUGGUUACAGUUAAGGGUGGCUAGUUAAAUAAAUAAACGGUUAUGGGUAUAACCGUUUAAUUGUGAAAUUUAAAUGAACAGUUAUGGGUAUUAUCCGUGGUUAUAAAUGGAUACCUAUUUAACCGUUUAUUCUAAUAUAUAUAAAAUAAGAAAAAAAUUAAAAAAACCUUAAAAUUAUUCGACAUAUCUCAGAAUCUUGUCGCUCAUCUCUCUCCUCGCUAUCCUAUAUCUCAUCUACGGCAAAACAGUCGGUUCUCUUCAAGUAAUCAAAAGAGAGGGUUUAUGGCUAUCACUUCUCAUUUUAUUGAUGCUUCGUGGACGAUACAAAAUCGAAUUUUGAAGUAAUUUAUUAGUUCAUAUAGUACAUGUGAUACAUAUUAUUUUUUGCAUACUUUUGAUUUAAUGACAUGUUGCAUUAUUAAAUUUGCCUAUUAAUGACAAAAAUGAUCAGUUUUAUUGUAAACCCCAAUACCUCCUAAUGACAUGAUAAAAGUAGAUUAAUUCUUAAACUUGCCUGUUGUGAUAUUCAUCUCUGUUUUGCAAGAGAAGGAAAGGGUAAAGUGGGUGGCCUUGCCAUAGGAACACUGCUAUACACAUUGUUGAGACUUGAUGCUCGUAUCAAAGUGGUUUUUUUUUAACUUAUGUACAUGUAUAAAUUAUAUAUAUAUCCUAAACUUUCUGCAUUGAAAUGGUAUGGGGAUUUAAAUGAUUGAAAUACGGAAAUGCAUGUUAAAUGUAUAUAUAAAUGGAUAAAAAACGUGUAGACGAGUAAAAAAAAGGGUAAAUGGGUAAAUAAUUACGGUUACCCGCCCGCCAUAGCCGUUGUUCAUCCCUAGCCACGUGGAUGAGAGAAUCUCUUGUAAAUCCAAGCCAUAGUGUCUAGUGAUAAUUCUUGACAAACAUGGUGGGCCAAAGUUAUGUUACAUCAUCACUUAAUAGAAAAUUUGACGGAAAACCUAACAUAAGUAUUAAAGUAUUAGACAAAUUUAAGUUCAGAUAUGAAACUGAGACCAAAAAAAAAAAAAAAACAACUAAGAAUAGUAGUGUGAAUGUCACAAUCCUUGAAGGUAAGAAAGCUUUUGAAUGCUAGUUGUAGAAGAACCACCUCAAAGUCCUUAACGCAGCAGCGGAAGCAUGCUGAUAACUUGUUUUAGGGCUAUUUUACUAAGGUAUUAUAAAGAGAUGGAGAGGAGGCCAGCAACAAGAGAGAGAAGAGAAAAUUGGUGAAUUUUGUGGUGUAUGUUAUCUUAACCCACUGUGCAUUUGUUUAUAGUGUUUAGGGAGAUAUAAUCUUAGUCCCGAAGGAAUACAAUUACAAUCAGGAAACUAUCUAAAAAAUAUUAUAGAAUCCCAAUAAGGAUUUGCAUAAUCACAUUAAGUGAGGCCGACUAUAUGAAUCAUAGAACGCUACUGCACUCAUUUUUACGUCAAAGCUUCCAUUAGCUCCACGUACUCCAUAUCUAUUCUUAAAGUCUAUUUUCAAGUAUUUGUAGGUCUUUACUCUACCCCUUUUGCCCUGAGUCUUCGUCUCAUUGUCGCAUUUUCUAAUCGCACCAUUUGUAGGUCUUCGGUUCACAUUUUCAAACCACCUUAACAGAUUUUCUCUCAUCUUAUCUUCAAUUGCGGCCACUCUUACUUUACCUCGAAUGUCCUCAUCUUUAACUGGAGAAUAAUUCGGUUUAUUUUUUUUUAAAUCCUACCUAAAUUCUAAUUAGGAGCUCUUAGGUUUUUCGAACUCAUAUUUCACGUGUAUUGUCAUUGUAUUUAUUUGUGAGUAUGCAUAUAAUUUGAACAAACGAUAUUAUCUACACUAAGAGGGAAAAGGUAGGUUUAGCCUCAUAAUGGACUAACAAUAAUGUGGUUCAAAUUUGUCAUUGGCGAGAAUCAAACCUAAGACCUUUCACUUACAAGUGAAGAGAAAUAUCACUAGACCGUAGUACUAAGUGACAAAAUUUGAUAUUUAAUUGCAUGAAUUAUUUUUUAGAUUUUAUGACUUUAAAUUACGGAUAAAUAAUAAGGUUGAUAUUUAAUUUAAGCAUAAAUCUAAUUGAGACUUCGUCUGAGAAGAAUAGAGGCACCUUUUGAAGCUGUCAUUUUAUGCAAGGGAUUACCAUUGCUCAAUGAAUGUCUUGGAAGCUUCACAUUGUAUUUCAAGUUUGUGGAUGCAAAUUUCUUCCUCCUUGAUCUUGGACAAUUUUGCACCUACAAAACAAUUAACACCUUAGGUUAAGGCCAAGAGCCUCACGCGCCUACGAUGAAUGGGGGGGGGUUUUGGCCGAAGAACCUCUGAUGCCAAAGUUAGAAUUUAGAGAGAAAUAGUGUUUAGAGAAUUUUGAGAUUUUUGCCAAAGUGUUGGAAUGAAUUUUUGGUGAAAAUAGGAGCCUAUUUAUAGGAUUAGGCUUGUCUCUUUUCCCUCAAGGUGUGGCCAGCCUUGAAGGGAUUUUGUGGUUAUGAUUUUGGUUUAAUUGGUCAAUUUAUUGGCUAAUUAAACCCUAAAGAAUAAAUUGGUGGUUACAAAAUUGAUUAUUUGUAUAAAUGGGGUAAUAAAAUGGAGAAAAAUGAAAAAGGUUAGGAAGAAAGGGAGGUGGCCGGCCAUUGCCUAUUUUUAGGGUUGAAUGAGAUAUAUUUUGGUGGUUAAUUGGAUGAUUUAAUUGAUAUUUAAUGGAUUAAUUGGGUAAUUAAUCCAUUAAUUAACCAAUUAACAUUAUUUUGGAGGUUACCUUGCAAAAAGAGAUUUGAUUAGAUAGACUUUGAAUUGUUUACCUCUUUUUUGGAGGAUUUUUGACUUGGUUGAGGAUGAUUGCCCGCUGCUCGAGCGUAGGAAUCCUAGUAUGCCUCAAGGGUAUUUUUGUCCUCUUCUGUGCAAAAAUCCACAUGUCGCCUAGUGAACAUUUUUGACUCCACAAAGUUCACCUUUUAUGAUUUAUGGUUCCCAUUACAGUAUUUGGGGGAUCUGGGAUGGCAAAAGUAACCCAUUAGGAUGGAUGGCAAGAGGAAAAAGGAUCAUCUCGAAAUCCAACCCAGUAGGAUGGAUGGCAAGCGGAAAAAGGAUCCUCUCGGAAUCCAUUUUGUGGGGAUCCAAUUUCGUGGAUAGCAAAGGCAAAAGUAAAGACGUAUGCUUUGACCACACAUAGGAAAAAAGAGUAUAAAUAUUACCCCCGCCCUCACUCCCUAACAGCACUCAAACACAUCCUUACCGCCAUCCCCACCUCAACUCUCAUUUCUUAUUUCUCCCCUUCUGCUCCCAGCUGCCUCUUUCGACCACCAUCAUGGCGGACUAUGAAAAUCAAAACCCUCAUCCAAAUCCGCAAACACACUUGACUUUGACCAUCAUCUUGGCCUUAGCUACCAUUAUGUUUCCUGUGGGGUGGAUUCGAGCUACUUUGUCAAACCUCUCUCCGCCGAUGCGGCUAGUUACGACUGCAAACUGAAUAACUACCCAUGCCUUCCUCCUUUCUACAUUUUCUCUGUAGUGGCCACGGCAGCGUUGUCUUUUGUUUGGUUUGGACUUUUUGUCCUUUCCGCCGGACUUCUAUAUCGCUUUGUUAUCUGGGUAGGGCUUGGCUUAGUGUGGGCUACCUAUUGGCUCGCGCUGCGUGGUAUCCUUGCACCCCAAUUUUAUAAUCCAAUGCUUUAUUCCUUCAAUCCUGUUCUAGCUGUCCUAUUGUUGCUUAACCUAAAAUUUCGAAAUGUCCAGGAUGGGGCGAUCCAUGUCAUAUCUGACAACUGGGAUCGGGCUAUCCUUGUCAUAUCUAACAACUGGGACCAGGCGAUGCAUGUCAUGGCUGACUUUUGGAACUACAUCAUAUUAAACACUAAAAUUUGGGUAUUUAAAGUCUGAUCAUACUUUUUUGCUUUUUUCUUAUAUUUUUUUUUAUUGAUUAAUGGGAACUUUAACGAAAAAUUUUCGGUACUAUUUACUUUAACAAAAAACCACAUUUUUACAUUAAAAAGUCAAUCUUGAUACUAUUCACUUUACCCUUUAUUUUGUCCUUAUCGUUAAAACUCAAAGUUUUCAAGCCAUUUUCAUUAGUUUUCCUUUGAUUAAUAUGUGUGGGACAUAUUAACCUUUGUUUUUGAAAGAAUCAUUCUAAGAUCAUCUCCAACUUUUGGUUAAAAUUUAAAAUUUUUAAUUUAGAAAAUCUAGAUUUAACUCAGAAACAGUCUGUGUGCUCCAGUUGUUCUGGUUAAAAUUUUAGCCCAAAUUAUUAAAGAAUGAAUUUAGACUAAUUUUUUUUGGUAAUUUUUUCAAAAUAAAGAUUAUCAUAUUUAUUUUUAUAAACAUUUCAAUAUUCAAAUAUUUAGAUUCCGAGAAAAGUUAAAAAUUCACUAAAUGGACCUUAUGAAACAUGUAUUAUAGAGUUUUUGGGUAAAUUUUGAUUUAAAUAUUUUUUUCAAUUGUUUUAGCCUUUAGAUUUAAUUUUGGACCGUUGGAUCUUUUUUUUACCGUGGUUUUGAUCAUAUUCGACCUCAGCCAUUAUAUUCAUUGUAUUUAAAAUUACCCAAAUUUUAGGUUUUAACCCAAAACUUAUUUUAGACUCAACUAUUGAAAAAUGAGUGGGUUCGUUUAAAACAAAAAUUUAUGUUUUAACCCAAAGGUUAAUUUAAAACCUAAGUGAUUUAUGCGUUCUUCUUAUAAUUAUUUUAUAAAAAAAUCAUUUUUUUUGUCAAAAUAAAAAAAUCAUUUUAAUUAAUUCAUGUUUAUCUUUUUUGGGGUAUAUUCAUAUAUUAUGCGAGUAUACACAUUUAAAUAAAAAAAACUCUCGAAUGAUACCAAUGCACCACAAGUGUUCCAUAUUUUACUAACUAUGAUUUGCAUAAAAAAGAGUCUUUUUGCUCACUACCAUUUAGUGUGGUGUAUGCUCACUACUCUAUUUAUUAUCGUUGAAUGUAUUUGAAUUUUGAGAUUCGUGUAGUGGAUAAAUACAAAUCUUAAAAUUCAAACUCAUCUAACGGUGAUAAAUAGAAUGGUGAGCAUACACCACACUAAUGGUGGUGAACAAAAAUGCACUCAUAUAUAAUAUCCGAGUUGUUGAUGUUGCUCAAAUAUAAAAUACACUGAAAAAUUACAAAUGCUACAAUUGGCAACAAAAAAUUAGACAAGCUACAACUAAACAAAUGUUUGUUACGUUACUUAUUUCUUUUGUAUUUUGUAUGAGUAUAUCUUAUUUAUAUAUAUUUUAAUUAUUUUCUCUUCCAAUGUUAUUUUCAGAGUAGAAAGAUGGAGAGAGAGCUUAGCUAUCAGCAAAAUGCUCGGUCCAUUCCUCUUUUUUUGAAUGUAUUAGAACAAUAGUAGUCUUUUCCUACCGGCUACGUUUUUAUAUUUGGAUACUUGUUAUAUUUAUUUGCUGAAGUGUGUAAUUUUAAUAUUUUGGAUUUUUUUUUAAUUUUUUGUUUUAAUAUUUUGGAUCUGUGUAUUUAUGUUUUUAAUAUUUUUGUAAAUGUAAUGUUUAUUGAAUGUUUGUGUUAAUGUAGAUUAUCUCUUUUUCGUUAAAUAUAAAAUAUCGUUAUAUAAAAAAAAUCAUCAUACAUCAUAAUCCACGCAUACUUAAACGGCUUUGUAUCUUAUUUAUCAAAUCUUCUACACUUAAAAAAGCCAAUAGAAUCUUUUUUGGAUCUUCUUUGUGAGAAUUUCGGAAUUCUUUAAUCGUGUUCGUUUAUUAUACAUUGUGGAAUCAAAAAUUAUUUUUAAUUUUUUUAUUUAAAAUUAAACAAAAAUAAUACCCGACAAAAAUUGAUCCACAAUAUAUAAUGAACAAACACUAUUGAAAAAAUUCUCGAAAUUCUUACAAGAGGAAGAUCCUCAUUCCUGAAAAAGAUGUGGCCUCUCUUAUCUUGUGACACUGUCCACUCACCUAACUCAACAAAAUACUGUCGACUCAAGUCUCUCUGGUAUCAACCUCAAUGCUGCCAUCUCCAUCUCCAAACUGCCGCGAUUCAAACCCAGAAAAGGAAAGCCACGCUCCCAUCCCACCACCACCACCUCCAAAUUCCAGCGAACAGAUAACUCUGCAAAAUCCUCUGCACUAAAAAAGGACUGUUCUACUAAAUUAUCUCCCAAAUUCCAAUGAAACCGACGGCGAACGCGAGCGCGAGUUCGAAGCCUUCACCUCCCUUUUAUUCUUUGAGUUCUCCAUGGCUUCUUCUUUGAACGCUCGAAUGUCUGCAACUGCAAGCGAUUUCUAAAAGGAUUUGCAGCAAUCCCUUCAUUGUCAGGUGGGUCACCGCCGCGAUGCCUGAUUCAAUAAGUUCAGGUUCGAAAACGGUGCACUCGCUGAAUCAAUUUCAUUGAUUUUGCUUCCAAUCUCGUAAAUUUGUUUAAUUUGUGAUUGAAUGAUUGGGUUCGGAAUCGUUAACCUCUGCAAAUUUGUAAAUUUAUUCUAUCUAUUUCAUUCGCACUCUUGUGAACCACGGAGAGGCCACUCGGAGGUGGUUCAACAGCCAGGUAACCGCAAAGUGAAGGCUCAGACCCCCCUCCGUUGCCCGAACCCGAGGAUGAGGUGCUGUGAGUUAUGCAAUUCGAUUGAGAAAGCUCCCGUUUGGAAUUUCAAUUAAUUGUUUAAUCAAUCAAUCAAUUUUCUUUUGUUUUGUGUUUUUUGAUCAUCUGAAGAAUGUGGUUGAUGUUUGUUUGGAUUGUUGGUUUGUGAAUUUUUGAAGGAAAAUUGGCUGAUGUUGUUCUUGGAUUUGACUUUGUGGAGCCCUAUGUGGUAAAGAUCUUUGAUUUCUAUUGUAUCCUACUUUUCCUUGCAAGCAAGAGUGCUGUCUCGUAUCUAGCAUUCGCAAUGUCGCAUUUUGCCCCUAAAGAAAUCAAAGGCUCGCACAGUGGCUUCCUCUUGCUGCUAACAUCAACGGAGUGUAUCCAUCGGCAUCAGACGCACAUCAGAGCCCCUGCUUAUCAAAUGUAUGAACAAAAUCUGUGGGGCCGUGUUGUGCUGCCUGAUGUAGAGUCCCAUAAAACUCAACAGGACUAUCAAGCACCUUUUGAGGUGCAGCAUUCUUAAGCACCAACUUUCAAAUUCUUCAGAGUUUUAAUUUGUAUCAAAUAGUUCCAUUACCGUCUGGCCACGUUUAUUCUGCAGGUUUAAGUCAGCCCCAGCAUCGAUAAGCAAUUUGAAAGUUUCUAGAUAACGCCCUUUGCAGCUAUCAUGGCAGCUGAGUAUCCCUUUUCAUCUUGCUCAUUGUGAUCAAUGUCUGCCCCCUCAAUCAGUUUCUUCAAAGCCUCAAUACCAUUUGCUUGAGUCACAAGCAUUUGAGGAGAAAAUACUGAUGUAUCGCUUGAUUGAACAAUUUCACCGGGUCAAAUCACAUCUACAACUGCUUGUCGGAAGCCAAGAGCCUACCUUGCUGACUCUGCUAUUACGCUUGCACUCUGACCAGCUGAAUUCACCAGGCCAAAAUCAGCACCGUCAGAAGCCAGAAUUUUAAGGCAUUCCUGGUGUUUAUAUCUAGCAGACUAGCACGGAUCAUUUGUGCAGUUGGUCCAGAUUUUGUCUGAGAGUUGAUAUUGCACCCGGCACCAAUCAAUCAUUGAAGAAUCUUAUUUAAUCCAAGUCGUGACACCAUGUGAACGGGCAGUCAGUUUCUGAAUUUGUUGUCUUAAUUGGAGCUUCUACAUCUGCACCGCAAUUUAACAGAACCUCUACCGCUCUUUCAUUGUUACAUAAGAUGGCUUGGUGAAUGAGAGUCCUCCCAUAGUGAGGAAUGUUAGGAGAGUGGUGUUGCAAGAGCUUGUGCAAGAUAGCACCGCUGGCUUCACAAUACUCCACAGCACACCAGGUCAUACUGUAAGCCUCGGCUAGUCCUGCACCCACCCGAAACUCUUCUCCUGUAUUUACAUCCCAAGGCUCACUUUUAUAUCUGUUCUGGCCCCAAAAGGUACGUAACGUUAGAUAUGAAGUGUAUGACUAUAAAGGUACGCAUACUAGCUGAUGAGUUAGGGUAUAAAGCUGCAAGUGGAGUCUGGCAACAGAAAUCUGCUGGCUAACAAAGUGGAAAUAAACGCAUUACAGUAAACAAUAGUGUGCAGGAAUGGCUUAGACGAUUGAAGCAGCGCCCUGUCAGUUGCAUCAGCAUCUAACAAGUAACAUGUGGUUAAACUAAUGAAGGAUAAUCCGUAUACUUAACAAAUCAAAUGUGAAUUAACUAAUGCGAUCCUCCGGUUUGGUAGUUUGUAUACAUACGUGAACAGCGAAAGAGUAAAACGGUAUGCUAGAAGCAAGGUUUCAAUUUUUAACUGGAAGGAAAGGGAAGUGAAGUAGGAAUACUGAAAAUGUCGUCAAUCCUUAAAAGCCGAAGAGGAAAACAAAAGCUCAAAAAGUAGGUACAGGACCACAACAGCAGCACACGAGGCAAAUACAUACAAACAGGCCCCCAUUCGAAUGAGUUCUCCCUUUAUUACACAAGUACUACUGGAAGAGGAGGAGGCCUGUUUCUGUUUAGGGUUAACAAAAGAAGCUUAAAAGCUUCAAUUGACAUUUCUGGAAAAUAAUGGACCCCAAAAGUAGUGACCCUUGUCAACUUUAGGCUUAAAGGUAGCUCUCCAAUCCAAUCCAUUUAUUAAGCUCUUCAAGGCUGCUGCAGGAGAAAAUUGUACACUUUGUGCACCCACAAACAUAAAGCAACAAAAUACAAGAGAAGUUAAAAUAAGAAACUUUUCCCGGGCCUUUUUCUUUUCUCAUGCUCUCUCUCUCUCUCUCUCUCUCUCUCUCUCUCUCUCUCUCUCAGAGGAAGAAGAAAUAAGAACCUUCCUAUAUAUGAAAAAAGGAACAAGCACACAACCACCGUAAUCUAUCUUUGUCCCGAUAUUAAAUUCAUUAGCUAGCUUUAUGGUCACUGAGUAACUGCACCCAUAGCCCCUUUAACUACAUUUCAGGUUGAUUAAUUUUUCAUAUGCUUAGCAGAAUGGGAGCCUGCGUGCUUUUUGCCUUGGUGGUUGUCAUUUCUAUCUUUGUUGUCUCCGCCGGAAAUGUUUUUCAUCUACAUAGAGCAUUUCCGAUGAAUCACCGUGUCGAGUUAGAGCAGCUCCAAGCUCAGGACACAGUCAGGCACCACCAGUUUUUGGGUGGUGUUGUAAAAUUGUCGGUCGCCUUCCCAAAGCAUAUCCACUCUCCCAUCGGGUAAUCUUUUCAUUAUUUAUUUAUCCGUACGUGUAAAAUUUGUAUGGUAAGGUUUAGCGGCCGGGUAAUCAAGUUUUUGGGUUUUCUUGCUUCAAACUGCAUGACAUUAAUUUACUUAUUUGAUGCUGGAAGUUGAACCUAUAUAAUAUAUAUAUAUAUUUUUUCUUGGAAGCUGUUGUAUAGGAACAGACAUAAUUAUAGCAAUUUAUGGCACUACCUUAUGAUAUUCUACUCAUAUAUAACUUUUGUCUUAAAUUUGUAGAAGGUAGCAAUUUGAGGUAGUACCAUGCAUAAUUUUUCUGAGACAUAACUAUAGCAAGUUCUUAUAUCAUAUUUCUCUUGUAUUUUAGUCUCUAAUUAGGUUUAUUAAAACUAUACUUGUAUAGAAAGUUAAUGACUAGUUUUCUUGCAUGAUUUAUGAAUCUAGGGUCUAUUUGACGAAGGUGAAAAUAGGCUCUCCACCAAGAGAGUUCUAUGUGUUGAUUGACACCGGCAGUGAGGUGUUCUGGGUUUCCUGCAGUUCCUGCAAUGUAUGCCCUCUAUUUACUGGACUUGGGGUAAGUUUUUUGUUUUGUUUUUCUUUCGUUGUAUGCUAUUUUUUAACGUUUUUAAGUUUUGCCCGUUUAAACCGCUGCUAAACGGUUUAGAGACAUUUUGAGACUGGUACAAAAUUAAUUGUCUAUUGUCAUAGAUGUUGGUGUAGCCGACCCCAUUUAGUGGGUUAAACCUUGGUGGUUGUUGUCAUAGAUAUUGGUAUACUAAUUGGCAAGUGUCCUUACGUGAUUGGUUGUAUAUGGCCUUGUGUAAUUGGUCCAGGUGAUUAGAGUGAUUACAAGUGUUUGCUAGGAGGUUACAAAAAAUUGGUUAAGGGCUUAUGACUUGUUAGCUAAGUAAGCUUACACUGUAGUUGUAUAAAUAGCUCAUUUGAUUUGUAACGAUUCCUGAUUUCAUUUUACUGAACACAAAGCCUUUCAUUCUCUUACUUCCUAUUCCUCUUUUAUUCUUUUCAUUUUCUCAAAUGCUAAAUCCCAUGUUAUGAGCAGGUAAAUCCCAUGAAGGGUAAUCCUGCAAGCUACAUGCCUACUGCUCCUGUUUAUCCUCAACCACAAGAUCUAGUUUCAAUGCCUAAUGCUUAUAGUUUUGUCGGAUAGUCCACAAGACCCUUUCCUUCUCCGUCCACAAACACAUCCAGUUCUCAGUCCAGAAAUCAACAGGCUCCAUUUCAAGGCGUACAACUCCUGUAAAUAGUAGCUGUUUUGGUGAACGUCCACCAAAAGUCUACAGAGAUGUUGGGACUUCAUAGUCCUCUGUUUAGCAGAGCCACCUUUUGUUGGUUUAAAAGUAGAGGUAGUUUUUCAUAUGUUGUUCGAUACAUCCACUUCCCACAAUCAGAACCAAUUAAGAGAUCUUCCAAACUGUCCAUUGUCUUCAAAAAUGGAUCUGUCCACACAUCAUGAUCAGCCGUAAUGUUCAGAAGGAUGAUAGUAUUGUUCAGUACAUGCCCACAGGUCACAUUCCAACAAAGGAUUGCAUAGCCCUGUGUUUGUGAGACAUUGUGCUAAUCUCAAAACUGGGGUUCCCCAUUUGAGAUUUGUUUUAUCUGGGGGUUGGGGGAUAGUGAUAAGUGAUUCGUUGUAUAUGGCCUUAUCGUUAGAGUGGCUAUAAAUGUUUGUUAGGAGAGAUUACAUAGUUAAAGGCUUCCGAGCUAAGUAAAGCUUAGAUUAUAGCUGUAUAAAUAGCUCUGCAGCUCAUUUGAUUUGUAACGAUCCCUGGUUUCAUUUUACUGAAUACAGAGCCUUUCAUUUUCUUGCUUCAUGGUUCCUCUUUUCUUCUUCAUUUUCUCAAAUCCUUCAACGUAGCUAAUAGUUUUAAAGUGUAAUUUAUUUCUUGAAUUGAGAUCAUGACUGACUAUAUACAUGUUUACCGGAGUUUUGUUUCAAUGCUAAUCUUCUAUCUGUUAUUUCGUUUUCCUAAGUGUACUUUUACAUGUUUAACAGACUCCCAUUAGUCUCUAUGACUAUGACAAUUCCUCUACUGCGGGACUGCUCCCUUGUUCGGACGGAAGGUGCAAACAUUGCUCUGACGAUAGCAACCAGUGCGAGUAUAAUAUUCCGUAUACGGGCGGAGCAGAAACCACCGGUUAUUUCGUAUCAGAUGAGUUUUCUUUUGAUAUGAUUCCAGUGCACUCUCAAGUUGCACAUGGAUCUUCAACACGCAUUAUUUUUGGGUGCGUAAACUAAAUAGUAAAAUUUCAAGCAUCUGUUUAUUAUUAAUUGGCUAAAAUUGAAAAUUCUCAGCAUCUCUUUAUUAGAGCUUAAUUGUUAGAAUUAAUGCUAAAUUGAGAUAUAUAUAUUUAGUGUACUUUGCCUGGUAGUGUUGCCACAUAGCUAGUAGCAAAAGAUGAUGAUGCUGAGUACAUUAUUUCCUUGAUAUUUUUGGAAACAGGUGUGCUACCACGGUGUCCGGUCUUUUGGCUAGGACUGAGGUUUCACUCAAUGGGGUAUUGGGAUUAAGCCAAGGCCCAUUGUCUGUCAUAUCACAGUUAUCCUCUCGAGGGAUAACUCCGAGUGUCUUCUCUCACUGUUUAAAGGGAGAUGGAAAUGGUGGAGGUAUACUCGUACUUGGGGAGAUUUUGGAGCCGAGUAUUGUGUAUACUCCCCUUGUCCCCAAGUAAGCACUAUAUCCUUGAACUUUUUUGUUUAAUUGAAAAUUUGAUGAGUAUUUUAUCUUUUGAGUUAAUAUAACUAGUUUAAUUACUAUUUCAGAAAGUCUUAUUAUGCAAUCAACCUUGAAAGCAUUGCAGUCAAUGGACAAAUCUUGCCCAUUGAUCCAGCAACUUUCAGAACAUCAGAUGAGCGUGCUACUUUAGUUGACACGGGAACCACGUUGGCUUUUUUUGUAGAAGAGGCAUAUGAACCUCUUGUCCAUGCGGUAUGUUUGUUUACUUUGUUUGAUUGCCAUUGUCAAUUGCUAUUCUUUUUUAACUUUUAAAUCAUUUCCGUUCUUGAGUGUGUGGUUGUGCAAUAUCUCUAUUCUUUGUUCGGAGCUGAUUUUGUUUUUGUUGCUUGUGCAGAUAACUUCAGCUUCCAACUUUGUGUCUCUGAUCAUUUCAGGAGAGUCGCAAUGUUAUCUGAUCUACACCAGGUUAGUUCUCUCUUUUUCACACAGAGUCACUCAUUCUAAAAGAAAAACCAAGACAUAAUGUAUUUCCAUUAACCUUUCAGUUUGGGAAAGUCAUUUCCUUCGGUCACACUCAACUUUGCAGCUGGUGCGUCAAUGACUUUGAAACCACAAGACUACCUGCUAUAUUCAGGAUCUCAUGUGAGGCUUCCGAAUUAACCAAAAGAAACAAAAAAUGCUAUUUGUUCAGAGCAAAUGAAUAUCAUCGUACUAAUGAUUGUACGGAAUGUGUAAACUGAAUGGUUUGUUCUAUUCUAUUGGUUACAGGUUGGUGCUGCUAUGUGGUGCUUAGGUUUCAAGAAAGCUCAUGGGGCAAGCCGAGGCUUGACAGUGUUAGGAGGUUAGGCCUCUAACACUACCGUGAAAAUUUCAGAAAAAUGUUACAAUAUUUAAUGCUAUUAUUAUUAUUAUUAUUAUUAUUACAAUUACUAUAUUUAAAGUAGUUGUUUUGUAACUUGUAUUGCAGAUCUUAUUCUAAGGGAUAAGAUUGUGGUAUAUGAUUUAGCCCGUCAACAACUCGCUUGGGCUAAUUACAACUGUAAGUCUAAUUAAACUACUCUUUUCUUCUUUCUAAUUUCCUUCCCAUACAAACUUAGUUGUUUGUUGAGUUCAUGGUUAAAUACUCACUAAUGUCAUAUUUCUUUUCAGGCGCAUCUCCGGUGAAUUUCUCUACGCCUUUUCACCCAGCACACCGAAGUGGAAGCAGUGGCUCAUCAAGAGACACACUAAUCAAGCUGCUAAAAACUGGGAUUGUGCUCCUCUUGAUGCAUUUGUUCAUUCUGUAUAUGUGAUUUACACAGCUUUCAGCAUUCAAGUUUGUAUGUUAUGUGCACUGAGAUAGAAAUCUUUGGGAUUUGAUUUCUAUCCUCCUCUUCGAGAUAGCAAAUUAGCCUAAUGAAAGUGAAACUGAAAUUACUCAAAUACAAAAAUUGAAGCAUUAUGUACUUGUAUUAUAAUUUUCUGUUUCAGUUCAUUCUUCCAAGUCAUCUUAAUUCGCCCCUUCCGUGUUUGAAAUAAUUUCCUUAAUAUUGAACCUAUCGAGUUACAGUAAAAAAAACCCACUACUCAAAUCAUUAGAGUAAUGAGCAGGUUAACAAAAGAACAUGAGAAAAGAGAGACGCAGACUACAAAGAGGACAAGAUAGAACUUUGGAACAAUGUUUAUGGCUUUGACAUGAGCUGCAUCAAGAAGCAAGCCAUGAUGGAGCCCCUUGUGGACACCGUUGACCAAAACCAAAUUUUUACAAACAGUCAGCUACUCAAGACAACGGAUAUAUCUAAGAUGACUCCAGGAGAUGCUUCCUUCAGGGUCCCUUUCAAGCUUGUUGCUGAACGUGAUGAUGAUUUCAUUCAGGCUCUUGUAGCCUAUUUUGGUCUGUCGUUUACGAAGUGUCAAUAAAUUGAUGGGCUUCUCCACAGGGCCAAGAUCACGGUCUACACACUGGAAGCAAACAAUCCUGUACCUGGAAGAUGUGCUAACAGUAUGUCAAGGAGAGUCAAUUGUCGGAAGCAUGACUGUGGCGCAAAACAAAAAGAAUCCCCGUGAUAUUUGACAUAAUGCUUAAGUAAUCGCUAAAUGGUCGACGAUGCAGAGUCUUGAGGGUUCAAUGCUACAAAGUGCACUCAGUUCCGUUUUGUUAUUGUUCCUUCAAGAAAGCAAUCCAUAAGUGCAACUAACUCAGUGUCGUGGAUUGUUAGUUGCCUCUAUGUACUAAUAAUUAUUCAUUUCUUAAAACUGUAACGUCAAAAUUUUGAUGCUAAAAGGUUUUGAAUUGAUCUAUUAAAAAAAACAUGAGAAAACCCUUUUACUAAGAUUUUGACAAAUAUUGUUACAGUUCUUUCCAACCUUUAGAUCUAGUUUAAUCUAGCGGUCCCUAAGUAAAACUUAAAUUGUUCUCGUUGACAUGGCAGUGACAUUGAAAUAGAUAAAUAAACUAAUUUAAGUAAUUUUAUUUUUUCAAAAAAAAAAAAAAAAAGAAUCAUGUAAGGAGAAAAAAAAUCAACAAUCCUUCUUCUUCCUCUUCUUCUUUCAAAUUCCAUAUUUCUGAAACCCCAUAUCCCGUAGAUUCUAAUUGAUUAAUAUAUAUAUGUGCAAUGAAACCAAUAGAUUUUUCUUAAGAAAAACAUAAGAGUGGAAUUUAAUUAUAGAAGUGCUUAUGGUUUUAACUCUUGAAUUGCAAGAGCACCGUCCAAAAAUUAUAGAGGAUAUAACUUGUUCAUCAAAACCUAAUCCCAAUGUCAUGAUAAACAAGUUUCCAACACGUUCACUAAAUGCUACUUUAGUUUGAUUCAUACAAUAUUCCAAAGCACACAAAGCAUAUCAAGCUAUCACUCAAUCUCUUGAAUCUUUUGUUAAAUAAACAAACUUAAACCCUAAAUUAAGUCUUCAUUCUUAGCAUUUUGGGUGAGAACUGGGUUAUGGUAAAACUUUGAUAUCUUCAAUUUUAGAUAGUUCUUAAGUUGUAAUUAUCACUCUUUAUUCCAUUUGGUCAAAUUGUCAUGAACAAAGACCAAAUUUGGUUGUUCUGGGCAAUCACGAAAUCAAUGGAGGUCUUCAUCCCUCCCUCCUAUGUUUUGCAGAUUUUAUUUAUGUAUGAUUAUUUAUAUUCCAUGUCAUCAUUUAUGUUAUUUAUUAAUUCAAAUCCUCCGCAUCACUUUUAAUUAGGACCAUUGGAUGAUAUAAAAUCUAAAGGUUAAAAAAAAGUGUAAAAAUAUUUGUCAAAAUCUUUCCCUUGAUCCUAUCCCAUAUAUAUAUAGACACACACACACACUGUCACAUCCCGGCCCAGGCCCCCACCACAUCCUGGUCUCGACUCCACCAUAGCACGAUAUUGUCCGCUUUAGGCAUCGACCACACCCUCACGGUUUUGUUUCUGGGAACUCACGAGCAACUUCCCAGUGGGUCACCCAUCCUAGGAAUGCUCUCGCCCGAACUCACUUAACUUCGGAGUUUCGAUAGAACUCGAAGCCAGUGAGCUCCCAAAAGGCUUCUAACCUGAAGCCAGUGAGCUUCCAAAAGGCCUCGUGCUAGGUAGAGAUGGGAAUAUACAUAUAAGGCUUACAUGAUCCAUUCCUCUGGACGAUGUGAGAUCUAACAAUCCACCCCCCUUAGGGGCUCGACGUCUUCGUUGGCACACUUCUGACUAGGGAUUGGCUCUGAUACCAAAUUGUCACAUCCCGGCCCGGACCCCCACCACAUCCUAGGCUCGACUCUACCGUAGCCCGGACCCCCACCACAUCCUAGGCUCGACUCUACUGUAGCACGAUAUUGUCUGCUUUGGGCCCCGACCACGCCCUCACGGUUUUGUUUCUAGGAACUCACACGAGAACUUCCUAGUGGGUCACCCAUCUUGGGAAUGCUCUCUCCCGAACUCGCUUAACUUCGGAGUUCCGAUGAACUUUGAAGCAAGUGAGCUCCGAAAAGGCAUUAUGCUAGGUAGAGAUGGAAAUAUACAUAUAAGGCUUAUAAGAUCCACACCCCUGAACGAUGUGGGAUCUUACACACACAUACUUGAAAUUGUUAAUUAAACCACCAAACUAUAGGUAAAAACUGACGCAACAGAAAGAUGUAUCUAUGUUCAGACUAGUAAAAUAAAAAUAUAUUGCAUUCAUCAAUAACCUUGAAGAGCACAGAAAAAGAAGGUGAAAUAUGUAUUUCAAUUGCAAUUCUAUGUUAAUGAUGAUCACUGGAGCAAUCAGAAGAACCCACUCAUCAUUCACAUCCGAAACAAAGUAGACAUUCCAAGUAGCAUGAACCUAACAUUGACAUGAUAGUAUGAACAAAUUCAUGAAAACAAAGCUGAAGCGGCACAUUAGAAAGUUAGAGAAAAGGGUCUUUCCGAAAAACCCCUAAACUCCCUUUGCCAGAAAGCCAAAUCGACCCAAUUGCAUGCAUAGACUCUGAAGUGAUUUGCACCUUGAAAAACAUGAUCACCAUAAACCAUCUAAAGCCUUUUCCGUCAAAUGACAGAAAACAUAUAUUAUCUGUGUAUAGAUAGGAAAGAAAUUUCAAACACGGCAUAUAUAUAGUUAUAAGUUUGGAUAGCGUAUAAUGCGAGAUCAAAUCUUCUGCAUCCAAAAUAUGUGGUCUCUGUGUGACACUAAUUAUUGUUUGACAUAUAUUAAGUUUAUACAAUAAAGUUAAGAUUUUUUUUAAACACUUAUCAAUCAAUAAUUGGAAUCAGAUAGAGCCUACACCCAUUUUAAUUGCAAAAGAUUUGAUCUCAUAUAACACAAUUAGCAUAGAAAUUAAAUUUAUAGCUACUCAAGAUCUGACUAAUUUUAGACACCAUAUUAUUUAAGGCAUGAAAUAGAACUAAUAUAGUUUGGAAUCUGAUUCGGGCCAACUAAUUUACUAUUAAUGUUUGACAAAUUGUAAAACUUGCAAAACUCAUGCAUGAGACGAUUCGUUGAACCAACGUGUACAGAUAUGCAAUUAUUACAAUAAUAUACUCAGCUUACUCCAACAUUACAAAGACCUAAAGUUAUUGAAAACAAUUCUCAAUUUCAACUACUCGUAGAUUUAGAGAAGCAUAGCAACUCAUAAAUUAAGUUUUGCACCGCACUACAAGCGCACAACAAUCAUAAUCACUUUUCUCUGGUAUCAAAAAUUUGAAACAUGGAUAAAGGUUCGCUCAAGCUGGUUUUCUUCGUUGCUUUAUUAGUUGCAUCUGCUGGUAAAAUACUUUGCUCAUAUAAUUUUUUUUCACUCAUUCACCUUUUUAUCAUAUUUCCCUGGUCGACUUUUCUCUGUAAAAUUAUGCAACUUGCCACAUAUAUUGUAUUAUGCAUGUGAUAUUUCUAAUUAAUAAUUAAGGAAAUAUUUGUGGUAGGUGUGCAACUUGGAGUCGAAGCAGUGAAUCUUUGGCAACCUGGUCUGUGCACAACACCUAAAGAUUGCGAUAACCCCGCCAAAUGCAAAUGCAGCGCAGCUGGUCUCUGUGUUUGUCCCAAGGAAGUGGUGAAAGUAACGUCUGCCGCCCCAUCUGCAUACUCGGAAGAGCAUAAGGAAACCCCGGAAUCAAAAGUUUUUAAUUCUCACAUUAUAUAAACUAUUUGUGUGGUCCUAUUAAACCACACAAGUUACAAAUGUGAGGACUAUUUGAAUAAAUAAUAAAUAACACCAACUUAUUUAUAGUUGCUGAACAGUCUUGAGGGUUCAAUGCUAAAAAAUGCACUAAGUUCCGUUUUGUAAUUGUUCCAUCAAGAAAGCAAUUCACAAUUUUAACUUUAAUCCUUCAAGAAGAUUGAAAUUUAAAUUAAACCUGGUGUUAGAUUAUAUAUUGAUCAUAGUCCCUUGAUGUGUCCUUAAUUCAAAAUAAUUAAUUGCAUUUUAUUUAAUGUCUCUCAUUAAAUAUUUUAAUUUAUUAAUAUACAAAUUUUAAUUUAUUUUUUUACCAAAAAAAGUUUUUUUUUAAUUUAUUAAUUUUAUCUAACAUUCUUCAAACUUGAAAAACUCAAUUAAUGUACCUAAAUGUUAGUACCGAAAUGUAUUAUAUUAUUUUAAUGUAUUUAAAUGUUAGUACCGAAAUGUAUGUACUGAAAUAUAUGUACCAAAAUGUAUGUACUGAAAUAUAUGCACCGAAAUGUAUUAUAUUAAGUUAAUGUACCUAAAUGUGUGUCUCGAAAUGUGUGUACCUAAAUGUGUCUACUGAAAUGUAUGCACCGAAAUGUAUGUACCGAAAUGCAUUAUAUUGAAUUCAUGUACCUAAAUGUUUGUAUCGAAAUGUAUGUACCUAAAUGUGUAUGCCGAAAUGUAUUAUAAUGAAUUUAACGUACCUAAAUGAAGAAGACAAAAUACAUCGAAAUAUAUUGUAUAACAAAACUUAGUUUAUCUAAAUGUUUACUAUAAAAUAUAUUACGAUAAAUGAAAUGAAAAUUAUAAUUAUAAUGAAAUAAAAUUAAUACAUUAAAAUAAGGAAGAAAAAGAUAAAUUAUUAAAAAAUCAAAAUGUAAUUAAUAAAUGAGGUUAUUAACGUACCAAAGGACUAAAUUACAUUUUGAUCUUACUCAUGAUUUUAGUCUAAAAGUCAUCUUUGCCAAGGAUUAGAAUGAAGUUUUCUAUAUUAUAAAACAUCAUCGACGAAACAUGGUUCAAUGUCAUCGCUAAGCAUGAUGUCAGUAGCUACUGAGUACGAGAAUACAUCAUCGACGAUCAUCUCAUUCCUAUUCCAAACCUCAUCCAAUACUGUGUAGUAGACCGAAAUAUAGCGGUUUUUGAGAGGCCGACAUGUUUCAUCUGAAGCAUCACCGUAAUCUAGAAUAACUUCAUGCGUUGGAACGGAUGAGUGAAUGAUGGUCGGAUUCAAACUAGGGUCACUAGUUGGUGCCAUUUUCCUCUUCUGGGGUUGUGAAUCCUUUGAACCAAGGGGUUUGCCACGCUUCAGGGUCGGAGCAGAUGAUUAGCUAACCGCCAAUGUACUUUGCCGCGUGGAGGGUACGGCCUCCCCACCUUCAGGGGCGGUCCAACCUUCCCAGGCGGGUUGUUGACGUACACGGGGUACAUUUAUCCUUGCAGGUGUGUUUACAGCGGGUAUAUGUGAUAUUGUCACCUUUGCUAGAUCAUUAAAAGUAUCCGGCAUGCUUUGAGUAAUGCUCUGAAGAUCUAUAAUUUGACGCACCUCAAUUUUAGACUGGGCAGUGCGAGGAUCUAAAUGAGACAUAGUGCGAGCAUACCACGACAAUUCGUGGCAUUCUACAGGAACAUUAACAUGCUUAUCUCCCCCUAACGACAGGAAGACUAUCUCAUCAAAGUGACAAUCCACAAAACGUGUGGUAAAGAGAUCUCCUGUCAAGGGUUCUAAGUACUGAACAAUUGAUGGUGAAUCAUAACUGACAUAGAUUCCCAUUUUUUCUCUAAGGACCCAUUUUGGUACGUAACGGAGACGCUAUUGACACAUAAAUGGCACACCCAAACACCCGUAAAUGCGAGACGUCAUGCUCGUAUCCAGUGACCAACUGUAAUGGUGAAUAUGGUUGGGUAACGGUGGGCCUCAGGUGAACUAACAUAGCUGCGGGUAAUAUUACAUAGCCCUAGGCAGAUACCGACAGUUUGGUUCGCAUAACCAAAGUCUGAGCUAUCAAUUGAAGACGCUUUAUGAAAGCUUCUACCAGGUCGUUUUGGGUGUGAACAUGGGGUACAUGAUGUUCCAUAUUGAUCCCUACUGACAUGCAAUAAUUGUCAAAAGUCUGUGACGUAAACUCUCCAGCAUUAUCCAGUCGAAUCGACUUGAUUAGAUAAUCAGGGUGGUGAGCCCUUAACUUAAUGAUUUGAGCUAGGAGUUUAGCAAACACGACGUUGCGUGUGGACAACAAGCAAACAUGUGACCAUCUUGUCGAUGCAUUAACCAAUACUAUAAAGUAUCUAAAUGGUCCGCAGGUUGGUUGGAUAGGUCUACAAAUGUCUCUUUGAAUCCUUUGAAGAAAUUUAUGGGGGUCGUGAAGAAUCUUUGUAUAUGAGGGUUGAGUAUUCAACUUCCAUAAAGAACAUGUUUUGCAUGGUGGGAGUCCAACAUAGGGAUGUAACUUAUGCUUGUGUGAAGAUUUAAGGAUACGGCACAUCAUGUCACAUCCAGGAUGACCCAAACAAUCAUGCCAAAGCAACAAAGUGUCUGGGAACUCAGGCAUAGGGCCGGCCACACUAUGGGAUUAUAUGCCGCGAAUGGUUAUGAUGUACAACCCACUCGGCAAGCGUUCCAACUUCUCGUGAAUAUGCUUCUGGCCAUAUGCAUAUGAAGUGAUACAAAGAAAUUCAGAACCAUGAUUGUUGAUGCACAAAAUCAGUGGGGACUUUGGUACAACAGAAAAUGUUAAGUUUGUGACCUUCGCUAGAUUGCUCCGGUCACUAGUGUGGAUAAGUAUGUUAAUGGAUAGAGACAGGGAAGCAAACAUAAGAUGCACGUGGUUCACCCAGAUUGGCUACGUCCACGGAGUAGAGGAGUUCUCAUUAAUUGUGAAGGGUUUACACAAGUACAUAGGUUCAAGCUCUCAUUUAGUGAGUAUAAGUGAAUGAUUUAGUAAAAAUGACAUUAGGAAAUAUUGUGAGAGAAUGAUCUCUAUUUAUAGAAGAGAGUUUCUAGUUUCAUUCUGACAUUGACACGUGUUGUGUUGUGAUUGGCUUCUGAUGUUAACACGUGUCGUGUUAUGAUUGGCUUCUGAUGUCGACACGUGUCGCGCUGUGAUUGGCCUCCUGGUUGGAGGGAAACUCUUCUGGGUCCUUGAUGGUAUAACGUUGACCGGUGCUCAGUAGUUUCGGGAUUGGUCAAAUAUGGUACAAACAGUGCUCCCCUAAGUUCCCGAGUGAAGAAAACUCCUCGGUUGGGGACUUGUAAGAUCCAAGCCAUUAAGUAAUUACGAAACUUCUAAGUACUGAAGUGUGGUAUCAUUUUCACUUGCCUUAUUUGUCUCAUAUGUAGAUGUGGCAUCUUCUCUGGAAGUACUUUUCUUCCAUCCAGGGGUGGUAUCUUUAACCGAUGAAGAUGCACAAGGUAAUGUAUCAAUUUCACUUGAAGCUUACUUGUAGUUUCAGGCUUAGUCAAGUGCGAUACAAACCUUAUAGUAGGAGUCCCCCAAGUCGCCGAGCUAGGAGAUUUGCCGAAAGAGGUAACAGACAAGGUAAGCAAUCAGACUUCCACGCAAGUAACCUGGAUCGGAGGUUCGACUUUGGCUUCCGGUUGAUUGUUCUCCUUCUCCUUGUGUCGUAAAUAACACCAAGGAUAAGGAGAAGAAAAUGGAGAAGAGAUGAUAUGAGAUACUUUUUCUUUUGAAGAAGUAACUUUCCACAGGCUUAUUCUUGAACUGGGCUGGAGGGUUUUCUGAUUCCCUUCAGAGUAUAAGGCCGACUAAAGAAUUUGAAGGUCAAAACAAGUCCAUCAAAUCUAGAGUACAUUCGACCCUGAUGAUAUGGGAUACUUUUGCUGUUGACAAAGUAGUGGAUGUAUCGGCACGUGUUCUGUUACGCUUGUCUCCACAUGCUUCCUUGUAUCCUUCUUACUUGCCCUAUCUGUUCCUCAGGCAGAUGUGGUAUCUUCUCUGGAAGCAUAAAAUUUUGAAGAUGAGUACUCGAGAGCAAUGCCAGGUAAGUAAUCAGACAAGGGGUUCUAGGCAAUCCGUUCCUGACUGGAAGCUUGAUUCCAAGUGUUGACCGAUUGCUCUCUUUCUCCUUGUCUUGCAGGUAAGAACAAGGCCAAAGGAAAAGACAGGGAAAAACAUGAUAUGUGAUACUCUUGCUUUUAACCCUGAUGAUAUGAGAUACUCUUGCUCUGGUGUGGCUUUUUUGCAGAGGUAUUAUCGGGAGGGAAAAAAGCUGAGUAUUUCGAGAGACUCUGCUGAGAGUGCCCUAUUGGAUGUGAAGAAAAGUUGAGCAUUUUUUUUAUUUGCAGGUUUGCCUGGCUGUGGAGGAUGGAGGUCGACAUAUAUAGGAGUCUCCCUAACAACAAGUAGUAGUGUUAUUCCUUUACCCUUCUUAGUCGUAGCAAUGUAGUGGGAGCUGCAAGCUUCACGUGUUUUAACUUUGUUGGAGCACUUUGAAAAAGUGGUAUGUGGUAUCUGGAAAGCUGAUGUUACGUGUGAGAGUUGUAGACAAGCUUUAUCUAAGGAAAUCUGGCUCUCAAAGUUCGGAAAGCAAUGCCUCUUCGGUUUUCGAACAAGCAAUCCUGUCGGGGAUCUGGUUCUCGAGAUUCGGAGAGCGGUUUCUUUUCGAUUUUUGAGAAAGCAAUCCUGUUGGAAGUCUGGCUCUUGAGAUUCGGAGAGCGGUGCCUCUUUGAUUUUUGAGAAAGUAAUCCUGUUGGGAGUCUGGCUCUCAAGAUUCGGAGGGCGGUGCCUCUUCGAUUUUUGAGCAAGUAAUAAUGCUAUUCCUUUACCCUUCUUGGUCAAAGCAAUGUAGUGGGAGCUGUAAGCUUCACAUGUUUUAACUUUGUCAGAGUGCUUUGAAAAAGUGGUCUGUGGUAUCUGGAAAACUGAUGUUGCGUGUGAAGAUUGCAGACAAGCUUUAUCCAAGGAAAUCUGGCUCUCGAAGUUCGGAGAGCGGUGCCUCUUCAAUUUUCGAACAAGCAAUCCUGUCGGGGAUCUGACUCUCGAGAUUCAGAGAACGAUGCCUAUUCAAUUUUUGAGAAAGCAAUCCUUUUGGGAGUAUGACUCUUGAGAUUCGGAGAGCAGUGUCUCUUCGAUUUUUGAGAAAGUAAUCCUGUUGGGAGUGUUUUCUUGAAUGUGAGUAAAGGUUGGGCAUUUUUGCCAGUCUGCCUUGCCACGGAGCAUGGAGGUUGAAACACAUUGAGACUUUCUAGUUAUCAAGCAAUGAUGCUGUUCCUUUACCUUUGUGGGUAAUAAUAGGGUAGCUGGACCUUCAAAAUUUAUGUGUCUAAACUUUGUCAGAGAUCUUUGGCAAUGUUAUCUGUGGUACCCGAGAAGCUGAUGUUGCAUGUGGAAAGUGGUGCCUCUUCGAAAUCCGAAGAGUGGUGCCUCUUCGGAAUCCGGAGAGUGGUGCCUCUUCGAUUUUUGAACCAACGGCCCUAUUGCCCUUCUUUUAUCAGCGCACCAAUUAUGUGCAAGGAGUACAUUCAGAGAGUUAUUGUUUGUAGGAAUUUUCCCCUUACUUCAGAGAUUUAUUGCACCUCAUUUCUCCUUCAUCAUUUCUGAGAAUGUCUGGCACAUCUGACCGUCGUUUUGACUUGAACUUUGGUUAAGAGGCAGCCAUGCCUUCUCAAGACAACAUAUGGCACCCAUCUUUCUUAUCCCCUACUGGUCCUCUUAUCGUUGGGGACUCUAUGAUGAAGAAUGAUAUGACCGCUGCGGUGGUGGCCAGGAACCUUCUCACUCCCAAAGAUAACAUACUACUUUCCAAACGGUCUGAUGAGUUGGCUGUUAAUGAUUCUCUGACUCUCAGUGUUCAGUGUGCAGGUUCUGUGUCUAACAUGGCCCAACACUUAUUUGCUCGAACCCGCCAAGUUGAACAUUGGAAACUGAAGUGAUAAGUCUCAAACAGGAGAUCAGAGGGCUCAAGCAUGAGAAUAAACAGUUACACAGGCUUGCACAUGACUAUGCUACAAACAUGAGCAACCUUUGUAAAGGCUCCAUCUUGUUUGUUUAUUUUGAUUUAUGUAUAUGUACAUAUUUGUAACUUAUAAGAGAUAUCAAUAAACAAGAUUUGCUUCAUUUCAACGUAUUAUGUUAAAUACACCAAGGCCUUCUUCACUAAGUUCUUUGAAUUUUUCCUUUUGUUGAAGCUUGUAUGUUGAAGCUUUAUGAGUAAAGCAUGUAGGUUGAGGUAGUGCUCCCUUAAUUUCCCGAGUGAGGAAAACUUCUCGUUUGGAGACUUGAAAAAUCUAAGUCACUACUUGGUCGUGAGACUUCCGAGUAUCAAGGUGCAGUAGCAUAUGGUAGGAGUCCCCCAAGUCUCCGGUCGAGGGAGUUGACGAAUGAGGCAUUUCCUUUCUAAGUGGUAGCCCAAAACUCAUUCUUCAUAUAUAUUUGUUAUGAAAGUUGUUAGGCCCAAAGAAAAGGAGGCCUAGGCAAUUUUUUUUUCUUCGAAUUUCGAAUUUUUGAAUUUUCGAAUUUCUGAAAAAAAAUAUAUAUAUAUAUAUUUUAAAGCUUUGUAGGUGAAGCUUUGGUGUUGAAGCAUUGUAGGUGAAGCUUUGAGGUUGAAGCUUUGUUGGGCACCAUGAAUUGAUUUUGUUUCACACUAUUUUGAAUGAAUUGAUUUUGCUUCACACUAUCUUGAUCAAGAUAGUGUGAAGCUUUUGUGUUGAAGCUUUGUAGGUGAAGCUUUUGUGGGUGAAGCUUUUAUGGGUGAAGCUUUGGUGGGUCAAACUUUUGUAGGUGAAGCUUUUGUGGGUGAAGCUUUUGUAGGUGAAGCUUUUGUGGGUCAAGCUUUGUGGGUCAAGCUUUUGUGGAUCAAGCUUUUGUAGGUGAAGCUUUUGUGGGUUAAGCUUUUGUAGGUCAAGCUUUUGUGGGUGAAGCUUUUGUGGGUGAAGCUUUUUUGGGUCAAGCUUUUGUGGGCCAAGCUUUUGUGGGUGAAGCUUUUGUGUUGAAGCUUUUGUGGGUGAAACUUUUGUGUUGAAGCUUUUGUGGGUGAAACUUUUGUGUUGAAGCUUUGUAGAUGAAGCUUUGGAGUUGAAGCUUUGGAGUUGAAGCUUUUGUUGGGUACCAUGAAUUGAUUUUGCUUCACACUAUCUUGAUCAAGAUAGUGUGAAGCUUUUGAGAAUUUGUAGUUGUCCUCUAUUGAUGAAGCUUUGUUGAAUUUUUUUUUAUUUUUUAUUUUUUAGGGAAACUAGAAAUUUGAAAAUAUGGGAGAGACAACAUAUACAAAUUGUGCUUCCACACUGUUGAGCAAGAGAUUGUGAUGCAAGCCACACCUUGUAGUAGUCGAAGGUUUGGAUGAACCAUAUAAAUUGAAUUUGCUUCGAAGGUCUGAGAAUUGUAGUUGCCCUCCAUUGAUGAAGCUUUUGUUGGCACCAUAAAUUGAUUUUGCUUCACACAGUCUUGAUCAAGAGUGUGUGAAACUUUUGAGAAUUGUGGUUGCCCUCUAUUGAUGAAGUUCUUAUUGGCAUCAUAAAUUGGUUUUGCUUCACACUGUCUUGAUACCUUGAUCGGGUUUUAUAUUAUUUGGAUGGAAUGUGGGUUAGGUGAGCCUUCCUUUCAUCAAUGGCGCUACUGCUAUAAGAUGUGCCCAGUGAAAGCAUGCACUGGGUAUGCCGAGUGUGCAUGUCGGAGUGAGAGAGAGCGUAUUGUCUUUGGUAAGAAAAAGGCGUACUACACUUGGAAAAACCAUUGGUGCUUUCUUUAUAAUGAUUGGGAGUAUGCUAAAGGUGUCACGCCUGAGCGACAUGUUCCUACUCAUUUCCAGACUGUAGGUUGUAAUGUAUCCAUUGUUUGCAUUAUUUACUAUUUGUUGUGAUUUUCUUUUGCUUCUAACAUUUUUUCUUCGUGCAGUGACGCGAGGGACCAUCAAGCUGUCUGGACGGGAGCUAGCUGACAUAGAGAAGGUGUUGAGGGUGCCCAAAGAGGAUAGACAUUUGGGCAAGCUACCACCCUUAUUUCAAAAGUACGGUUUCCAGCCCUUAGUGUCGGAGUGCCAGAGACGAGCAAGUAAGUUGUGUCUUUCAUUUUGCCCCCUCUUUCUUUUACAAAGUUGCAUUCCUUACUUUGAUUUUUCUUGUUCAGUGGAGAAAGUGGGCAAGAAAAGGGAGACUAAUGCCAAGAAAGGGAAAACAUCCAUGUUAGUUCCCGUAGACGACAUUUUAUUUCACAAAGGAGCUCGUAAGCACCGGGUGAGGCCAACCCUUAAACCUAAGUCGCAAGAGGAGGUCCUCAAGAUUGCUGUCUCAAAGAAGGCUGAAGCUGAGGCUAUCGGGUGUGCUGCUACCAUAGUUGCAAGGGAGGAGAGACGACUGUUGCCUCCUCUUCCUACCAUCAAUCAUGGAGUCUACUGACCAAGAAGGUGGCCCUAGCUGUAGCCGUAAAAGAAAGUACAAGGAAGAGGUUGUCAGCAUUCAUUGGAAGGACUUGAAGGUUGCCAUGCAGCCAAGUAGUUUUAGGUAUGUCAAUAAUUGCCUGGCAGGACGUCGAUCCACUGUUGAUGAGCUUGGCGAGCCGCUAGAUGAGAACGAAUCAGAUCGUGACCGGAUGAUGAGGCUAUCUUCUUAUGUAAGUGUUACUUUGUCAUUUCUUUGCUUUCUCCCUUUUUUUUCCUGGUAAUGACGAUUAUCUUGUCAUGUAGGUCAUGACCGAGUACGAUGACAGAUUACGAGAAGUUGAGCGGUACAAAGCAAAGUUUAAAGAGAAUAAGCAGCUUGUGAAUGACGUUAGAAACACGAGCAAAGCUUUGGCUGAUGCCAUCCACCUUAAGGAUGAAAACUUUAAGAGUUUGAAGAGGCGGAAUGGUGAGAACGUGAGGCUCAAGAAACAAUUGGAAGCGACUAAGGAACAGUUGGAGACAACCAUCCUUGAGGUUUCCAAGGUUAAAGGGGAGUUGGAUAGUGCCUUGGUUGAGGUUUUUGGGCUGAAGAUGAGUAUCCCAACUGAGAGGGAUGCUGCUGUGCAGGAAACAACCAUCCUUGAGGUUUCCAAGGUUAAAGGGGAGUUGGAUAGUGCCUUGGUUGAGGUUUCUGGGCUGAAGAUGAGUAUCCCAACUGAGAGGGAUGCUGCUGUGCAGGAGUUCUUAGGUUCCCAGGCCUUUCACGAUGCUUUUAGACCUCACUGCAUCCGAGCGGCUAAUUUUGAGAAAAGGAAAAUGAUGGCCGUCUUUGAGCGUUAUGACAAUGGAAGCAUUAUCCGAAAGUACAAUGAUAAGAUGGAUGAGUACUGACAAAAGGGUGAAGCCUUUGUCCUCGCAGUUGAUCCUAAUAGUGAUGAUGACUCUGAUAAUGAGGCUAGUAUCAGUGAGCAGUCUCAGGAGAGUGAGGAUGGUCCUGGAGAUGCUGAUGAAGGUGGUGAUGAUGAUGGGGUUGAAACGCAGAGUGAUAUUGUCAGGGGUUCGACCUCAGACGAGGAUGACUCGUAGUGCCUUCUUUUUCUGCAUGCACUCUGGAUGUACGAGUUUGUUGUUUGUGUGGCAUGUGCCAUGUACUCUGGAUCUACUAGUUUGUUGUUUGUGUGGCAUGUGCCAUGUACUCUGGAUGUACUAGUUUGUUGUUUGUGUGGCUUGUGCUAUGUACUCUGGAUGUACUAGUUUGUUGUUUGUGUGGCAUGUGCCAUGUACUCUGGAUGUACUAGUUUGUUGUUAAUUACCAAGUAUUUGCACUAUCAUUGAUGAAUGCCUGGCUAUGUUUGAGUAAAUCCUUUGUUUAGAUAUAAGCCAUAACUUGGAUAUACUAGUUCUGUCCAGUAUUGUUUGUUUAUUUGUAUAGUCUUGUUGACAUAUACUUAGACUUGAUUUCCUGUUGGAAGCAUUUAUGUCGAAGCUUUGAACCCGAGUGUUUAAUUGCUAGGAAUGUAAGAGGAUUAUGACCGAGUUGUCUAAAUCACCUCUUUAUUGAAUUCAUGCCAAAUAGUCUUCGUUACAUAGGAUGCCGAACGGCUGAAGCUUAACAUUUGUACAAUGUGAAUUUACUUGUAAUAGUACUUCAAGUGAUCAGCGUUCCAUGGAUGGCCAAGGGUCUUGCCAUCGGAGCUUCUAAGCUUGUAUGAGCUAGGGUGACUGAUGCCAACAACUUCAAACGGUCCAUCCCAGUUUGGACUAAGUUUUCCUUCACUCGGGACUCUGUCGCAGAGUAAUCUUUUCUUCAAUACCCAGUCCCUCACUUUAAAAGAACGAGGUUUGACCCUGGAGUCAUAGUAGUUGGAGAUGCGCUGCUUGUAGGCGACAUUUCUCAAGUGAGCCUGGUUUCUGUGUUCCUCGACUAGAUCUAAGUUAAGGGUAAGUUAUUUAUCAUUUUCACUUUGCACGUAGUUCUGAACUCGGAACGUUGCUUGCUCAAGCUCAACUGGGACAACUGCCUCUGUACCAAAGGCAAGUGAGAAUGGGGUUUCUUCUGUUGAUGUUCGAUACGAAGUGCGGUAUGACUAAAGAACUUGGGGUACAAAUUAUGGCCAACAACCUUUAGCCUUGUCCAAGCUGGUUUUCAAAGUUCGCUUGAUUAUUUUGUUGAUGGCUUUAACUUGUCCAUUAAACUGGGGAUGAGCUGGGGAGGUAAAACAUAAGUUGAUGUUGAACUUAAAGCAGAACAUCCUGAACUUAUUGUUGUCGAACUGUCAGUGACUAUCGCAUUGGGAAUGCCGAAUCUGUAAAUGAUGUUCUUCCAUACGAAGUCUUCUAUUUUUGCCUUAGUAAUGGUUGCUAAGGGUUCUACUUCAGCCCACUUUGUGAAGUAGUCAACUGCAACGAUUGCAUAGCGGACCUUGCCCUUCCCUGUAGGCAUUGGGCCGAUCAAAUCAAGUCCCCAUUAGGCGAAGGGCCAAUGGCUGAUCAUGGGAGUGAGCGGCUCGGGAGGAGAGUGAGGAAUAGUUGCGCAGCGUUGACACUUAUCACAUGAGCGGGAUAUUCUGAUGGCAUUUUGGUGGACUGUUGGCCAGUAAUAUCCUUGGCGAAAAACCUUGUGUGCUAGGGAUCGAGAUCUAGCAUGAUCUCCACAGAUUCCUUCAUGUAUUUCCCGAAUGACAGUUUCCACCUCUACGGGUGUAAGGCAUCUUAGGUAUGGUAAGUUAAAACCCCAUUUGUAGAGAUGGUCAUUAAUGAUCAAGUAACGGGUAGCCUUGUAUCGAAUUUGCUUAGCUUGGACUUUGUCAUUUGGAAGGGUGCCAUGAGCAAGGAAUCUAUAAAUCAAGGUAAUCCAACUAUCCCCCUGUUGUAAGUUGCAUACUUCCGCAGCCAUGGUACUUAGUGCUGCCAACAAUUCGACUUGAAUUUUUCUCCCAAUCCUGUCUUCCACCGCUGAGGCGAGGCGAGCCAAAGCAUCUGCAUGACUGUUUGCCGCUUGAGGAAUUUGGGUGAUCUGGUAGUGGAAGUGCUGGAGCAACAAUUGUGUUUAUGCCAGAUAUGCUGCCAUAGAGCUAUCAUUAGCAUCAAAGUUGUUGGUGACCUGGUUAACCACCAAUUGGGAGUCAUUGAAGAUAUCAAUUCGUUUAACCCCAAGGUGUUUGGCCAAACAUAAGCCUGCUAGGAGGGUUUCAUAUUCGGCCUCAUUGUUUGACGCCUUGAAUUUGAAAUGAAUAGCAUACUCCAUCGCCACUUUGUCAGGGGUCGUAAGGAUUAGUCCUGCUCCACAACCCUGUUGGUUGGACGAGCCAUCAACAUAUAGACUCCAUGCUGGAGCUGUUGGUUCUAUUUUCUGAGCUUUCGAGGGUAAUGAAACCACUUCUUUAGGCAUAGAAACAAUGUCAAUAUGAUAUGUGAAGUCGGCGAUGAAGUCUGCCAUUGCUUGGCCCUUUUAAGCUGGCUUUGGUUGGUAAAAGAUGUCAAACUCACCCAAUGCUAUCGCCUAUUUGAUCAUUCGUCCGGAAGUGUCAGGACUUUGGAGUAUCUGUCGAAGAUGAUGAUUGGUAAGCACGAUCAUGAAGUGUGCUUGGAAGUAAGGGCGAAGUUUUCGAGCAGACAUAACCAAUGCUAGAGCCAAUUUCUCAAUGUUGAAGUAUCGUGUCUCUGCAUCUUGUAAGGCAUUACUAGCAUAGUAGACAGGCCGUUCGGCAUUACCAUCAUUUCGAAUAAGAACGGAACUUACUGCUGAAGCCGAUACUGACAGAUAGAUAAUGAGAGUGUCACCAACCUUAGGUUUGGAUAGCAGAAGGGCUUUACUCAUGUAGUCUUUAAGGUUCUUGAAUGCCUCAGCACAUUCAUCAGUCCAUGUAAUGUACUUUUUACUUCCCUUAAGUGUUUUGAAGAAAGGAGCACAUCUGCCUGUGGCCUUAGAGAUGAACCUAGUUAAGGCUGCCACCUUGCCAGUAAGGCUUUGGAUGUCUUUUGAAGUUACCGGUUCCUUCAUAUCGAGGAUUGCUUUGAUCUUCUCGGGAUUAGCCUCAAUGCCUUGUUGGCUUAUCAUGAAACAUAAGAAUUUGCCAGAGCCUACGUUGAAGGCACAUUUGUUGGGGUUCAACCUCAUUCGAUACCUCUUCAGAAUGGUGAAAGUUUCAGAUAGGUUGGUGAUGUGUUGGUCAUCAUGUUUGCUCUUGACUAGCAUAUCAUCAACGUAAACUUCCAUGCUCUUCCCAAUCUGUUCGGCGAACAUUGAAUUGACCAGUCUCUGAUAAGUCGCUCUUGCAUUCUUUAGGCCGAAAUGUAUGACUUUGUAGCAAUAUAGUCAUUUGUCAGUAGUGAAGGCUGUGUGUUCUUGGUCCAGAAGGUUCAUGAGGAUUUGGUUGUAUCCUAAGUAAGCAUCCAUGAAGCUCAGAAGUUCACACCCUGCUGUAGAGUCUAUAAGUCUGUCUAUGAGAGGAAGAGGAAAACUAUCAUUUGGGCAUCCUUUGUUUAGGUUGGUGUAAACGACACACAUUCUCCACAAGACCUUUUGGAGUAGGAGACUUUCCUUGGUCGGAUUCUUCUUAACAAGGACAACAUUUGCUACCCACGUUGGAUAAUUGACUUCGCAGACGAAGCCUAUGCCUUUGAGUUUUUCAACUUCUGCCUUCAUUGCCUCGUACCAUUCAGCGUCAUAAGAUAUUUGCUUCUGUCUCACUGGCUUGGUCUUGGGGUCAAUACUUAAGUGAUGACAGAUGAUAUCGGGAGAGAUGUCUGGCAUGUCCUAGUAUGACCAGGCGAAGACCUCAGUGUUCUCUUGCAAAAAAGAGAUCAAUGCCAACCGAAUGGGUGGUGACAAGGUGGUGCCAAUCUUCACCAUGCGAUCUGGAUAAUCUUUUGAGAUAGAGACAUUCUCCAACUCUUCAACGGGUUGUGCUUGCUAGGUGAAAGAGUCAUCUCGAGGAUUGUCGGGUUGACUAUUACCAUCGUGAAGAUCCAAGUUGGCUUCGUCUGGGCUGGUCUUUAUGACUUGGUCAUGUAUAGAAAGGGUUUCCUUGGGCACAGACAGGUGUUGUUGCUUGACUGAAGUGUUGUAACAUGAUCGUGCACUAAGUUGAUCUCCUCUGAUGUAACCAUUACCAUAGGGGGUUGGAAAUUUCAUCAACAACAUAUGUGUGGAUACCAUGGCCUUGAGAUCAUUGAUGCCUGUGCGUCCGAAGAUGACAUUGUAUGCCGUUGGGCAAUCAACCACCAGGAAGUUAGUGGUAAUGGUAGCUGUGUAAAGGCCUGUACCAAUGGUGAAAGGUAAGUGUAUGCUCCCCAAAGGUUGCACGAUAUCACCGGAGAAGCUUAUCAGAUGGGAAAUCAAGCGAUCAAGCAAGUGUUCAGCUACAUUAAGUGCCCUGAAAGCUUCAGCAAACAUGAUAUUGACCGAAGCCCCCGUGUCUACCAGGAUUCGUCAUCAUUCAAAGUUGGCUAUGUGAGCUUCCAUGAUCAGUGGGUCGUUGUGAGGGUAGAUGAUACCUCUUUCUUCCUUAGGGUAGAAACAUAUUGGAUCCCAGUUAGGCUUUUGAUGCUUACCUCCCUUGAUGUCUUCCACGUGAAACACUUGGUGGCUAGACCUUAAAGCUCAUUCAUUAUUUUUCAUGGCCCUGUUAGAAGAUUUAGAUAUAGGUGUGCCACCACUUAUGGAAUAUAUCACAUUCACCUGGCGUUGGUUACGGUUACCCCUUGGAAGGUGAAGGAGGAAUUGAUCAAAUUUUCCUUCAUGUGCCAAAGCUUCAAUAUGAUCACGAAGGGUGAUACACUUCUCGCCAUCAUGGCCGUUAUGCUCGUGGUAGCAGCAAAACGUGCCCGUGUUCUUCGUGGGCUUGUAAUCCGGGUGCCUUGGCUUUGGCUUCGGUAUCAGGUGUGAUAUGCUGGGGUAAAUCACCAUGCAUGUGGCGUUCAAAGGUGUGUAUGCCUCAUACCUUGGGGUAGGGGUUGUCCUGACACGUGCUCGACCUACUAUGUUGAUUGCCUGAGGUCGAGGAUUAUCAUGGCGAUACCUUUGGUUAUCGCGGUAGUGUCCCUUACUCAUUUUACUAAAAUGAGACUGGUGAGGAUGAAAAUCUUUCCUUUUACCCUGGGAUUGAUAUGUCUGUUGACUUGACAAAGUAUUAAGUAAGGCAGGGGGAGUUACCGCUGCCGUUUGGAAGGUCGAGGUUUUCUCAUUUGGUUAGAUCUGGCUUCCACUCCUUACUUGCUGAUAAGGGGUGGUUGUGGGGGGUUUCCCUUGAUAUGUCCUUGCCUCGGCGGAGGCAUGGUUGUAAGCCUGUGCCAUCACCUCAGAGUAAGUCUUCCAAUUGUUGGCAUUGAUCAUGUACUUCAAGAAACAAUCACGUAGGCCUGCCGUGAAAGCCUUGAGGGCAGUCUUGUCAUCUGCCUCAGCGCAGCGAGAAUACUCAUGGCUGAAAUGACUGGCAUACUCUUGUAGUGACUCGUUUGGCUUCUAGCGAAUAGUGUACAAGUUAUCUGCAGAAUGCAAGCGAUAGGUCUGGAAGAUGUGUUGAGAGACAAACAGUUUCCUCAGUUCCUUAAAUGAGUCUACUAUCUCAAGUGGAAGACGACAAUACCAGUUUAGAGCUCCGCCAGAGAGGGUGGAGGGGAAAAGAAGACAUCGCUCUUCGUCGGUGUGCAUCCGAUAUGCCAUGGUGGACUCAAAGAGGUUAAGAUGUUCAAUUAGGUCUUCCCUUCCAGUAUAGAGUUGUAAACCAAGCUUUUGUUUUGUCUUUGCUUGAAGGGGGGUGUCGAGGAUCCUCCUUGUGAGAGGGCCAGACCUGGGUUGGUUCCAGUCAAGUAUCUCGGCUUAACGUUCGGCCUUCAACUUGUUUACUUCCUUAAGGAGCCGUAGGACAAGGGGGUCCUGAGUGGAGUCAUGUACCACUGGGAUUUUCUUUCAUAAGUCUCUAUCGCCUAUUGGAAGUAGGAAAGUUUGAGCAAGGGCAUGUGAUUUUUCCUUGGACUCGCCGUACUGACUUGUAGGGCGAGUCUGUCGGAAUACCUCAGAGUCCCCUGUACCUUCAUGUUCCUCUGGGACCUGUCAUUCCUUCCCUAGAUUGGCAGCUGGCCUGGUUCGUGGGAGGGGACCGAGUCUUUCAGAAACCUUUGGGUCAUUGAUCUUCGAGCAUAUGUGAAGGGGAUUAUCUGGACGUUGCUUUAAGAAGUCUCAGCAGUCACAAUAAACGGCUUUCGAUCAUUCCAACCCUUCUGCAAGGAGGUGUUUUCCUCCACUUCUCCUGCUUCAGGUCGAAACAGCUGGGUUGAGAGAAGUCUUACAUUGAUCAAUGUUUUGAUGAUUAGCUCGCUCCUCAUCAGGGAUACCCAUGUCGAAGGAAGGUGACCUUCCGUGUUGGAGGGCACCCAGAUGAUGGUUGAUAUCCACAAGGGCAACGAGCUCGCAUGUUUGAGUACGCCUAGUUUCAUGGAGCGUCUCAAAGAGCUUCUUUUACUGCUCCUGGAGGACUUCAUUCUUCAUUACUAUCUUGUUGUUCUGAGUUUCUAGCUCAUCGACUUUAGCUUGAAGAACAACCCUUUUUCCUUCCUUCUUUCGUUGCUUCGCACUAGGUGCAAGAGAGGUGUCAUUCUGUGUGCUGUGGCUUCAUUUGCUCCCCAUGUUGGAGAGGGAUGCCUGGUCAAAAGAAAGUGUACGAAUGGUGGAAACCAGCUUGACAAAGCUGAAGAGAGUGGGAAUAAGUGUCGAUUCCCACAGAUGGCGCUAAAUGUUGAUGCAUAAAAUCAGUGGGGACUUUGGUACAAUAGAAAAUGUUAAGUUUGUGACCUUCGCUAGAUUGCUCCGGUCACUAGUGUGGAUAAGUAUGUAAAUGGAUAGAGACAGAGAAGCAAACACAAGAUGUACGUGGUUCACCCAGAUUGGCUACGUCUACGGAGUAGAGGAGUUCUCGUUAAUUGUGAAGGGUUUACACAAGUACAUAGGUUCAAGCUCUCAUUUAGUGAGUACAAAUGAAUGAUUUAGUACAAAUGACAUUAGGAAAUAUUGUGAGAGAAUGAUCUCUAUUUAUAGAAGAGAGUUUCUAGUUUCAUUCUGACAUUGACAUGUGUCGUGUUGUGAUUGGCUUCUGAUGUUAACACGUGUCGCGCUAUGAUUGGCUUCUGAUGUCGACACGUGUCGCGCUGUGAUUGGCCUCCUGGUUGGAGGGAAACUCUUCUGGGUCCUUGACGGUAUAACGUUUACCGGUGCUUAGUAGUUUCGGGAUUGGUCAAGUAUGGUACAAACAAUGAUCUUCAGUGGUUUCAAGAUGAUAAUGAUUAUCUCGAAUGUCUCUAAAACUCAGCAAUGUUCUUCCGGAACGUGAAGAAUAGAGAGCCUCCUUAAUGGUCAGAAUUGUACCAUUAGACAACAUGAUACGUGCCUUUCCGUAUCCUUCAAUCAGGUUGGAUGAGCCUGAGAUAGUUUUCAAAUGAGCUUUCUUGGGUAUGAAGUUAGUAAAAUAGUGGCGUUCACGCAAUAUGGUGUGCGUGGUUGCACUAUCUGCCAGACAACUAACUUCCCCACUAGACAUACCUAGAAAUAAAUUGAUUGAAUUGGACACAUGUAUAAAUAUAAGUCCAUUCAUUCAAUUAAGCAGUUCGAGAAAAUAAUAUCCAUUCAAAUAACAAUCCAUAAUUCAAAACAAACCAAAACCAAAGAAAUUAUUCCAAAUACUUAGAAAAAUUGUUCAAAAUAAACCAUAAACCUAGCAAAAUAGGGGGGUUAAAGUCGGCCAUUCCUAGUGGGUUCGGCCACUAGGGGUGAACACCCUAAAUACAUGUAUAAUUUAUUCAUUCAUAGGUGUUGACACAUCCUGGAAAUCCGAUAUCUCCAUUGAUGUAGUUGCAUAUUCCGGAUGAUCCAUAUGUGCAAAGUUAGACUCAUGACGGGAAUGAUACUUGGUAAUAGCCUCAGGGGAAGCUUGGCAUACAUGUGACCAAUGGUCCUUUGAUCCACAGCGAUAGCAUAUGUCCAGUUCAGUAGAAACAGCCUGAAUGAGAGCUUUGCCCUUGUUCUUGAAGUUCGGGACCUUAGGGGCAAGUGGUGGACGCUGCUGGGUCGUAAUUCUUCCCUUAGGUGCGGCACUCUAUUAACCUUGGGCCCGUGGUUGGGCUUGCCGCCCAUGCCACGGCCACGACUGUACUUUCGUCAUUUAUGGUUGUUAGAAUAGGUCACAUGCACUUCAGGUGCGAUGUUCAAGUCAGUGGGUCGAGCUUGAUGAUUCUUCAUCAAAAGCUGGUUCUGCUUUUCGGCGAGAAGUAAAAUAGAGAUCAAAUCUGAAAACUUGGUGAAUUUCUGUGCCCUAUAUUGUUGCUACAGGACAAUAUUGGUGGCAUGGAAGGUCGAAUAGGUCUUCUCCAAGAGAUCUGAUUCGGUUAAUUCCACUUUGCAGAAUUUCAACAAAGAACGGAUUCUACAAACUUCAGAGUUGUAUUCAUUCACGGAUUUAAAGUCCUGGAAGCGAAGAUUCUGCCAAUCGUGUCUUGCUUCAGGCAAGUAUAUGUUUUUCUGGUGAUCGAAAUGGUCGGCCAGAGCAAGCUAGAGGGUGUGUGGGUCCUCCUCAGCGAGAUACUCAGUUUGCAGUGCAUCAUGAAUGUGUUUUCAAAUGAAGAUCAUUGCAGUAGCCUUCUGAGCUUCGUCAACAGGUUUGUCGGCAAUAGGUGUCUCGAUGGUGGCUUGCAAUGAAAUGAAGCUUCACGUCUUGAACCCAUUUUAGAUAGUUUCUUCCAGAGACUUAUAGAGCGGAGAAAUCGAGCUUGUUCAAGUUCAACAUGUCCCUAAAACGGAGGGAGAAAACAUGAUUAGUCAUUUGGUAAGCCAUAGACAUAUAUCGUAAAACAUACAGGUUCUUUAGACAUGUAUUGGUUUAAUUUAUGUAUGAAAACUACGGGUUCAUGUGGUAUGUUUUGAAUGAAAACUUCAGGUUUCAAAGGCACUAAAUUUGAAACUACAGGUUCAAUUUAGUUUUAUGAACAAUUAGUUCAUAAUGAGAGGUUCCUGCAAGAAACACAAAAUGCAAUAUACAAACUAAGUGUAGUGGAUUUGAGUUGUCUUCGGGAACUCAAGUGUGGGUGCUUCGUUACUACGAAAGUAUGUGAUGGUUCAAAGUAUAAAAAUAAAUUAUUGAAUCGUUAAUGUCUAAGAGUGAUCUUCAGGUCAAUAAUUUUGGAUUCAUUACCAGAUUAAUGGACUGCAUGUUACUUUUAAUUAAUUCAAUAAAUAGGGUCAUACAAGGUCGAUUGUAGAAGCAAAAUAAUAUUAACAUACGGGUUAAAUUAUUUAGAAUGCUAAAAUAAUAGCAUUGGGUCGAGAAUAUAGCCCUAAAAUAAUUUGGCUUAGUGUCGUGGGUAAGGGGCACGGUUUGGGUGCCUUAAGUAGAAAAGCAAGGCCUUGGGUGUGAUCUUCAGGCCACUGGUUAGGGAGAAACCCCAGCCAUAACUGGGUUUCACAUGUGGGUCGUGAGGGGGGCACGGGCAAGUCCAACGAAAGCUGGCCUGUGGGUUUUGGGCGCAGGGAUGCGAAGCCUAGCCACAAAAAGGGCUAGCUGCAUGUGUGCAGGCCGCAGAGAGCAAGCCCAGCCAUAUAGGCUAGCGUGGAGGUCACAGGUUGAGGUAGCAAAUGGGCUCCGGAAGCCUAGCCGCAUGCUAGGGCUGGUUGUAGGUGAUGUGAGCCAGGGCAACAAAGGCCAGCAACUAAAAAAAAUUGCAGAUUGCGUAUGGGAGGACAACCCAGACAAUUGGGCAGGUUGGAUGGAUGUGAACCAAAGUCAGUGUGCAGAGGUUCAGGGUUGUAGGCCCUACCGAGGUAAGAUCCAAGCCUAGGCCUGAUGGUUAUGUGCACAAUGAUGGUGCGGUGGUAUGCCGCACCAUGUCCUGAUUCCCUUUUUUUUUUUUUUUUUUCAAAUCCUUUAGGGUUUAGGAAAACCCUAAACAUGCUUCUAAUUUAAUUUUAUGCUUUAACUCACAAAUUCCACAUAACAAUUUAAUUGUACGAUGCAUGAAACAAAUAUAUAUAUAUAUAUUGACAAAUAUAUAAACAUAUAAAAUAUAUAUAUCGAAAGGAAAAUAUAAAUGCAUCAUGGGGAAUGUUUUUAUGCUUCAUGGAUGUUUCAAAUAUUUUCUUUUAUUUUAAGCGUACAUGAUUAGCAAAAAACGAAUAAGCCUUUGAAUUUGGUGGAUGAUAGCCUCCUUCAACGAUGCGUCAUUUCCUUAGCUUCUGGCAAGAACGUGCUGAUAACGUGUUGUAGGCCUAUUUGAUUGAACGAUCUAGGGUUUAGAGAGAGAGAGAGGGGGCCGGGCCACUAUUAGAGAGAAGAGAGAUUGAUUUAAUUGUGAGGUUUGUUUGAUUCACCCCAUUGUGCCUUUAUUUAUAGUAGUAGGAAGGGUAAAACCUUUCCCUUUAGGAUUACAACAUUUAAUAGGUAAUAUAAUCCUAAUAGGAAUAUAAGAUACUUUCCCAGAUUCCCUAGGAUUUACACAAUCACAUUCCUAUUCUAAAUAUGACUACAACAGAUAUUUAAUUUAAGCAAUUAAUCUAAUUGUGAUUUUUUUUUUGGGUAAAAUCUAGGGUAAAUUACACUUUCAUACCUCAUGUUUGGGGUCUAUCUCAAUUCCUUACAACAUCUUUAAAACAUUUCACUUUCAUACCUUAAGUACUAUUUAUUUCAAAAUAAUACAUCCGUUACAUUUUCCAUCCAUUGAUCUGUUAAAUGCUAACGUGGUUAAUUAAAAAAUAAAAUUGAAACCCACAUCUGCAAGAAGAAGAAGAAGAAGAAGAAGAAGAAGAAGAGGGAGGAAGGGAGCUGGGUCGGGGUGGGGGGAGGGUUGCCCGGGGGGGGGGGGGGGGGGGGGGCGGGGGGUUCUAGGUUCUUCUUCUGGGUCGUUGGAGGGGGGAGGGACAAUUUUUUUUUAUUUAUUUUUCUUUCUUCCUCCCUCCAUCUUCUUCUUCUUCUUGGUCACUUGGGGGGGGGGGGUGAACGGACAAAUUUUUUUUAUUUAUUUUUUUCUUUCUUCCUCCUCCUCCUCCCUCCUUCUUCUUCUUCUUCGUCUGGGUCGCUCCGGGGGGGGGGGGGGGAGGGAGGGACAAAUUUUUUUUUUUCCUCUUCUUCCUCCCUCUUCUUUUGGGUCACUUGGGGGGGGGGGGAGGGACACUUUUUUUUCUUUUUUCUUUCUUCCUCCCUCUUCUUCUUCUUCUUCUUCUUCUUCUUCUUCGUCUGGAUCGCUCGGGGGGGGGGGGGAGAGGGGAGGGACAAAUUUUUUUUCCUCUUCUUCCUCCCUCUUUCUUUUGGGUCACUUGGGGGGGGGGGGAGGGACACUUUUUUUUCUUUUUCUUUCUUCCUCCCUCUUCUUCUUCUUCUUCUUCUUCUUCUUCUUCUUGCAGAUGUGGGUUUCAAUUUUUUUUUUUUGAGAAAAUUCAAGUUUUUUUUUUUAAAUUAAAAAAUUAAUUUAUUUGUCACAUGGCAGACAUUUGGCAGCUACGUUAGCAUUUAACAGAUCAAUGGAUGAAAAAUGUAACAGAGGUAUUAUUUUGAAAUAAAAUAGUACUUAAGGUAUGAAAGUGAAAUGUUUUAAAGAUGUUGUAAGAAAUUGAAAUAAACCCCAAACCUGAGGUAUGAAAGUGUAAUUUACCCUAAAAUUAAGACUUUAUCUAAGAAGAUUUGAAGUUGUCAUUUUAUGCAAGGGAUAAACCAUCGUUUUUCAUAAAUGGUCUGCUUAACAUUUUUCAUAAAUAAAAUGUUUUGGACGCUUUAUAUUGUGUUGGGCAUACACAACAAAAUACCAUCAACACCCCCUUAAAAAAUUAAACAAAUCACACCUUAAAUAUACAACAAAAUAUUGUGUUGGGAAGAUUCAAUAAAAAAUAUUGCGUUGGGAAGCUUUAUAUUGUGGUUGGGAAUAAAGAAAUAUGACAAGUAGUUGAAACCUUUUACAUGUACAUCAAAUGCUAUCGUCAACACCCUAACGUGGUUGGGAAUAAAAAAAACAAAAUAUAUGGCUGACUUGAUUGCUCUGAUUUGUGAUUGUGUAUACUUAUUAGUGUUUUGUUUUUUUUUUUUGGUUAACUGUGAAGAAAAUCCCUGAUCUGUUGGCCAUAAUGUAGAAAACAAAGAAGUUCCCCUUUGCUGGUCUUGAGAUCAAAGGGGAGAGAAAAUAAUUUUUUUAGUUUUCACCUCUCACACAUUACUCUCAAUUUUCAGUAAUCGGAUUGCAUGAAUUAUAGAAUAUCAAAGAAAAGAAAUUAACAAGGGUUUGUGGAAGGUAAAAGGGGUAUAUAGAUACUAGAUAACUAGCACGUACCAUCCUUGACACACCCUGAUCCGGAGGAUCCAGGUGUGCUGGCCGUCACGUGGGCGUGACGUAACCAUAAGCACGACACGGAAGCGUAAUAACAACAUAUAACAACAGAAAUUCAACCCAAACUCAACAUAACCACAUACGGACAUAACCGGACGAGUUUACAAGUAAACACAUAAGUUCAGAGCAUAGGUUAUCUGCAGUCUAGUAGGACUAAAAUAAGAAUACAUCACCCUCAGGUGAGUCCUACAUGUCCCAAAUCUGUCAGAAAGCCGGAAAGGACCUCGUGAGCCAACCACCGCUAAACUAGAACCUGGAGGGGCGCAAAACAAAAUGAGUGGGUCAGUAAAACAAAUUAGUUUUCCAAAACAUUUCAUUAAAACAGUUAUAUCCCCUCGCCGUAAAAACUUGUAUACUUUCCCAGAAAUAUAUAACCAUAUAAAAUCUCAACAUUUAAAUCUCAAAUCUUUAACAUUUUCAAGAAAACAUGCCAUGACAUAAAUAAAAAUAUAAAUCAGGUGAAUAAGGAAUUAAUCGGAGACCCUGCAGUUGGUCCUAUACGAUUAAUUCAAUAGCUCAAAUCCCACUAAGCCGGAGUCACCACAGUGACCUAUACGGCCCUACUCUGCACAUCACUCGGAACUACGUAAGGUAGUCUAUACGAUGAAAGGUGUAAAAAUACGCUCUAGUGCUUCUCUCAUCAAUCAUCAGCGCGCAUAACUAAGGUCACCCACUAGUCGGAAUCACGCCUAGUGAUCUGUACGACUAGCAUGUCGGAACCCUCACAUGGUCUGUACGACAUCCACCUACUUGGAUCCAAGGCGAGCGUGCGGUGUGGUGAAUAAAAUAAGCACUAACACCUAGGGUGCAUGUAUGAGCUUAAACAUCUUAUCAACAAUCAAUUAAAUGAAUAAUGAACUCACCUGACUUACCUGUGCCUCCACCGCACCAUGCAACAUGUAUGCAUCAUAUAUCAAUCAUAUAACUCAUACGCAAUUCACAUUUUUCAAAUAAUUCUAUGCAUGGCAUUUUUAAAACAUAUUUUCAUAUAAAUUCAUUUUCUGGGAAAAAUCAAUAGUAUAAAGGUAGUACAAAAACAAAACUGCCCACUCACUGAUAAGUCGACGGGUCGUAACCCCCGUGGCGUCCCUGGAUGCGGUCGUCCUCGGGAUACGUCUCACCUAUAUGCGAAACAACUAUAAAAACAUUAAUUUUAAGCAUAUCACCAAUAAUUCGAAAUAACUUCUCUCAUACGAUGCUCAAUUUUGGUAUAUGAAUAUACCACAUCGACCUACUCGACGUCACGAGCGUCGAGAAAUUUUUAGAAAAAUUUUUGGAAGCCCCACGCGCCCCCACGCGCCACACGUGGCACGGGUCCACGCGCUGGCCACGCGCAGCACGUGCAGCGCACGUGUCGUCUUCUUCACAGGGCCUCGCCGGACUGGUUCUCCGGUGGCCGGACUCCGGCCGAACUCCGGCCGAUUUUCAAACUCACUAUUCUCCUUCGUUUUUCACCCAUUUUCUUCGUAUUUUAUACCAAAUUGAAGCCCUAAGAGUGUACUAUCACGUUGGACUAGUUUUAGGGCCUAAAAACUACGAAAUCUCACCUUGCAAAAACCAAGGGUUCGGCCAAACUUGAAACCUACGAUCCCGACGUCCAAAACUCUCCAACGAACGUCUCCGAGCUUCCUUAGGACCUCCUAAAGCUCACCACAAGCUUGAAAUCUCCUGAAACACAACAUUUUACGUUCGCAUGAACAGUACCUCAAAAAUGGAGGUUCGGGAUCUACGUGAAAUCGAAGGUUUCACUUCCUAAAACUAGCACCAAUGAACUCAGGACGUCAAAACGAUGAAGAUACAUACCUUAUUUGCCCCGAUCCGUCAAGUUUUGAAGGGUUUUGGUGGUGGUCCGUACGAUAUGGGUGUGUUUGGGUGUGAGGUCGGGAGAGAGAGAGAGACUGAGAGGGUGAUCGAGAGGGAGGAGAGAAAGGGACUGAUCUUGUGUGGUCAAACCAAUCCACACCAUCCAAAAUCUCUCUUAAGUCCCUAACCACAAAAAUAUAAAAUCAACUUCCAAAAUAUUUCUAACUUAAACAACUUCUUAAAAGUUUAGGGACCAAACAUUUUCAAAACGUAAUACACCCAUACCUUGAUACCUGACAAGGGCAUUUUUGUCCUUUCACAUUCCCGCCAAAAGUACCUCCGGGACGGGCUGUGACAAUCUCCCCUCCUUAUAGAAUUUCGUCCCCGAAAUUCCCAUAACCAAAUCAUAAUUCAAUACUCGUAGAAUAAUCUUGGGUACAUCUCUCUCAUCCGGUCUUCCGUCUCCCAAGUAGCUUCCUCCACAGAAUGAUUUCUCCACAACACCUUCACCAAACUCACCGUCUUGUUCCUUAGAACCUUGUCCUUCCAAUCCAAUAUUGUGAUUGGUUCCUCAUCAUAAGUCAAAUCCGGAUUAAUCUCUAACGGUUGAUGAGGGAUCACAUGAGAUGGAUCAGAAAUAUAAUGCCGAAGCAUAGAGACAUGGAACACAUUAUGGACCUUAGAUAACUCCGGAGGCAGUUCCAACCGGUAGGCAACUUCACCAACUCUUUCAGUGAUCACAUAAGGUCCAAUAUAUCUCAGACUUAGCUUCCCUCUUUUCCCAAAUCGUACCACACCUCUCCAAGGCGACAAUUUCAAGAAUACCCAAUCACCCACAUCAUACACUCGAUCAGUAGUAUGCCGAUCCGCUAAACUCUUAUGUCGAUCCUGGGCUGCUUUCAGGUUUGACUUAAUUACCUGAACAUUUUGAGUCGUCUCAUCCACGAUCUCAGGGCCUUCUAAUACCCGUUCACCAACCUCAGACCAACACAAUGGCGUUCGACACGCCCUACCAUAAAGUGCCUCGAAUGGGGACAUACCAAUGCUCGAGUGAAAACUGUUAUUAUAAGCAAACUCCAUUAAGUCCAGACGAUCAUGCCAAGAAUCACCAAAUUGUAAUACCGAAGAUCUCAACAUAUCUUCCAACGUCUGAAUGGUCCUCUCUGAUUGCCCAUCAGUUUGAGGAUGAUAAGCUGUGCUAUACAGUAAUUGAGUACCCAGAGCUUCCUGAAAAGCCACCCAAAAUUUAGAAGUAAACCUCGGGUCUCGAUCGGAGAUAAUAUUUACUGGGACUCCAUGAUACUUGACAAUCUUCGAAAUAAACAACUUAGCCAAUUUAUUCAGAGGGUAUUUCUCCCUCACUGGAAUGAAAUGCGCAGACUUGGUGAGUCGAUCCACAAUCACCCAAAUACCAUCAAAUCCAUUUCGCGUACGAGGAAGUUUAUACACGAAAUCCAUGGUUAUAUUUUCCCAUUUCCACUGGGGAACGGGAAGUGGUUGCAUUCGCCCAAAGGGCUUCUUCCUUUCUGCUUUCACUUGCUGGCAAAUAAUACACCUGCUCACAUAUUCUGCAAUUUCUCUUUUCAUACCCGGCCAAUAAUAAAAUGGUCGAAUGGUAUGAUACAUUUUUGUUCCUUCCGGAUGCAUCGCAUAAGCUGAACAAUGUGCUUCGUCCAGAAUUUCCUUCUUCAAUUCCCCAUUAUUCGGAACAUACAUUCUGUUUUCUUGCAUGAGCAUACCAUCUGAUUCCCGAAUUCUGAGGUCUUUCUUUUUCCCUUCACUUCUUAACUGAACCAACUCCUGAAUUUCUUCAUCCACCAUUUGAGCUGCAAGUAUACGGUCCACCAAAACUGGCCUGACUUGAAAGCUAGCAAGAAAGGCUCCACUAGGGUCUUCAAUCUCCAACCUUACUCCCGUUGCCCUCAGUUCAGCAAGAAGAGGAACACGGCAAGCAUAUAGGGCAUUAAGUCUACCUUGUGGUUUCCUACUCAGUGCAUCCGCUACUACAUUAGCACGACCUGGAUGGUAUUCAAUAGAACAAUCAUAAUCACUUAGCAAUUCCAUCCACCUUCGCUGACGAAGAUUAAGAUCAUGCUGGGUGAAUAAGUACUGAAGACUCUUAUGAUCAGUGAAGAUCUUACACUUCUCACCAUACAAAUAAUGUCUCCAAAUUUUCAAAGCAAAAACAAUUGCUGCCAAUUCAAGAUCGUGAGUAGGAUAAUUCCUUUCAUGAUUUUUCAACUGCCUAGAAGCAUAGGCAAUCACCUUAUUAUGCUGCAUCAAAACACAUCCCAAACCAUUUAAUGAAGCAUCACUAUAUAUCUCAAAAUUACCGCUAUCGUCGGGAAGUACCAACACCGGUGCAUGAGUGAGGCAAUACUUCAAUUGCUGAAAACUCCUCUCACAAUUCUCAUCCCACUCAAAUUUAACAUCCUUCCUGGUCAACUUUGUCAACGGUAAAGCAAUCAUAGAGAAAUCCUGAACGAACCGUCGAUAAUAACCUGCUAAGCCAAGAAAACUUCGUACCUCCGUGACGGUUCGAGGUUGCUCCCAAUUCUCCACUGCUGCAAUCUUUUGAGGGUCCACUUGAAUACCUUGAGCUGAUACAACAUGCCCCAAAAAUGCCACUUCAGUCAACCAAAACUGACAUUUACUGAACUUGGCAUACAACUGAUGCUCCCUUAAUUUCCUUAACACCAAAUUAAGGUGUCGGAUAUGAUCUGCUUGGGACUUAGAGUAUACCAAAAUAUCGUCAAUAAAAACAAUAACGAAUUUAUCAAGAUAUUUCUGGAAUACCUCAUUCAUUAAUCUCAUAAAAGCUGCAGGUGCAUUAGUCAACCCAAACGGCAUAACCGAAAAUUCAUAAUGUCCGUACCGAGUUCGGAAAGCCGUCUUAGGUACAUCGUCUUCUUUAAUCUUCAAUUGAUAAUACCCGGAUCUCAAAAUCAAUCUUAGAAAAUACACACGCACCUUUCAGCUGAUCAAACAAAUCAUCAAUGCGGGGCAAUGGAUAACGGUUUUUAAUCGUUACCCGGUUCAAUUGUCUAUAAUCAAUACACAAUCGAAGAGUUCCAUCCUUCUUCUUCACGAAUAAUACUGGGGCACCCCAAGGUGAAGAACUAGGUUGAAUAAAACCUUUAUCAAGUAAUUCUUGCAACUGGAUUUUUAAUUCCCUUAACUCAGCAGGAGCCAUUCUAUAAGGAGUCAGAGAUAUAGGGUCCGUACCUGGAAGCAAAUCAAUAGAGAAUUCCACCUCUCUGUCUGGCGGCAAUCCCGGCAAAUCAUCAGGGAAAACAUCCGGAUAAUGUCUGACCACACCAACUUCUUCUAUACUAGUAGGAGCAACAUCAUUUAAUACCACAUGUGCCAAAUAUCCCUGACAACCCUUCGAUAAUAAUUUCCUCGCCCUUAUGGCCGAAAUAACUCCAUGUCUCACCCCACUUCUCUCGCCCACAAAAAUAACCUCGGGUAAUCCAGGACGAUAAAAAGUAACUGAUUUACCAUAACAAUCAAUAUGGGCACGAUUAUGGUGUAACCAAUCGGCCCCUAAAAUCACAUCAAAAUCCACAAUAUCUAACGGAAUAAGAUCAGCGGACAUAAUCACGCCCUCAACCAUCACUGGACACCCCAGAUACACACUAUCCACAAUACAUUUAUCUCCUCUAGGCAUGGCAAACUCUAAAUCAAAUCCUAGAGGUGAAGGGUGAGGUUGGGUUAUUUGAGCAAACGUAUGAGAAAUCACAGAGUGCGUAGCACCACAAUCAAUCAAAACCUUGGCAAAAUGACCAAGAACAUUUAACGUACCCAUUAUCAAGUCUGGAUGGUUCUGAGCCUCCUGCAGGGACAUAUGAUUAACUCGCCCCUGAGCUUGCUGACGUCCACCUCGGCCUCUAUUGCCCUGAUUACCUCGUCCCUGAGGAUUACGUCCCUGGCCUGGCUGACUAGGCUGCCUGGAUGAUCCUGCACCACCAGUAGCAAUUUCCCCCUGACGGGGCUGACCUCCCUGAUGCCACUGCGAUCCACCAGUUGGCAUAGAGGAAUAAGAAGAAUAACCUCCAAAAUCCUGCGAAUACCCUGCCUGAGGAUAAGGCUCCUGAGAAUACUGAUAAGGUCCGGAAGCAUACGGAGCCGCAUCCCCCUGAUAGUGGUAAGCACCACCACGAUUCGGCUGGCCAUAACCACCCGGUCCAAAACUCUGCUGAACUGGUGCUGGAGGUGGCAUAUUAGUCUGCUGCGGUCUCUGCUGACCCUGGGGGCACUGAGAAGCCCGAUGUCCCAUCUGCCCACACGUAAAACAAGCACCAGAACCUCUCCUACACUCACCAUGGUGACGAGAGUUACAACGGCGGCACCAUGGAGCGCCAGAUCCACCAGCAUCCCUCUGACCCUGAAAUCUGGGUCCACCAGAAAAUCUUCCACCACCUCUCCUCGGGCCAGUAAAACUAUAUCCCCCACUAGAAGAACUCGAACUCGCUCCACUCUUCUUAAAACUCUGAGUCUGUCGAGGUCCAGGAAUAGAAAUACCCUUACCUUUGUCAUUCUUCUUUUGACCCUCAUUCUUGUCCUCAUCAUCCUCACUGUCAGGAAGAUUAUCAGAGUCCUCCAUCCUAACCAGAAUCUCGAAAUACUCAUGAUAAUCAGCGCAGGGGAGUGCAUUGGCAAAGGUACGCCACUUCUUCUUAGAUCCCAACUUGAAACGUCGAAGCAUCUCUCCCUGAUUACCAGCUGUAUCAGUGUCAUAACGAGACAAAUCAGUAAACUUUCUAUAAUAUUCAUGUGCCGACAUAUUUCUCUGUUUCAACCUGGUGAAUUCCUGCUUCUUACGGUCAAUAUACUCAGGAGGAACGAAUCUCUUCAUAAAAUGCUCCUUGAAUACUUUCCAGUCGGCUGCCGUCUCAGGUGACAUGUACCUAGCCUGAUUUAUCCACCAUGCUGCUGGUUCACGACCCAAAAACCAAGUGGUGGUCUCCACCCACCUAUUAGCAGGGAGAUUCCCCUGACUCUGCAUCACCUGGAAAGUUUUCUCAAUAUGAUCAAGCCAUUUCUCUGCCCCCUCAUGACUUUCAUUACCCAUAAACCGAUCUAACUUCAAGUUGUACAUGGUCUCCAGAGGUGUCCUCGGAGGAGGGGGAGGACGAAUCACAUUCUGUAAAGCCUGGGCCAUCGCUUCCCCUAACUGAGUAAUAUCCGGGAAAUUAGGUUCAGAAGUACGGCGGGACUCUCUACGCUCUCUACGAGGCGGCAUGAUUCUGACAGAAAACAUCAAAAGAUCGUUAAGACAUUAACAAAUUUACAGGACUGCAACCUAAGCUCUGAUACCAAACUGACACACCCUGAUCCGGAGGAUCCAGGUGUGCUGGCCGUCACGUGGGCGUGACGUAACCAUAAGCACGACACGGAAGCGUAAUAACAACAUAUAACAACAGAAAUUCAACCCAAACUCAACAUAACCACAUACGGACAUAACCGGACGAGUUUACAAGUAAACACAUAAGUUCAGAGCAUAGGUUAUCUGCAGUCUAGUAGGACUAAAAUAAGAAUACAUCACCCUCAGGUGAGUCCUACAUGUCCCAAAUCUGUCAGAAAGCCGGAAAGGACCUCGUGAGCCAACCACCGCUAAACUAGAACCUGGAGGGGCGCAAAACAAAAUGAGUGGGUCAGUAAAACAAAUUAGUUUUCCAAAACAUUUCAUUAAAACAGUUAUAUCCCCUCGCCGUAAAAACCUGUAUACUUUCCCAGAAAUAUAUAACCAUAUAAAAUCUCAACAUUUAAAUCUCAAAUCUUUAACAUUUUCAAGAAAACAUGCCAUGACAUAAAUAAAAAUAUAAAUCAGGUGAAUAAGGAAUUAAUCGGAGACCCUGCAGUUGGUCCUAUACGAUUAAUUCAAUAGCUCAAAUCCCACUAAGCCGGAGUCACCACAGUGACCUAUACGGCCCCUACUCUGCACAUCACUCGGAACUACGUAAGGUAGUCUAUACGAUGAAAGGUGUAAAAAUACGCUCUAGUGCUUCUCUCAUCAAUCAUCAGCGCGCAUAACUAAGGUCACCCACUAGUCGGAAUCACGCCUAGUGAUCUGUACGACUAGCAUGUCGGAACCCUCACAUGGUCUGUACGACAUCCACCUACUUGGAUCCAAGGCGAGCGUGCGGUGUGGUGAAUAAAAUAAGCACUAACACCUAGGGUGCAGGUAUGAGCUUAAACAUCUUAUCAACAAUCAAUUAAAUGAAUAAUGAACUCACCUGACUUACCUGUGCCUCCACCGCACCAUGCAACAUGUAUGCAUCAUAUAUCAAUCAUAUAACUCAUACGCAAUUCACAUUUUUCAAAUAAUUCUAUGCAUGGCAUUUUUAAAACAUAUUUUCAUAUAAAUUCAUUUUCUGGGAAAAAUCAAUAGUAUAAAGGUAGUACAAAAACAAAACUGCCCACUCACUGAUAAGUCGACGGGUCGUAACCCCCGUGGCGUCCCUGGAUGCGGUCGUCCUCGGGAUACGUCUCACCUAUAUGCGAAACAACUAUAAAAACAUUAAUUUUAAGCAUAUCACCAAUAAUUCGAAAUAACUUCUCAUACGAUGCUCAAUUUUGGUAUAUGAAUAUACCACAUCGACCUACUCGACGUCACGAGCGUCGAGAAAUUUUUAGAAAAAUUUUUGGAAGCCCCACGCGCCCCACGCGCCACGUGGCACGUGGCCACGCGCUGGCCACGCGCACGCACGUGUCGCUUCUUCAAGGGCGGGGUUCUUUCCGGCGCCGGACUCCGCGACUCCAGCCUCGCAGCGCACGGUCGGUUCACUCUUCGCCGGCCUUUUCUCCGGUGGCCGGACUUUUCGAACUCCAGCCGAUUUUCAUCAACUCACUAUUCUCCGUUCGUUUUUCACCCAUUUUCUUCGUAUUUUAUACCAAAUUGAAGCCCUAAGAGUGUACUAUCACGUUGGACUAGUUUUAGGGCCUAAAAACUACGAAAUCUCACCUUGCAAAAA